rnacentral:lncRNA from 1 species
GUGAAGCCAUAAGCAGCUGCGGACAUCCAUCAAUUUGAAGUUCCACCAAUGAAAGAAGCUGUUCUGGUAAUUUCCCAGUGAGUUUGGGACACUUUCGUAUAAAAAGCUUUUGGAGACGAGGGAAUUCUCCACAACAUAACCAUUUCUCCCAGUUCUUCAUAUCCUCAAAUGAUAGUGUUUCUAGGAAUUGAAAGGAAGCAUUCUCAUAUAACUCAUCACCCACACACUCUACUCCAUUCAUCCUUGAGAUUUGCAGAUAUUUAAGCUGGGUUAGCUGUCCAAGUGGUGGCAAUGUUGAGCAAUUGCCACAACCCCGAAGCUCAAGGGACACGAGAUUCAACACUGAAGGAUCUCCAAGCCAAUUUGGAAAUCCUUCACCAGGAUAGUUUGUGAUGGAGAGUUGUUUUAAAUUUGGAUGAGGUUGUAACUUGUUGAGUAUAUCAUGCGUUGUUGCACCACUUUGUGUAACACCACUGGUACCCCAACCAAAGAUUAACUCAUAAAGAUAACUUUUAUCCUUCAUAUUAGCCCUUAAUGCAUCAUUAACACUCACCACAUUCUCCAUGUUUGAAAUACAAAGUUUUCCUCGAAUCUCUGACAGCUCCCCCAAUUCUCCAAUUCUUAAUCCAUCGUUUUGGCCCACAAUAAAUUGAGUCAACCUUUGUAAACUUUUUAAUCGACCAAUUCCAUGACUUGACAUUUCUCUCAAUGAACCACAUCCAUCAAUAUCAAGAUAGCGCAAAUUAAUCAAUUUUCCCAUCUUUGAAGGCAAUUCAUCAAGUUUUGAACAAUUUCUCAGCAUCAUCGUUUGUAAAUUGCAUAAACAACAUGCUGAUUUAGGUAAUUUUUUAAUCCUCGUGGAAGACAAAUCCAAGUAACGCAAAUGUUUUAAAUUACCUAUCGAUUUAGGCAAAUCAGUUAUUGUAUAUGCACAUAAUGAUAACACGCGUAAACACCACAUUUUUGGUAAUAUAUCUUGCAAAACUCUUUUACUCAACUUAUACAAAGGAAGAUCAACCCAUGGCUUCACUCUUAAGAAUGUCCGAAGAGAUUUAGCUUUAGGGACAGCCUCAAAAUUCUUAAAUGCAACAAGCCUGGUAUCAUCACUAUUAAAGUACAAAAAGUGGCGAGCCUUCUCAGAUACUUCUGGUGGUAACUUAUCAUCAUCUUCCACUCGAGCACAAAAAUCUCCAGACACGUAUUGAGCCAAUUCAUGUAUUAGAUCAUGCAUUACAAAGCAUGAUCCUUCUAUUCCAAUAGAUUUUUGAAAGAAAGACUUGGCAAGAAGCUCAUCAAAAUAUGACUCACCGAUCUCUUCCAUUCUCCUUCCUUUGUUUUGUUGUGCAUGUAAAAGACCUUCUGCCAUCCAUAAUAAAAUCAGCUCCUCUUUGUUGAAUUGGUGGUCCUGGGGAAAAAUAGAACAAUAAGCAAAACAAUGCUUCAGAGGUAAAGAAAGAUGAUGGUAGCUUAAUAUCAAAGACGGAAGAAUUUCGGAGCCACGCUGCGGAUGCCAUAUUUCACUUCUCAACACAUCGUCCCAUUCCCUUUUUUCGUCCUUAGAAUACAAGAGACAGCCGAGUGCUUUCACAGCCAAAGGCAAUCCUUGGCACUUGUCCACAAUCUGUCUGCCUAUGCGUUGAAGCUCAAGGUAUGCGUUGGGGUCUCUAUCUUCAAAUGCAUGCUUUUUAAACAGGGACCAACUAUCUUCAGAGCUUAAUUCCCCAAGAUGAUGAGUAGGGACUGCUCGCAUGGUUGUUGCAACAGAUUGAUCACGACUGGUCACGACAAUCUUGCUUCCCUCUGCUGCGAGGAGUGGAGUUCGUAGAAUAUUCCAAACUUCACGAUCACUAAGCUCCAUAUAACCUUCAUCACGAGGCUUCAAAUUCCAGACGUCAUCAAGAACAAGCAGAAAUUUCUUGUUACGAAGUUGCUCUGUGAGUUGAAGCUGAAGCAAAUUUAGGUUGUCAGCGGAAGUAGGUGGAGAACCAAUUUCCUCAAGAAUUGUUUUGGUGAGUUUGAUAAGGAAAAACUCAGUGGAAACACAGACCCAUGCUUGCAAGUCGAAGUGUUUCUUCACUUCCUCAUUUUUAUAGAGACGCCGAGCAAGCGUGGUCUUGCCGCUGCCGCCCAUGCCCACUAUGGACAUCACCCCCAUUUUGUCGCCUGUUGUAUUGUCAGAACGCAACCACUCCACCAUCUCCUUCUGAAUUCCAUCCCUGCCGACAAAAAUGGAGUCAUGCUCCAAAGAAGUGGUUAUUGGUGAUCUUGGUCUUGGUGACCGUUUCUCGCCCCCACCUUCUGCCAGCCCCAACCCAACUUUUUCUAGUGCGAUUUUUUCCAGUUGAACAAUCAUGCCCCUGACCCUGGACUCCAUGCUUUUGAUAGCAAAUGGGGCCUUCACAGAAGCAGAGAACUUCUUCCAUUUCCACGCCUUAAGAGUUCCGUCGGUAACGAUCUCGUCCAGCAGGUCUUCCGCACCAUACACAGCAUCCUUGACAGGGACGAGCCACUCUUUGACAUUUGGGUUCGAAAAUUGCUUCACCUCCGCAUCAUCGAGCACAUUGUGAACAACCACGAGUUUCCUCUUCAACUCGUUGAGGAGUUCAUCGCUAAGGCUCCGUCGCCGAAUGAAGUUUAUGAGCUCUGGAGAAGCCAACCUUUCGAAUAGAACUUGAAGCGAAGUUGAGAGGAGGGCGUCCGCCAUAUCUGUGUCGACUGUUGCUUUGCAAUAGGAAUUCAGAGGAUUGGUUUCUGUUACCGCGAUACCACCAAACUGCAAAAGACUGGGUUUGGAUUACCACACUGCAGAAUGCUUGAAGGAAUCAUUAUUGGUGGUGGACCCAGCUGCCAGAUAUUGGUGGUGGACCCAGCUACACUGCAGAAUGCUUGAAGUUAUUGGUGGUGACCCAGCUGCCAAUAUUUGUCAAACACCAUAGUGGUGAGAAAAAGAACAGGAAAAGCGAGUGGGAGGUAGAUGCGCUUUCCCCAAGGAAAGCAGAAUCAACAACAGCAUUCGGUAUUUUUCUUUUUCAUCUACGCAUUUCUUCUUUCUUUCUUCUAGUAUUAUUAUUAGUAGACAUAUACACACAAAUAUUUGUUUAUAACAUUUUCAUUCUUAAUAUUAUAAAAUUUAUUAUUAAUAAUAUUUAUACUAAUAUUAUUUUUUAAUAAUUAUAUUAGUAUCAGGAUUUUAUAAUUAGUAUCCUUACUUUUAUUGCUUAUAAUAAUAAUUAUUAUUAUUAUAUUAUGUUAUUAUUAAAAUUUAUUAGUAUUUUCACAUAAACAAUGAUAUAUGCAUAAGACAUAUUAAAAUUUUGAAUAUUAUGGUUAUUAUUAUUUAAUAAUAAUAUUAUUAUUUGAUUCAAAAAAAGUUUAUAAUAUAAUAAUAACAAAAAUAAUUUUUUUAAUAAAAUAAAUUAUAAAAAUAUAAUAAUUUUAUUAUUUAUAAAAUACAUUUAUUUUAAUGCAAUUAAAAAAAUUAAAAUAAUUUUAAAAAAUUUAAAAAUUUUCAAAAAAAAGUUAAAUGGGACGGGAUUAGGAUGGGAUCGAUCCAUCCCAAUGUCGUCCCGUUGUCAUCCCUAACUCAUCUUGUGAUAAUUAAGGCCAUUUUUUAUCAUUGUUUUUUUAAAAUGGUCUUUUAUCCUUAAUAUAUAUAUAUAUAAUAAUUAGAAAUAAAACAUAAUUUUUGUUUUUAAAAAUAAAAAAUAAGGCAUUUUUAGAUCAUAUCCUUUUAGUUACUUUUAUUUGUUUUUAAAAAGUAAUUAUAUAAAUAUAAAAAAUAAAAUAAUUUAAAUAAAAUUUAUUUUUAAAAUAUAGAAAAUUAGUUAAUAACACUUUAUCUUCUCAAGCUCUUGUUUUAUAAAAUAUCAUAAAAUAAUUUUCAAAAACUUUUUUUUUUCACAAUUUUGACAAACAAAACGUGUUGCAAUAAUGCACUUAAAUUCAAUGAACCUAAAAGCCAAAUGUGCAGUGUUGACUUUUCAACAGAGAGUUCACACAUGCCCAUUUUUUUAAUUAAAGCACUAUUGAUAUAAAAUAUAUAUUUAAAUAAAAAUUAGACUUUUAAAAAAAUUAAAAUAUAUUUUUAAAAUUAAAAUAUAUUUUUAAAAUGUUAAAAAAAUAUUUACAAUAUUUCCUUAAAAAAAACAUCUUCCAAAAACAUUUCUUUAAAAAAUACUUCCACCGAUAACAAUUUAGACACACUUGUGAUUUAAUAGUUAAAUAUUCUUUCCAACAGGAAUUCAACUAUCAGUUUGUAUUACCACGAUACCACCAAACUGCAAAAGACUAAUUUUGGAUUACCAAAAUGCAGAAGAGCUGAAGGAAUCAUUGAUGGUGGACGACCCAGAUGUCCACAUUAUUUGUCAGACACCAUAAUUGAGUGAUGAGGAAAUGAAAGAAAAGAAAAUAAAAAACAAAAAAGGUGAUGCCAAACAUGGUCUUAUAAGGUGGGUGGAGCGAAAGCAACAAAGGAAACUAGCAGGAUUUUUCAUUGCUAUUCCAUACCUUAAAGGACAAAUUUUGAAUUACCAAAAUACAAAAGACUUGAAGGAAUCAUUGAUGGUGGUGGACCAGAUGUCCACAUUAUUUGCCAAACACCAUAAUUGAGUGAUGACAAAACAAAAGAAAAAGCAAAAAAGGUGAUGCCAACAUGGUCUUGUAAGGUGGGUGGAGCAAAAGCAACAAAACAAACUAGUAGGAUUUUUUUAUUGCUAUUCCAUAUCUCAAAUGACUAAUUUUGAAUUACCAAAAUAUAGAAGACAUGAAGGAAUCAUUGAUGGUGGUGGACCAAGAUGUUCACAUUAUUUGCCAAACACCAUAAUUGAGUGAUGAGAAAAUGAAAAACAAAAAAGGUGAUGACAAACAUGGUCUUGUAAGGUGGGUGGAGCGAAAGCAACAAAGUAAACUAGCAAGACUUUUCGUUGCUAUUCCAUACUUCAAAGGAUUGAUUUUGAAUCAUCAAAAUACAGAAUACUUGAUGGAAUCAUUGAUGGUGGUGGACCCCGAUGUCCAUAUUAUUUGCCAAACACCAUAAUUGAGUGAUGAGAAAAUGAAAAAAAAAAAAAAGUUAAGAAAAAACAAAGAAGUGAUGCCAAACAUGGUGUCGUGAGGUGGGUGGAGCAAAAACAACAAAACAAACUAGUAGGAUUUUUUGUUGUUAUUCCAUACUGAGAAAAUAAAGGGCUAUUCUAAAUAGAUAAAAACACCCAAGAGAGGAGGUGAAUAGAAGUUAAAAAAUUUCUUUUUAAACACAAUAAAAUUAAGCAUAAGAAGUACAAAUAUAAAGAAGUAAGGUUAUAGAAAGUAAACUCAAAUUUAUAGUGGUUCGACACUUCCUUACUUACAUCCACUCUCCUCAAGCUCCUAAUCGAGUGAGGGUUCCACUUAUACUUGAAGUUUCAACCAAACUUCUAAUCACUUUUUACACUUGGAUUCCAUCUCCAAUGGACUCUUACACAAUCUUUUCAAGUCUUUACUCACUUGAAGGUUUUAACACUCAAUUAACAAGUUUGAAUCUCUCAACCUAGCUCAACAAUGACUCAAAUACAACUCAAGGCUAGGAUGAAUCACUAAGGUGCACUAAAGAAUAUGCAAAUGAAAAUUUAAUGCACUAAUAAAAUAAUGAGAGCUUUUAUGGCAAUAAUAAGUAGGUAAACAAAUAAAUGCAAGUGUUCUCUUACUCAUAAAUGAGGUAGAGCUCUCAAUUUAUAGGUUUCUAACCUCAGGAGCUAAAAAGCCAAAAAACAGUCUCAACUGGUUGAACUGGGGGUUGACUGGUUCAUUAGCCGUUGGAACAUUAAAUGCUUGGCAGGUGACCGUUACCCUCGACCAAACCUUAACUGAGAAGGCAAAUCCAUCAACCAGGAAAGAAAGGCUACUAGAAGAGAGAGAAUGUUUUUCACAUCUCUCAACCGGACCUUGACAUAGAAAGAGUAAUCGGUAGACCGAUACCUUAGCUGAUUGAGCCGAUUGGCCAGUGCCUCGACUAGUUCACCAUUUUUAGUCUGAAAACCUAUCUUUUUCUGGUCUUUUUGCUUCUAGCACUUAGGUAAGGACUUUAGAUAAAAUAAUAUGUCAAUUUUGAAAUGUUUUGCCUAAGGUUCAUUUGAUAGAACUCGGAUUUUGAUGGAAAUGUAACUUUAAUGCAUAAACCGAGUUUUAAAGAUGUAUGAAAUGAUAUGAAUACCCUAAGUACACUCAUGCAUUCAUCUUACGUAUGUUUCCUAUGAUUAAAAGGUCGUUCAAAAGUCUUGAUCUUGCAUUCAUUAGGUCCUUUAAUGAAUUUCCAAAUUAACACCUGAAAUUCUUUAUAAUUCAAAUCAAUUAGUAACUUAACCAUGAUUUGUUAUAAUCAAAACAUGAUUAGGAGAAUCAUUGGGCUAACACAUACCUCAAAGGACUAAUUUUGAAUUACCAAAAUAUAGAAGACUUGAAGGAAUCACUAAUCUUUUUAUAAUUUAGAAAAAUAAGUAAAACGAGUUUGAAGAAAUGUAUAAAAAUAAUUUAUUAAAUUUAAAUUUAUUUCUUAUUUUCCUUCAUUUUUUCUUUUUUUCUACUUUUUCUUUCUAUUUUCUUUCCUUCUCGUUUUCCCUCAAAUUUUCCAAGAGCCAAAUAUAGCUUAAAGGUUUAGAAUCUUAUGCACAAGACUUUCAAUUUUUUUUACAAUAUUAUUUUAUUAGUUAAGAAUUAAAAUUUAAUGUACCAUAUCUAACACUAACAAAAAAAUUUAUAACAACCAAUCUUAUCUUUUAAGAAUAUAUUGUUUAAAUGAGAUUAAAAAUUAAAAAUAAAUUUUAAUUCAUUUAACAACUAAAUUAAAAUGAAAUUUAUAUAUAUAUAUCAUAAAUUUAUACAAUUUUGAAUCAUUUUAUAUGGAGGAUUGAGAAUGGAGAGAUUGAAGAAUUGUUUGGUGACGAGGAGAUUGAUCGAAGAUUUUAUAGUCUUAAGGUUCUAUGGGAUGAAAUUUUUUGUAAAGAGUUUAAAUUUUUGUAAAAAAUAAAAUUAGUUUUAUGUUAUUUGAUUUCAUGGAAAUACAAAGUUUUAAUUCAAAGAUUAUGUUUUAAAAAUAUUAUUUUUAAAAUAUAUUUAGUAAAGAUUUAUAAAAAUUUAAAAUUAAAAUUAGUUAAUCUAUCAACUAAAUUAAAAUAAGAUUUAUAUAUUAUUUUUAUAGAUUUACAUGUGUAAAAUCUUUAAAAUGCCUCAACUUAAAAUAUCCUUACAAAAUUUCAUUAAUCUACUAGCAAUCUGCAUAUUGUCUCUACAUAGAGUCAAUUUGCAUUAGGAUGAAUACCAUCAUAAUAAUAAUUACGCUCCACAUAUGAUGUAUCUUAACAUCCACUUGGAGGUUAAAAAAUAAUUAAAGUAAGGGAAACUAAUAUAUUUAAAAUUUAAAAAUCAUUAUGAAGAUUUGGACAAUAAUUCAAGUAGGCAUCUUUGAAAUUUGGCUUCCAAAUCCCUUUGUCAAUAUACACCACCCUAUGACAAUUAAAUAAAUUAAAAGAAGGAAAAAAAAUGUUAAAGGAAUGACAAAACAUAGGGAACAAUUAUAUUUAAGGAGUGGAUGGAGUUGAUAAUGACUAAAGGGUACAAAUCUUGCAUAAUUGAACUAAAAAGGUAGAAAAGGUUUGUAGAUUGUUGUGGAAGAUAUAAACCCACUUUGUGAGUCAAAAAUGCUCAAAAUACCCUUAAGGGUGUUUUUUAAAAAAGGACAAUUAAGUACUCAUGAUAAUUAAUAUAUUAAGAUUUCAAGAAAAAUUAAUAAUAAAUAAAAUCUUUUUCUAAAUCUAUUUAACAAUCAUAUAGUUUUUAUUUUAUUUUAUUUUUUCAAGUGGCAACUAUUAUCUUAAUUUAUUUUUCAUUUUAAGGUUCAAUUAUUAUUAUUCUUUAUUUUGAAAUUUAAUUAAAUGAAACUGUAUAAGACAUGUUUAUAUUAAUUAGCUAAAAAGGAUAGAUUUUUUAGCAAUAUGAUUAAAAUAAAUAAAAACAAGGAAUUUGAUUUUCUUUAUAAAAUAGAUUAGGAAAAGUAUAUUUCGAUACAUUCGUAUGAAAAAAAAAUUCAUAAAAUAGGAACUCAAGUUUAUAAAAUACAAAUUUUAAGCAUUCAUCUAAAAAUAAUUAUCAUUUCAUGCAUUUUUUUUGUCAAAUAUAUUAUAUUUGAUAAUUUAGGUAUUAUAUUUUAAUAAUAUAAGUAGUACCUUUGACCCCCAUAAAACUUGAAUUAUUUUAAAUAGUUUCUAUUAUAUAAUUAUUUAACCAUUUGAUAUAAAUAUUAAAUAAUAAAAAAUAUAUCAUUUUUUAAAGAAUUUUAAUUAUAUUUGACUUUCUUUUGUAUUUUCUAUGGUGUAAUUCACAUAUGAGAAAAUCAUUUUCUUUAACAUUUUUUUUUCUUUCCUUAAUAAUUUUCGAGAACCAAACAAGGCUUGUAGGUUUGAAUUAUAGGGUAUAGAUGCCAAAAAUACCAGAAUGAGUUUGGGUUUUCAUGCUAAAUGUCUUUAUUAUUAUUUGGUAGCACUUUUCCAAAAUUGUUCCAUUCCCAAAACCACUUAAUUUGCUUAAAUAUUUUUACCUCACGAUAUCAUAACAUUAUAAUGGAAUAGAUUUUGUUGGUGUUCAAAUCAUGUCAACUCAAUUUCCAAACCAUUCGGAUUGUCAUUUGGUGAAAAAUAGAAAGAAAUUUUACUUUAUUGAAAAGCAUUUCAUUUUGAUUUGAAUAUGCUGCAAUGAAAUAGUUACUAAACCAUGGGGUAGCAGAAGAAGUAAUCGAGAAAAUGAAGAAGGAUGUUCAAGAAUUCUUUAUGCUGCCAUUGGAGAAGUUUUCAAGAUUUCUCCUGAGUAGAAAACUUAAUGGUAAGAGUACAAUAAGUCAUAUGAAAUUGGAGAACUGAAAGAGCAUAAGAACCAUGUUUUAUUAAAAGACCUGUGAAAGUUUAAUCAGUCAUGGAACUACUAAGAGGGGAUGAAUUAACAGUUUUCUUAAAUUUUGUCCAAAGUUAUGAAUUUUUAUUUUUUAUAAUUUUUUUUUACUUAAAUUGAAACUUAUUAAUCAAGGUAAGAUUUCAGCCACAUCGAGAAACAAUUUACGUGAAAAGGGACUGAUAAAAUCUUGAGUUUACAGAUGUAAAAACCAUAAGGCCAAAGACUGUAGAACUCCAACCCACUGAAUCAAGAAUAGAAACACAAAUUUAUCUACCAACCUACACUAAUCUCAUAUCUACAAUGCAACACCAUCGUACUCUUAAGUGACUUGAAAGGAUGUGAAUAUUUCUCACAAACUUCAUAAUGAAAUUCAAAUUAGCUCUGAGAGUUUUGGGUUAGGCACAAAGAGUAAUAAUGCAUAGCUUUUGUGUGUGAGUUUUUAAGUGAACUUAAGACUCAAUUUAAAGCAUGUAUUUUACUAAAAAUAAAAAAAUAAAUUUAAGAAACUUCAAGAAUUUUGGAAAGAUAAAUUUUAAAAAAAAUUCAAAGAGAGUCAGAAAAUGUUUCCUUUUUAAAUUCUCAAUUUAAUUUAUUUUCAAAUUUAUUAAGAGUUUAAGAAAUAUUUUCUUUUUAAAUUAUCAAUUUAAAACUCUCUUUUAAAUUAAUUUUAUUAUUAAUUUUCAUGCAAGUCUACUCUAUACAUUUUACAUCGUUAUUCUCAAUUAACUCAACAAUAUUAGAGUGUAACAUCCCCAAUUGAUUUUGCACCAACCUUAAGUCUUCAAAGACAAUGAUUGAGGCAUUUCUUCUCCUAUUUUCUCCGAUGUAGAAAAAAAACUUGAAUAAGGUUAAAGCUGGUCUAUAGCAAAAAGUCUUAAUUUGAGUUAGCCUCUUUUUUUUUUUCCAAAUGAUAUGCAGGUCCAUCUAGCCUUCAACUCAAAUUUUUUAUUCAAAAAUCACAUGUGGAUAUGUGAACAAGUAAAAGUUGAGUUUUACCUAACAAAUCAUUUUGAAAAUUAGGAAAUUUAAAAGGUAUUAGUUUGUUAAACUCACCACCCCUGUCUAUUCUACAAAACAAGAAGAUUAGCAAAGAAAAAGUAUUCAUAUUUGUACUACAAAAUAAAAAGAUUAGCAAAGAGAGAAAUUGUACCCAUGAGUGCAGAGUUUUGGGUUAAAACAACCCUUUUGAUGGGAAAAAUAUUAAAUUUAACCACUUUGUCAAACUAAUGUGUAAAAUGAUCCUUUUAUUAUCACAUAGGAGUCAUAUCACUAAUAUAUAUAUAUAUAUAUAUAUAUAUAUUUAAUUUAAGUUGAAGCCUCAAUUGCCAAUUAAGGCUUCAAUUAUCAAUUAUGACUUUAUUUUUAACCCGAAACCUUACUUGCCAAUUGAGGUUUCAACUAAAAAAAGAAACCUCAAUCGUCAACUAAGACUUAAUUUUUUAAUUGAAGCCUCAAUUGACAAUUGCGGUUUUAUUUUAAAACUGAAAUCUCAAUUGUCAAUUGAGGCUUUACUUUUGUGGAAGGAUUAUGUGACACUCACGUUACUAGAAAAAAGCCAUACUGAAUAUAAGUUUCAAAAGUGGCUUAAAAGGUAUAAAUUUUAUGAUCAAAGAUGCCAUUUUGACCCAAAAUCCCAUGGGUGCAUGAGACUCUAGUUAAUCAUAGAUUUCAUAGAUAAAAAUCAGAGUUAGGAUGAUUCAACCCCUAAGCGUCAAGAAUUCUUUAACAUAAUGUUAGAACAUUUUCCAAUUUAAAUUCGAGAGUUGACUUUAUUUGAAUGUGCUUUUGAUUUUUUUUUUUAAAUAAGCUUCAGUGUUUUUUUUAAAAAGAAAUAAAAAUAAAUAAAAAUAGGAGCUUCUAUAUAGAAAGUAAAAAUUUUAUCCAACAAAUAUAAGGCUCACCUUAUAUCCUUAUAAAAUAAAAAAUUUUAAAUUUUUUAAUACCUCAAAAUUUUUAAUCAAUAUUUAAAUAUCAUUAUAUUUUCAAUAUGAUUCCUUUAAAAGUUAAAAUUACUUAUAUUUUUUAUUUUCAAAAAAAAAAUAUAUAUAUAUAAGUAAUUUUAUGUUUUUUAAUUAUUAAGAUGGAUGAAAUAAUCCCAAAUUUGCAAAAAUAACUUCUUCUAUGUUUGAAUUUGAAAAAUAACUCAUUUCCAACAUAAAUACUCUUCAAUAUUUGGAUUAUUUUAAUAUAAAUUUUAGAAGAAAGUGUUAUUUUGACAGGAAAACAUGAAAGACAUUUUUGUUAAAAAUUGAUCUUUUUUUAAGGCUAAAAUAUAUAUAGGUUUAUAUUUACAAAUUUGAGACUAUUUCGUCCUCUUAAUCAAAUAACUUAAAAAAGAAAAGAGUUAAUUCCACAAGUGGGUUUAAAAUACUCACAAAAUUGCAAUAUAUAUAUAUAUAUAUAUAUAUAUAUAUAUAUAUAUAUAUAUAUAUAUAUAUAUAUAUAUGAAAUUACAAAUUUACCCUCGUGUGUUGAGCACAUGACACUUCCAUUCAUUAAAGCUAACAUUGUUAAAUAACAAAUGUACAUUGCAACUAUUUAAGAAGUAUGAAGGGCACAUUGCUUGAUUUUAGUACAUGGUGAGAAACUUGUUGAACAAGUUAUGUGUAAAGUUUUAUGGUUCAUGUAUGAUAGAAAAUACAGAUCUACUACAACACUGGAUUUGCAAUUUGGGUUAAUAUUUAAAGAAAAGACCAUAGGACAAAAAGAAUUAAACUUUUGGUGGAAAACAAUAAAGAAAGGACUACAUGGAAAAAGGGAAGAGAUCAUUAUAAAGGAAGAUUAUUGAAUAGAAAUAAUUCCAAGAACCUAAGGCAAGACAUAGAGUAUCACUACUACUAUCACAAAAAGGGGUAUAUCAUAAAAUUUAUGAAAUUUUGAAAAAGACCUAAAAAAUGAAGAAAAAAAAAAACAAAUCAAAGAAGCCUACAAGUGUAACUAGUGUUCUUAAAGUUGCGAAAUGAAGGUAAUAAAUCAAAAGUAGAUUUGUUAAUAGUUUUUAAAAUGCUUGAAUUAGGAAUUGUCUACUUGUACCAUACAAGCCCUUGUAGAGACUGGUUUGACAUGUAAAUUGUUUGUAAAAUCAUUUUAAUGGGCAAUAAUGCACCAAGUUGCUCCACGAGAAGGGGAGGGGUUUGUGAAACCAUCACUUGUCAUGACAUACAUCGUCGGGUAAUCACGGAUGAGGGCAUCCACGGGAGGCCAAUGUCUACCCUCGCUCCACACCCCUCUAGUACAAGGCUCUAGGAGGGAGAGAGGCAACAAGUGUGUGACACCAAGGUAAAUAUGCUUGACCUUAUGGCUUUGGGAGCAACUUGCAUUGAAAGACUUGAUGAUUCACAAGAUUCUACAAUUCAUACAAAGUAUUGCAUUUUGCGACGUUCUUCAUCAAUAAGAGAGCCUAGAUAUCCAUUGUCAAGAAUUCUUUAUGUAUGAAAACAAAGGCGCCUAACCGACAUGCCCAAGAUCAAGGCAACUGGAGCGUGUUGCUUCGCCCAAGUUACUUAGCGCGUUUUGUGCCAAAGUUUGUUGUUCGCUCAAGAGGGCUUUUGUGAAUCUUUGUAAUAAAGGGAUAAUACAGAGUGGGCCGUAAUUUAGCAUCUUACACGCUUAGUUUCUUCCAUUGGUGGCAUAUAUUAUUUUGUCUGUCAUUGGUGAUUAUUUAAUAAAACUAUGAGAGUAUUUCAUGAAAUAUAAAUAAGAGGUUUUUAGGAUAUUUAAUCGAUGGUAAACAAAAGUUGAAAACUAAGUAGGGAGGAAGAUAAAAUAUUUUAGAUUUGAUAGUGGACUUGAGCAUUAGAACAAGAAGUUCACAAAGUAUUGCGAGAAUUCUUAUAUUACUUAACAUCACAUGUAAAGAAAUUACAAAGCAAAAUGGAGUGGUUGAAAAGAUGAAUAGAACACCAUUGGAAUGACUAGGUGGCUAAGAUUAACCAUUGGGUUACUUAAGAAUUUAAGGGCUAAAGCUAUCAACAUAACUUAUCAUGUAAUUACUUAGUUGUCAAGUUUUACAAUUAUUUUCAAUAUUCCAAAAGAAGUGUCAAGUAAAUCAAUUGACUUUUCAUCUAUUGAAAUAUUUGAUUGUUGCACUUAUAUUCAUAUAUAGGUGAAAAAAAAAUUCAAUCCAAAAUAAAAAAGGUAUAUAUUCCUUGGGUUUGAAAAAAGGAUUGAUUAAAGACUAUAGACUUUGGGAUCCAACAAUUAAAGAAAAAAAAGUGGUGAGCAGAGAUGAAUUCAAUGAAAAACAUAUGUUAAAGAAAGAUCAAGGACAAAUGAAAUUGGUAUUGAAAAAAAAUUCAACUACAUGACCAAUCAUCGAGAUGAAAUUUGAGAAAAAUGUCAUUAAAUAUGAAAUCCCUCCUAAUUGAUGUCCCUAUUAGAACUUUAUAUGGGCAUCUUUCUCUAUUGCUCUAAAGAAUCAUCGAAUUGGGUAAGGACAUCAAUUUUAAGAUUUUAAUUUUUUUUCAUUAUUUAUUGGAAUAGGAGAUCUUUAAAUUUUUUUGGGGCUCAAUUAGGAAGGAUGAUAGUUAUCAAUGUGUUGGUGCUAUGUCAAAUGAGAAUCCAAUGCACAUGUUGACUAAAGUUGUUCUUAAGGAUAAGUUCAAGCAUUGGUUGAAUGUCAUUAAUUUUUCAUUUUGUAGAACAUGGAAGGUCAAUUUUAUCGAAGAGCCAGGUCAAUCAACUUCUAUUAGGACUUCCAUUGAUUCUUGAUUUGACUAGAGGGACUCCUAGCAGUAAAUUUGUAUGAAGGGGCCCUACGGAGAUGCAAGAGCUGCCAAUCGGAUCGACCAAUAAAUGAUAGGCCCAUGCAGAGAUGUCCCUGAAAUAGGGGAUUGGUUGAUUGGAAAGCUUAGGCAGAGUAUAAAGGAGAACAAUUUAGCAUUUUGGGAAAAGCACAUAUGAAGAUGUUUACAAGUUUGGAAAUUUGAGUUAAAGAAGAGAUGGUCUAAAAAUGUUUCAAAUUUCAAUUUUAUGUUUUUCUAAGUUUGAUAUAUCCUAUUUGGAUAUUUGGGAAGUCUUCUCUUGUUACAUAAGGUAGUCCUAUGAUGAGAUUUGUUAUGAAAAUAGGUUCUUCCUCGUGUGAAAUAUUCCUAUGAAAUUAAGAAGGAAUAUAGGAAGAGUUUUUAUUGAAAUUAUGAAUCUUUUUUUUAUGUAAUUAGAACUAAAAUAUGAGAGUUUUAGAAUUGUAAUUACACCUUUGAAUAUAAAUAAUUGAUAAUAGUGAAUUAAUUUACCUUCUCCCUCUAGAUGUAGGUAAAUGCUAAAUUAUGUUAAAUCUUGUAUUCUCAUAUGAUUUUUUUUUUCAUUUAUUUUUCAUUUUCUUGCCCAUUUCUAACUUGCUACUACAUAAUAACAGGUGGUAUCAGGCUUUUUGUGUUUGCACAACAAAUGGUCUCAGUUUUUCCAGCACCACAAAAAUGAUAUUUUACUUAAUUGCUCCUCAGUGGAAAAGUUGGAAAGAAAAAUUAAAUCAUCGACUACACCUUUUUUUUUUUUUCCAAAACUUUUCUUGUCUUUGUGCAAGAAAAUUAGUAUAUUUUCUCUUUAGUAUUUGUUUCUCAUUUAUAUAUAUAUAUAUAUAUAUAUUCAAAUGGAACCUUAAUCAUCUUUUAUAUGAAGUAUAAAAGAAUUAGAAAAUAUUCAAAUUUUAAAUGAUUUUUAUUAUACUUUGUCCACUUCCUAUUUCAUAUAUCAAAUUACAAUAGAAUUUAAAAUUCUUUUAUAAGUUUUUUCUCCCUUUGCUACCACAUAAACGCAAAGACAGUAUGUGAGUUAAAUACCUUAAAAGAAAAAGAAAUUAAAAUGUGAUACAAAACAAAAGUAACCUCUUUAAAUUCAAGGAAACAAAACACUAAACUUUUUCAUGUAUUUUAUUCCAUUUAUAAAUGCAACAUGACAAAAAUAGACAAAAAUAUAAAUGGAAACCCUUUGGGUCCUUUAUUUUAUAUUUUAUCAACUUCAACCAAUUCUAUUUCUAUAGCACAACCGAUAUUAUAAAGUUCAAUGAGUAUAUAAUAUAUAAAGAUACUAAUCAAUACGAAUUAUUCUUUCUUUCAAAUGGCUACUUGUAUUAAAAAUUAAAUGUAAUUCCUCCUAAACAAUAAAAUAUGUUGACACGAUUUCAAUGAAUAUACAGUACAUAAAGAUAUGACCAAUUAGUACGAAUUAUUCUUUCUUUUAAAUAGCUACUUAUACUAAAAUAUAAGUAAACAUAAUUCCUCCUAGAUAAUAAAAUAUGUUGACACAAGGAGGAAUAUAUUUACUAAUUAUAUCAUUUGCAAUAGCCUCAAUCUCGUGACGUUCUUCGAACCAACCAUAGACUUUAUUGAGAUAGGUUAACCAAGGGAGCUUCCACUCUCAUAACUCGUAUAUGAAAAUUUCAUCUUGUACAACUCAAAUAGAAACCCAUAAAUACCAGUUGAAACCAAAAUGUAAUAAAUAAAUAAAAACAUAUUUCAAUGGAUCCAAUUAGUAUUUUUCUGAUCUCGGAUAAACAAACAAAUUUUUCUUCAUUUUGUUUUUUUUUCCAUUAAUCUUUGUAAGUAAAUUAUAUUUUAAUUUAACAAAGCACUAAACUUUACUUUAAUUUUCAUGCAGGAUCAACUAGCUUAUCAUAAUAAAAUUUAUCAAUAUAGCUGAGCAGAGAUUUGAUGUAAUAAUACCAUACAAAAUUCAAGUAAAAUUAAAUUAAUCAAAUAGGACACUACGGUCAUAUUUGGAUACAUAUUCUAUUUUUUAUUUUUAAAAUUAAAAUUUUGAUAUAAAAUAUGACAACCCUUUGUAUAAAAAAUAAAAAUUUAUCCUAUAAUCUUAAAACUACUUUUCAAUAUUAAAAAAAAAUGAGGACGUGUCCUAAAAUUUUAAACAAAUUUAAAAAUAUUUUUAAAUACCAAGAUAUCCACUUUUUUCUUUUUUAAUAAAAAUUCCUAUAUUUGAUAUAAAACUCUAUUUUAAAAAAUGAAAAAUAAAAAAUGUAUCCAAACAUAAGCAAAAUUGUUAGAUUUCAUUGUGAGAUUUCUUAGAUUCUACAAUUCAUAGUGAAAUGAAGACGAGAGAUAACUGACUGAAUUAUGAAAAAAAAAAUUAACAUUGAUGAGAUUCAAAAAUGCUAGUUAAUGAAAGAGUUUCUCCGCCAGGAUGACUAAGAAAAAUGCUGAAAAAUGUGUCAUGCCCAAAGCAAUGUUACAAUGAAGAAUAGAAUGAGAGCUAACCCGAAACAAAAUCCGACAAUCGCCAUGAAAGCCUGGAUGCAGAGGAAAUGUAACUAGAGACAUGUAAGGAAUCAUUAAGCAAGUGAGAACAAUAUCAAAAUCUCAUGUACGACUUACUUACCUUUCCCUGAGAUUCAAACUUGAAUUUUACUGUAAACCAUGACAAUCCUCUAUCUACAAUAGGUGCAAGUGCAAGGGCCCUGCAUGAGAAGCACCUCUACAAAAAUCACAGAAAACCCAAAGGAAAAAAAAAAAAAAAGAGUAAAUAAAUAGAAACUAGUCUAUCAGAAACCAGGAGGCUGCAACAAAUAAUCUCCAAAUGUCAGAUUUAAUAUUUAUUUACAAAUGCCACUAAAAGGCCUUUUCAUCAGAGAAAUCUAGAAUAAAAAAGGAUAAGGAGCCAUUUGGAUUACAGAGGUCAAAGAUUGGGUUGGAUGGGAGCAAGUUUAACCUCCUCAGUGAAAAUGAAAAUGCAAGGCCCAUCAUCAACGCUAGGUUCAAAAAUUGACACCAUUUCUUGAAGACUUUCUUUUUUCAUUCUUCAAUUGUCAUUUUGAUUCAAAGAAGCAGCAGCAUGAUAGACUAAACAAUCAUCAUAAACCCAGUUGCAAGUUAUAAGGAUAAGAAAGAAAAUGAACAGAAAACAUAUAUGAGAGAACUGAUAGGCCAAAAAAAUCAUUGUUGAAGGAAUCGAGCAUAAAUCUCUGAACAAAAUUUAGCUGAAAUUCACUGAUUUUGGGUUAUUUUGUGAUAAGAGCAUUGCAAUAUCCCAAUAAACUGUUACGCUAACUAAAGAUUUAAAACAGAAUUUAGCUGCUUACCCUCCAGCUCUGACAAGUUUAGUGACCUGGCUGCCUGCCCACACCAUAGCCAUGAUUUUGACAAAUCUGCCAAUUGGAUUCCAUGUCAAGAUAUUUUGAAAAACUUGUGCAAAAAGAAACUUUUUGGAAUAAGUUUUUACCUUUCAACUGCCGCCAAAUAACCCAUCCUUCCUGGUGCUGGAGCAAUAUAAAACCUAGAAGCAGCAUAGUGAAUUCAGAGUUAUACUGGUUAUUUGAAAUCUACUCUGAACACCUAUGAUAGAGACUGCAGGAUGUGGUAAAACACUAAGGCAUAUUUCAAACUACAUUAUAAGGUAUUUGAUUAGAAAAUUAAAUAAAUAAAUAAAUAAAUAAAAUAACAUAACAUAAAAUACAAAAAAGAAAAAAAAAAUUAACAAACUGAAUUUGUCCAUAUGCAACAAUAUGCAAUUGUUAGCCAUGAAUCCCAGUUAUGUCGGUUUCCAGUAUUAAUAAUUAAGCAUGAUGUUUAUGAACUAGACCAGCAUUCUAAUAACUCUAGAUUGAAGGGCAUGGAUGUCACAUUUGUAUUCCAUCAUGUGCAACUAACAUCACAUUGAAAUAAUAUCCACUAAAGCAAGUUAAGACCCAGUAUAUCAGAUUAAAUUUUUUCUACCAUGAACAUAAGCUUGAUAAAAAUGAAGAUGGAAAUGCAAUACUUCUUUAUAUGACAUAAUGAAGGGAACCAAAUACAAGGACUCCCCAUUCCAGAUGCAGAAAGCCAAGUUACAACCUUUGCCAAAUAAAGAGAUCCACCAUAAGUUCAUUUUUAGACAUGCUAUAGUUGAAUAUGCCAUCAGUAAGUGAUCAAAAGCCAAUUCAGAUGGGAAUAACAGCCACAAUGUUGGGAAGGUCAAUAACAAAAGCAUUGACUUGAAUGUUGGCAGUGUCAUUUACACUGGCCAUAAGAACCAGAGGUAAUGCAUACAGUUGGUAAGGUGGGGAGGAGGAGAUGAGAAAUUGAAAAGUCUUGAAUUUAUUUGUUUCAUGCAAUUCCGUUUUCCAAUACUCUAUACGAUAAUAUACAUUGUACAGCACAAGAAUAGGGUUGUUUUAAAAUUUUGAACAAAUAAAAAUUUCAUAUCAAUAUCUAAUAUUUAAUAAAAAAGAAUGAAACAAGAGUAAGUACAUUCUCUUCUCCUUAACAUGGUAUUAAAGCAGUCUCCAAACUCUUAACUCCUAGUUGCAUACUUGAUUUGCACUGGAAGUUGCAGUUUGCUCAUUUUGUUAUUCAAGUAAGUUACUUCAAUCUAUCAUAGUUUAAAUGACUUGGGACGGUAGUUGUCAUGGGCACGAAUUUUCCCACAAAUUUUUCGCAUUCACACAGCGCUUAGAAGCCCUCUAAGCCAACAUACUCAAACCCACAUGAGAUUGCAAUCAAGAAAAACCUCACAAAGACACACAAGGCUAUGGAGCUCAAUCCCUAACUUGUAUUUUAUUUCUUCUCUAAAUAACAAUACCAGACAUAGCUUAACAAGACUUCCACAAUCUCUUUGGUGAGUUCAUGCUCUCUCUCAAGCUAUGUAUAUUCUCUAUGAUCUCCAGAUUGCACGAUAAUUCAAAGGGCACUCCAGUCCUCCUUUUAUAGGUGUGACACCAACCACUCCCUAUUUGAUAAGGAGCAACGAAUCCUAGUUCUACUCAAACUACAAUUAAAAUAAGAAUCUAAACUCCUAUUCAAACUCAAAUUACAAUAACAAUUUGAAUUCAACUCUGAACUUUCAAAUGUCUUCGGCCCAUUCCUCUUUCAUUUGAAACUCCUUGUAUCAGGCCACAUAUCAGCCCUUCAAUUCCCUGGUUUGUGGUGCAAUAUAUCUUCCUUAAGCUUGUCCCAAUGCCAAGACAUCUUUGUUGUGUUCUGCCUGAAGUCUACCCACUCUUGUGCCUUGAGUCAGUCCAUUCAUGCAUUUGAAUCAGCUGAUGCAUCCGAUCAGCUUGCUAUAGCGUCUCUAGGCAGCCUACUACAUGUGUCUCUAUGCAACUAGUGUGCAUGCCAAGCCCUCUCUUAGCCUACAGAUCUAGCAAUUUUCCUUGGUGCCAAUCUUUCCUUUGGCUGUAGCCCCUUGUUGUUCCUUGAGCGUGUCAGUCAUGCUCAUAUGUGUUCCCGCAUCUGGAUCACGUCCAUGCUGAGGCAACCUGCCCAAGUUUGCUCUGCCUAGCUGUUGUUAUGGCAUCAUGCCAUGCCCAAGCCCUCUUCUUGGUGCAGCAACGAGUCAUGGCAUUGCACCCAUGACUCCUCAUCUCUAUGCACAAGGCAUUGUGCCCUUGUGCCACGCCACCUCAUUGCACAAGGCAUUUCCCCCUCAUGCUACCGUUGGGAAGGGAAGACUGCAUAGCACCCCAUGUCGUUGCAACCUUGAGUUGCACACCAUCACAUGUCAUGGAGCCCAUAUAUGGUUGCUAGCAAGGCUUGCCCAUGUGCCUUGCUCAUGUUUGAGGACUUGCACCAAAGCCCCUAAGUGUGGCCAUGCCCAUGCCACCUCGUCUCCCUUGAGUCACCCCCACCCUCACCCCCCUUAAAAGAGCAUUUUAAGCCCUUUUAAUUAAUUCAAGAAAAUCUAGAAAAUUUUGCUUCCACUUGGAGUCUCCCUUUUGAAGGUUCCUAUAAAUCUUUUAUCUCUAAGCGAAUUAACCAAGUCACUUAAUUGUUUUGCAACAUUCCUUCCCUUCCCAUAGUGUAUUUCAAGAUCUCUUAAUGAACAAGACAAUUGGUGGAGGGCAUGAAGUAAGUGGAAUUUAUCACCAUAUUGGCCCACCUUUUACUCCAAUUGCUCUACGUACUUCCAUUUCUUCUAUGUAGUGGCACACCUUUCACUACGCAUCUUUAGCAUAUGGGACUUCUAGUUAUAUUGGACUCCAAGUUAAAGCACCAAGUUUGUGAGUCAAGCAAAUAGCAUCACCAUAGUGUUGUUCUAGUCCUUUUUGUUCUAUAAUCAAUAAGAGGAGUACUAGUCCUUUUCAUCUUGUUCAUUUAGACAUUUACAGUUUAUGUAGUGUUGUUCCUAAUGUUGAACUAAACUUUUUUAUUGCUAUUUUAUUAAUUAGAUCAAUGAAAAUGGUAUGAGCAUAAAGAGGCUGAAUAAUAGGUACUAAUCUCUUAAAAAAAACUAUCUUGUAGAAACAUCAUCAGGUGACUAUGCACAAGUAAAUGGUCUGACAAGGCGUGAGAAAAACAUUCAUUUUUGUGCAACAACCAAGUAUUUGCAUCUUAAUCAACCAAAGAAUAAAUGGCUGAAGACAAUAAAUGACUGAACAAAAAGAAAAUCAUAAGUUUUAGGCCAGACACUUUUUUCAUCAAUUAUAUACAACAACAAUAAAUCAAAUAGUCCUAAAUUUCAAAAGAAUAAUGCUCAGCAGCUAUGCAUACUCACAAGUCACAAAUACCUCAUCCUUGACUAAUUUACAUGAAUGAAUUAUUUACUUACCAUACCAAGAGAAACGUUGUAAGAUAGUAUGCAGUAUUCAGGAGUCCAUAGGAUAAUAUUCCAGAAAUUCCAUAUCUCUUCAGUUUCUUUAGAAGACUGAAAGGUUAAGCAAGAAUGAGCUCUCAAUGUAAGUAGACAUGCAUUUCAGCAUACAAAGGGCAAAAGGAUUGAGGUAUCACUUCUUACAGAUUGUUUGCAUGAAAUUCAGUAGUAGAAGAGAAAUUAAAAUGAUUGGGACAAGAUCACUCAUCCAAACAAUAGUUUAUUUACAGAGAAAAGGUCUAAAGCAUAAUCAUGCAGUAGACAAAAUGAAUCUUUUGUGUCAUGUUCCAAUAAUGUUAACAAACUACAUUAAAUUCAUAAGGUUACAUAGAAAAAGAAAGAAAAGACAUUGUUGCAAUAGUUUGGUUGUUACACUGCUAGCACCCAGACUACGACCAAAUCCUUGCAUUGAAAUUGAAUUUCAAACUCCCAAUGUGAAAAAGGAAGAUACAAAAAAGAAAAGAAAAACAGGAGGAAAAAAAAAAAAACAGAGGGAAAGAAAAGAAACAUGGGAUUUCCAUGUAUAAUACAUACAUAUUAUAUCUAUAGAUAAAUGCAUGUAUGUGCAUAUGUCAUAGAGGCUGGUCAGACACAUUUCAAGAAGUUUCACAACUUGCUUUGGAAUGACAAACACGUGGAUCAAUAAAUGGCUUGUCUCCAUUAUUGAGAAAUUGCAGGUAAAUUUCAUCCACUACAGGCAUGGGGUGGCUGGACAAAGUUAUGCCAUUUGGUGGGAUGUAGUGGACUUAAGACAGAAAAUUCUCAAUCAUUCUUCUGUCCCUUGUGCAGUGUUGAAGCUGACAAUAUUAUUGAGCAUACAAGGAAUGUGAUGUAAAACAUCAUUGAGGACCAUGAGCUGCGAAGGCAGGGAGAAAUUAAGUUAUGAUUAAGUUUUGGUGAGGGAUUUUCAGAUGCAGAUCAUAUGGCAAAUUAACUUCAGAGAAUUGCAUGUUUUUAUUCAUUUCCAUACACAUUGAAUAAUCAUAUUUAAAAUCCCUCAUUCACUUGUUUCGCUUCCAUUAGUGCUCCUUCCACAUGCCUAUUAGCAGCAUAGACCUCAUGAUAGUUUGGUAAAGGUAAGACAAUAAAAUUGAAAAAUACAGCUAAAGCCUAAAAUAUUGGCUCAUAAAGAGAGAAACCAUCCAAGUUCUAUCUUAAAUGACUCUACAAGUUCUAAACAGGGAGACAAGGACUUCAACCUGGUCCAUCAAUGCAUAUAAAUGGGUAAUCAUUCCAACAACCAUUACGUUAGAAGUACACUAAAAGAAAAUUAUUAAACAAUGUUGUUUCCAAAAAUUCCAUGUUAAAGAAUAGAAGAACAUACUGCUAUAAAUGAAAUUCAUUCAAAACAGUUCAAACAGUAAAGUUAAGAAUUGUGACUGCAUAUUUUUUUUUAAAAGAAACAAGAAUUGUGACUGCAUAUCACCACACUUGUUUUAUUUAUAAUCCACACAAUGUAUUCUUCCCUAGCAUGUUAUCCCAUUAAGUAACCUCCAGAUAAAAUUCCCUUUCUGACUCUGUCAAUCAGCCAAAAAAUUUGAUGUAAAAUGUAAAAUACAUGGGUACACAAAAACAACUAUAUAAACUGCCAUCCCAUCAUUAAUAAAUCAUUUGUCUAUAACAUAGACUAAUAGCACUGUAAGGCAAGUAGGAAGUACUCUUUUGAUGUGUGCAGUUCUCCUUCACCAUUUUCGCCCUUUGCACUGGAGUCUAUAAAAAUAUGUAUAAGUAGAUUUUUAGAAAUAUCAAGUUUAUCAAAUGUAAAAUAUGGUAUCACAGAAAGCUACACCAUUUUUCUAGUUAUCAUUUGAAAGAUAUUGAUACCUUCAUGGUUGGCAGAGUAGUCAUGACCAUUUGACAUGCCAGAAGCCUAACCUACAACAAAGGCAAUGUUGAAAAAGCAAUAUUCAAAAUUCAAUGAAAAAAACAGAAGACAAACAAAUGAACAAAUAGCAAAUCAUCACACUCAAUUGUUUUCCAAAAAUGAAAAACCAAAUGAAAGGAACAAGGAAUAUAUUGAGAAAAAAACCUAUGAUCAAUGGAUAUGCAGUUGCAUUCUAGCACAUAUAUAGGAUCAAACAAGUAACUAAUCUAGACAUAGCUGCAGCAAAUUUGUGUAUCUCUGAAUGCGUGUCUGCUUUUUGUGGGGGGAUAUUUAUUAUGACAUGUUCUUAGUGCAGACAAACCAUCUGCAUUUACUUGAGGAUUAGGUAAACAUACUUUCCAUUUAAAAUGAGGCCUUGAACAUCAAGCCCCGGUGAGUUUUCAAAUAAGGAAAACAUAAUAGCUUUACAAUGAGUCCCAUAGCAAGAAGGCAUGCAAUUCCAUUCAUCAGCAUACCAGAAUAUAGAAUAGUGUGGACAUGUGGACACAUGCCAGAAUUAGCAUUGGACACACUAACAUGCCAGUCAUACAUAGAAAGACUUUCCAAAGAUAUUAAAGUAAAACACUGGUAGUAAGCAAAUUAGACCCAGAAAAACAUGCAAGUAUAGGCCAAGAUCAAAUCUUAAUUUUAAUUUCCAGAAAAAAAAUAAAAAAUUAUAUCAACCAAUAGAAAUGGUAUCAUCAGCAAUUAACACCAAAACACACCAACAUAUCGGAAUGCAUAUCACGUGUACCAAUCUCCAAUCAGCAUUACACCUGUACAAGUUAGCCUGUAGCAGGUCAUAAUAGGUUCAGACUAUAAAACCUUCCAAAUCUUCCUUUGCAGGGCUUAGAAACUAUUUUCUAAGUAAUUUGCAAUUUUAAAAGCCUGUGACAAAAUUUUGGAUGAAGAGCUUAAACUAUAUACUCACAAACCCACUCCAAAAUUUCCUUAAGGUAAUACACAUUUUUUGAAGUCCUUUCCAAUGUCUUCUCUUAUUUGAGUUAGAAAAGCCAAUGUUUUUAUGAAUUGACUACUACGGCUGUUGAGGUUUGAGGUGUAUAACUAAUUUCUUAAUAUAUCAUAAUUUACAUCAGUCAUUAGAAAUUAAGGUUCCAUCCUUUUACACUAAGAAAAUCCUGAGAGCAAUUAAAAAAUACCUUCUUUAAUAUUAUUAAAUUUAAGUUUCCUUUAGGUCUUUGAGUCUAAUAGAAAUUAGUAUAAAAGGAAUUUUAAUUUUCUUACACUAAGAAAAUAAAAAUAAUAGGCAAAAUAAUUUUCAAAUUUUGGAACUUUAUAGGUAAUGCUUAUUAAAAUAAAGCAACAAAGUUUGUCAUUUGCCAAUGAAUGAACCAAUUGUGGAAAACUAUGCAAAAAAUUUUAUUAGCAUGGAAUUUUUUUUUUCUGCCAAUAUAUAGAAUUCAAUUUCAAACCUGCCCCUCCCAACCCACCACUUGCUACUUGAGGCAAGCUUAGAGGCAGAAAACUAUUUACAAUUCUACGUAUGGAUAAAAAUUAUUUCUUAGAUUUUAUGCCAAUUCCAUAUUUAUAGGUAUCAAUUUAUUAUUCUACUGUUGUCAGAAGCUUCAAUUUUGGGCGUCCUCAUGGCUAUGCCACCCUUAAAUGAGAACAACUUUGGUCUUCUGUUUUUCUUUUUGAGCUCUUCAAAUUUUUGCAAGUUACUUCUAUCCAGGUUCUAGGAAACACCCAUUUUUUUAAAUCUCCAAUAAUUUAGGGUUCUGUGGCUGAGGGAAUAGACUUAUUUUUGGUUGAAGCACAUAAAAUUCUUGGCUAUUUUUUUAUUUUUUAUUUUGCCAUCAGGUCCUUUUAGGUUGAUUUUUCUACUUAUUUUUCACCCACCAAUUAACAUUGCCCUAACUCUGUUAUCUAUCCGAACAAAUGUUUAUGAACUAGCAAAUCAUACUAAAAUUUCUUACUAGUUGACAUGUGCAUCAUCUCAGCAUGUCAUUCCAACACCAAACUACAACCAUAAUCUCACUAACAUCCUAACUGCCUCAAUGAGUAUGGAUUACAGAAAUGCAAUUAAAAUAUACUUCCCUAUUUAAUUUCAUAAUUUUUAUAAUAAUAUUUCAGCAAUAUUUCCACAUAGUAGCUUAUGUGAGAAAUCCCCAUUUCCGUAUAAAAUCGAAAAACCCUAUAGCUUGCGCAUGUAAAUAGAAAAAAAAAAAAAAAAGACAGAUUUUGCAGAAUUGGGAGAGCAGACUCACACCAGCAUGGCCAUUGAUUGAGCAGAAACGCAGAUGACGAUGAUGGUGGUGGAAUUGGGAGAAAUUGUUGAGUUUGUGGAAUGUGGGAACCCUAGGAAUGCUGGGAUUGAAACCCUGGAUUGAAACAAGAGGAUUGUGAGAGAGAAUUGGAAAUUGAAGAAUCAAACACAAAAAAUAAAUCCAAGAAAUAAAAAAGAAGCGUAAAAAUGAAAUAGAGAAGAGUGUGUAUGACGCACCUGAUGAUGUGAAAGCAGCUUCAGCUGGUGAAGGCAAACUUUCGACGGGAGAGACAUGAGCAUACCGGCCUCCGACAACAAUCCCUCCAAAAUAUUCUUUCUAUACCAUUUAUUAUUAUUAUUAUUAUUAUUAUUAUUAUUUUCAGGUUAUUUGAAGUGCAAUGUCUAGCUAUACCAUUUAUUAUUAUUAUUAUUAUUUUAUUGCUAUUAUUAUUUUCAGGUUAUUGAAGUGUAAUGUCCACCAUACCUUAUAUGCCAUCCAUGAUGAAGGCCUUAGAACUCUCCAUGGAGCCUAAAUCUCGGGAUGCUAAUCACCCUAUAAUAACCAGCAUAGAGUAUAUUCAAAGUAUCAUUAAUGACAAAUUUCGAACUUAGGACCAUAUGUCAUUUACUGAGACCACACUUCUUAAUGUUCAUCCUUAGCGACACACUCAUAUGUACCAAAUCAUCCGAUAACCUGUUUUUCCUAUUUUCUCAUUUUUACAAAAAAAAAGAAAAAAUAAGAAUAACUUCUAUUUUUAAAAUUUUAAUUUUUUUUAUAAGUAAAUUUUUGUUCUCAUUAGGACCUGUGGAACCUCCCACAAGUCCUCCCGAAUCAUUUACCACUUGAGUCAUGCCUUAAUGGCUUGUUUUUUUAAAAAAUAAUAACAACUUUUAUAUAAAAAAAAAUACUUAUAAAAAAUAUAUACAUGUCAUUAAAAGUUUAAAGAAAUUUAAAUUUGAUAAUAAUUUUUUAAAUAAUUUAAUGUGUUAAUUGUUCUUAAAAACCGUAAAUAACCUAAAAAAGAACAGUAUGUUUGUAAAUUGACCAAAUUGUUAUAUGGUUUUAAAUAGUCACCUUAACAAUGUUACAAGUGAGUUGAUUAAUUUAUGGUAGAGAAGAAUUACAAUAGAAUUCAAUUAGUUAUCGCAUUUGAAGUCUUUGAUUAUUUGUUGAAUAAUAUUUGCAGCCAAUUAGCUAGGGUUGGCUAACCCAAGCCAAACCUAGUUACCAAUAUGUCCAACCUAUGCUAAACUCGAUUCAAAGUAAGGUUGGUAGUUACUAAACUCAUUAACAACUAAAGUUUCUAUGGAUUCCCACGAGUUUUCAUGGAUUAUCAAAUAAACCACAUAUAAUGGAAUCUCCUAAUAUAUAAAAGACAUAUUUCAAAUUAUAAAUUAAACCAUAUUAUAAAAUAAAAUUUUAAAAGCUAAGUAUAUAUCAAAGUCAUAAAUUAUAUUACUAUUCACUAAUUUUAAUGGUAACAUGAAACACAAGUGUGAAUAUUUAAAAAUAUUUUAGUAAUUAAACAAAAAUGAUAGACUUAUAGUGUAAUGUAAUAAAACUAGCAAAAGUUAUAGUUAUUUCAUUAUCCCUUUUAUAAAUUUCAUAUUUUAAAUAAACUAAUAAAUAAUAUAAUAGUAAUGAAUUUGCUUAGUCUUCAUCAUGUAGAACCAAUUUGAAGAAUUUUUUUUUAACAGGACUGAUUAAUGACUUAAUUAAGGGUAGGUUACAGCUAAAAUAUUUAGUAGGACUGAUUAGUGACUUAAUUAAGGGUAAACUACAGCUAAAAUUUUCCUAGUAGUCUUCCACUAUGGCAAAUUGUGGGAACUAGUAGUGGCCUGUCCAACCUAUAGAGGAAACAAAUAGGUGAGUGAGUUAUUGAAUAUGUGGCUGAGAGUGACCAACCAUUGAGGCUCACAUGAAGUUGUAGUGGCUGAAAGGAAGGGAUAAGAGACCAAAAACAUGCUCAGAGAGAUUCUUGUUAGGAUCAAAUUGGGGGCAUAGAUAUAUCUCUUUGGUAAGAGUUCCCAUAAUUUAGGUAUUAAUGAAAUAGGUAUAAAAUAAUUAUAUAUCUUGAUAUGAUCAUGUUGUUAAUGAUGAUCUAAUGAGUUGAAAUAUUAUGUUUUCAACUGUGUAUAUCUAAUAAAUACAUCAAGUGCUUAAACUUUAAUAUAGAAAUGGUCCACAAUGGCUUGUAUGACUCAUCGUCUUAUAAACAUAUUAUUUAGAUUAGGCUAAAGUGGUCAAAGUAAGAAGAAAAAUUGAUACUUGAUUUGAAGUAUGAAGAAUUCUUCUUAGACUUUGUGUGUAGUGUUGUUAGCUUAUUGUUGUGUUAAAGUCUAUUUUGAUGUAUUUUGGAAAGAAUGACCAACUAGAACCACAAUAAGAUGUUGCAAAACUUAUUUAAACAAGGGCUUGUGAGCAAGAUUUUUUUUUUUCCCUUUCAUGUACAAAUAGUAUGAUGAAUGAAAAUUUGAUUCUCGAUUGUAAUUAGUGUUUUCUUUAAGUUUUAAAUCAUGCAAUGAAUACUUAAAAUUAGCUUACGAUGUCAAAGAAUGUAAGUAAACAAGGUUUUACAUGUUGGAUAUAUAAUAAAUUCAAAACCUUUACCUUCCACAUUGAAUGAUUACAUUUUUUCUUUAAGUGCCCUUUAAUCAUUCUCAUUUUGUUUAAUCAUUUUCUAUAAUGUCUCGAGCAUAGUAGAUUUCUAUAAAUUUACAUGAGCAUUCCUUAACUCUUCUUGAGUGAUCCUAAACUUAGCAUUGAAACAAUCAUAAUUUAGGCGAAGAUGCUUAUACGUCUUCAUAAUCAUCCUUGGUUGCUAGCCAUUUUUCCUUAAUUACUUUAGGAUGUUUAGUGAAGAUGAUUACAAAUAUUAACUAGUUCACUCAAACAUUUUUGUAUGAGUGUAGAACAAUUUUGCAUUCUUUCCACAUCACUUAUGCAUCUUCGUUCCAAGAAAUAAGAUAUAGAACUCUUAUGUUUUGCCUACACCACUUGGUUCUCCAACCCAUUGUGCUUAUGCAUCCUUUUUAUAUCACAUAUGCGACUUGCUUCUCAUUAAGAUAUUUCACUUACAUGUUCUUGUAUAUGCAUAAUUUAGGAAAAAAUAUUUAAAAAUAGAAAAAUAGAUUUUAAUACAUAUAUUUGGAACAAUUAAACUCAAACUAUGCAAGUGACCUUGUCUACUAUGUAGGUGACUUUGUUUACUACAUAGGCAAAGUAUAUGACAGUGAUAGUCAAGGAAGCUAUGUGGUUGCAUGGUUUAGUGGAGAAUUUAAGAGUAAAGCAAGAUCACAUUGUGAUUUAUUAUGAUAAUGGGAGUGCCCUAAAUUUAUUUAAGAAUAAAAUUCAUCACUCAUUGGUAAGGCAUAUUGAUGUCUAAUUUCAUUUUAUUUAAGAGAUUCUAGAAGAAAGUCAUACCUUAUUUUAGAAAAUUACUGAUGUUAAUGAGGUAGGUCAUAUUUAAAUGUGAUCCAUGUUGAAAGGAUCAAUGUACCUUUAGGUGUGUAGUAGCAAAAUCUUUAAAGAUUGUUUGGUUAGCUUCAUUUAAAUUACUUAGUUAAAUAUUACAUAGUCAAUUAUAUGUUUGACUUUUUGAACUAGAACAUUUAGAUUUUGGUUGUUGUAGUUGUUAUAAUUACUAUUUAGGUUUUUAAAAAGGUAUAAAUUUAUAAUUUUAGUUGGUUUUAUUAGUUUCAUUUAAAAUUCCCAAGAAACUUCAGUGAAGGAAAACAGAGCAAGAGAGUUUUUGAGAAUUGCUUAUAAUUCUUGUAUAUUAUUUUGAUAUCUUUAGUGCAUUCAUCUUAUCAUUACCAUAGAUGAAGGCAUAUUGUCAAACCAUAUAAAUUGUUUAUCUCUUUGUCUAUAUUGAGCUGCCAAGAUCAGUUCCUUGUAAUCCAAUGGCUUAUUUUGAUUCCACGAUGCUACAAUGUAUUGAAUUAAGCAUAGGGAUUAACAAUUCCAAUCAUAAACAAUAAGAGAUCCUCCCCAACAGCAUAAAAAACUUGAGAGACCCGAGGCUCGCAUCUCAGAAUAUGCUCUUGAACUAACACUAAAGAUGCCUAGAUUCACCACCACCCUUUCCACCCCAAUGUUGUUAGAAGUAGAAUCUAAUCAAAUGAAGAGUUCCUGAUAGUUGCGAGUUCUUAUGAUUUUUUUCCAUCAUUUUCUGACUUUUUUUUCAUCCAUUACGUACGUCCUUCUGAGUGGAGUUCUCCUUUCAUGGUAUCAGAAAAUCAUACUCAAUGAAUUCGUUAUAACCAGACCAUAACCAGAACCUCCAUGGCGUGUUUUUCCUGUGUUUUUUCUGAAAAUAUAGCUACAUUUAUACAUAUUUUUAAGAAUAUUAAAGGCAUUAUCAAAGGAAGAAACCGAGAAAACUGAUUGUAUAGAAAUCUAUAAUUGUGCUUACUUUCAGUCCUAGUCACAAAGUUUCAACCAGAUAAAUCAUGUCGAGAGAUGCCCAGCAAGUGGUGGUGGUCCAGGAUGCAUCCAGAGAUGUUAGUUCAAGAGCAAUCCUUAGGAUUCUCCAUGACUUAACACUUAAGCCUGGAGAUGACCUUACACUCCUCGGAGUUCUUCACCAGGUUAAUAAUCCUUGUACGCUUUCUUUCAUGGGAGGUAGGAAAAUACGUAAAAAUUCAUGCCUUUUUUUUCUUUUGAGUACAGAAGAAAAAUCCAAGAAGAAAGAAAUAUUAAACAUAGCACCAGGAAAAUGAUAUAUACCAAAAGGGAAAUUGUGCAGGUUUAUAGAUUGAUGAAUGAUGUGUCAGAUUUCCCAAUACAACUAUUUUAUUCUAAGGUAUACUUUGAUAAUAGAGACAACUAUUUUAUGAUCAAAUGAAAAAAUGAGGUAUAACAAUUAACCCAAGACAAAUCCUUAAGUGAUACUUUAGUUUUUUAUGAAAUAAAUGUUCUUUUUAUAUUAGUAUAAAAGAUUAUUUUUUCUUAGUUUCAUUUAGGGAAAAUUUUGAUUUUUUAAAGUUUUAAAGUUGGUUAAUGUAAAAUUUGUUUUUUAUCUUUUAGAUUUUCUUUUCCAUAUUUACAAAAAUAGAUAAUUAAAUAAACUUAGAUAAAAAUAGAAUUUUCAUGUUCACUUGUUUGCCUUAUGAAUUUAUUUUACUAUUAAAAUAGGUGCUUCUUAUUAUUUAAUUUUAAAAGUGAAGAUGCAUGUUUUAAUAAAUUCUAAGAGAGGACAAUGUUUAAAAUAAAAAAUUGAAAUAUCGUGGAAAUUAAUAUUUUAUUUUAAAUACAGACAAUUUCCAUGUAAUUUUGUUUGUAUAUUAUCACUACAAAUCAACGAUGACUCCAAAUAGCCAUUGGCCUUAAGAGAUGUCAAGCUCACAACAAAAAUAAUGUUCUAAGUUCUCUAAAAAUAUUUUAAUUAAACACAAAGGUAGUCCAUCAUCUAAUCAACAUUUGCAUAUACAAAACCAUUUUAGCAAAAGUUACAUCAUCCGUUAGUAUAAGCAAACAUGAAUAAGUAUUUCCUAAUUAAGAAAAAUAUUAAUUCAAAUAUUUUAAAUUGGCCAACAAAUUAGGAUAUUGAAAUAAUGGUCUCUAUAUCAAAUGAGUUAUAAGAAAAGGUAACAUUAUCUUUCAUCUAAAUUUCUAUGCUUUCACAAUCUUCAAAAUUAAUAAAACAAUAAGUUAUCUUUCAUUUGAUGCCAUUGGCUAUAUUGUAUUUUCUCGUGACAAAGUGAUGAUUAUCUUUUUUUUUUUUUUAUGCACUUGAUUGAUUUGGUUUCCACCAAUGUGACUUUAGUGAUUUAUCCUUCGCCGGUUGUUAGGAUAAUGGUAGUGGUUAAUAUGAUGUCGUCAAUAGAAUAACUACCUACUCUAGGUAGUAUGUUGGAUAUGAUGUUAUAAACCUACUUAUAGAUUAAUAUAGUUCAACAAAUACUAAUUUGAGAGAGAGAGAGAUAGGUCUAUGGUGAGUUGUAGUGAAAGGGAAGGAUUAAGGCUAGGGUUUGUGUGGGUAUGAAAAAGAUAAAAACAUUUUUAUUUUCAUAUCCAUUUUUGGAUUUUAAAAAAUAAAAAUAAAUAGGUGGAUAUAGAAAGAGUUCAAGUGGUUCGUUUGCAAUUUCCCUUCAUAAAACAUCACAGUUGUCAAUGAGAUCUAUGCACUAAGUAAUUUUAACAACCUUUGUUUGUGAAUUGCUUGUUACUGCAUUAAGUUUUGGUAUUCUCCUCCAUGUAGGUGAAACAUAUCAUGUUUAUGUAGAAUCAUUAAUAUAGUGUUUAACAGCUUCCAUGAAAAAGAAAGCGUGAGAGCUUGGGGAUAUACUUCCCAACUUAGAGGACAUCUCAAUAGCAAUGAAUAGAUUUUCAUAUAAAUGGUUAAAUAGUAUAUAAAAUAAUCGAAGAUGUCUUGUUUUAGUUUACCUCCUAGGUAGAUAGCCUAGUUACUUCAAGUAGUUUUGGCAACACCAUUUACUAUCAUCUUCAACGAGUAUAUAUCCUUCAAGGCAAGGCCUCACUUUCUUAGCUCAACAAAAAGUUUAUUAUGAUAAGUUAUCUUGAUAACUAAUGACUAAUCUUGGUGUAUAUAUAUAUAGUUAAGAGGGAUGUGAAUCAAUGAGAAAUAGUUUCCACUUUGUGCUAAUGAUAGGUUUGAGUCAAGGUUCAAAUUUUCAUCCAUGGAAGUAUGAAUGUUGAUCAAUAUGAAAUUCUGGUCCAUCUUGUGAUAACAAAUAGUUUAUCAUAUGUAACUCAAAAUUAUUCUUUCUAUACAUUCAUCUUGUGCACCCACCUUUCUGUUUCUUUAUUGUACGUAUCACUUUCUCUUAUUCCAUAAGGAGAAGCCACUAGACUUGAGAAAUCAAUUAGAGAAUGAUACAAUUCCAACAAGAUCGAGUAUGAAACAUUUCUUAUCAAUCUUUUCAUAGUGACUCAUAGCUUGUAGUAAAUUAAUGGGCUAUUUGUUUUUUAACUUGAGUUUUGAAGCAAGUUGUUUUAAGAUUUAAGAUAAAAGUAAAAAAGAAAUUUACUUUUUCUAUUAACACAAAAUUAUCUUAGAAAAUAUGAUACGUUAAAAAAUAACCAUUUUAAAAAUGACAAAUCUUAUAGAAAAAAAUAAUAUAAAAAAAUAACACUUAACACUAUUAAAUAGUAUUUAGUUUUGAGUUAUAUUAAGGUAUAUAUAUAUAUAGACACACACCACCUAAGGUGAUGUUUUACUUGUUUGUUUGUUUUUUCUAAAAUCUAAAUAGAUUUGAAUUUGGAUUGAAUUUAAAUAGAGCAAAAUGUCAUAAGUGUUUAGACUCUUUGUGCUUUAUUGUAUUUGAAAUAUGUUAAGUGUUAAAUUGUUUAUUUUUACUUAUGUCAAAAUACUAUAAGUAUUAAAUUUAUUUAUUUCACUUGUUAAAAAUGUCUACAAAAUUAAUUAUAGUAUUUGUUAUUAUUUUAGUUUUAAAAAUUUACAAUUUUUAAAAUAUAUAGUAAUUUAAAUAUUUCCAAAAUAUCAAAAUUAUUACGAUAAUAAACAUUUUAUAAUAAUUAAUAUUGUAAUUAUUUAAGCAUAAUUGGAUAAUAACAAGGAUUUCCUAUUAUGCUUGGUUACUAAAAAAAUAUUUUAAAAAAUUUCUAAUUUGACACUUAUUUCUAUAUGGUGUGUCUUCAUAUUUAAAUUUAAAUAUUUUCCAAAAUAUCAAAAUUUAUUACUAUAAUAAAAAUUUUACAAUAACUAAUAUUGUAAUUAGUUAAGAAUAAUUAUAUAAUAAUGAGACUUUCUAAUUAUGCUUGAUUACUAAGAAAAUAUUAAACAAAACUUCUAAGUUAACAAUUAUUUCUAUCUGGUGUAUCUUUGGAUUUAUGGAUUUGUAAUUGAAAAAUGUGUUUUAUUAUUGAGAUUAAUUCAUUAAUUUUUAUAUUUUAGAUUUUCAACAUUAAAUCCUAACAUUUUAUUUUUCAAAAUUAAUUAUUAUUGCUUAUUCUAAUAAUGUGGACCCCGCAUUUCGGCUCAUGCACUUCCACUCGAUGGCGAGCUCGAUUUUUAUUUGAAAAACGAUUUUAUUUAUUAGAAAAUGACUUGGAGUCACCACUUAUUUUUGUUUUAUUUUUAAAGGGUAAACAAAAUACGAAAGAAAACCCUAAGUGUGACUCCUUAUUUUGGAAAAGAUAAUCCACGAAAAACCGGAUCGGGCUCGGGGGUCAGGUUACUUAUCGGGAAGGUAUGGUAAAGACCGUAGCACCCCUCUAAGUCCCUAAAGUCGGGUCUCUACUAAUAAAAUGAAGCUAACGUGGCAAUUGAUGAGGGAAUCAAUGAAUACUUAGUGUAAUCAUGCACAAGUGAGAAUUAAAACAUACAUAUAGAAAGACCAGAAUGGGAGUAGAUGCGUACCUGGGUGAUGAGCCACAAUGCGCUAUCAAGAAAUGGGAUUAGUGCAUAGUAAUGAACAUAAAAUGUGUCAAUCUUAUCACCAAACAAGAGAAAGAACCACCAAUAGCACGCAUGACAUUUCGUUCAAAUUCAUUUUUAUUUUAAAGAAAAUUUAUUUGAUGUUGGGCCCCCACCAUAGCCCAUCUACUUUUGAGUGAAUCGAUUUCGUAAAUUCCAUCAUCAAGAAUUACGAAAAAUAAAUUCACACUUAUUUUGAAACAUUUUGAAAAUCAUGGAAAAUUCAAAAGUGGCUCGCCGGAAAGGAAAUGGUGGCCAAAUUUCAUUGAAAAUGGGAUUUUUAGGUCCUAAAAAUAAACUAAGGAUGAAAACUUAAAAAAAAUGUCAAAAUUAUUUGAAGAAUUUAAAAUUUGAGAAACCAUUUGAAAACUGGAAUAUGAUGGAUUAUUUUAAAAUCAAGGAUGAUGAAAUGAAAAGAGGUGGUACGUGGUCACCAAGACUACAUGUCAAAAGUGACCAUGCAACUCAUGCAAGAGUAGGUCUACGGGUAAGAGUACUGGAAUUGGGUAUAAGAUAACCAAUAGGAAUGGGGUAAAUUAAGAGACCCCAGCGGCAAGCAACUUCAUGAGGCCUUCCUUUGUUGAUGUGUACCAGAACCAACCUUCUUUUUGCCUUUUACAAACUUCUGUAAAGAUCCACCUCUACAAUUCUGAGCUUUUAUGCAUGAUUCAAAGAUAGCAUGAUGUUGUGCUUGGAUGUUCUCUUGGCUAUUACUGCCUUUUCUCCUUGUUGACCGAGAAUUAGUACCAUCAGGCAUCAAGUUAUGCAUUUCUUCCCUCAUCCAAACAAACAAGUUUUCUCUUGCAACUUUAAGAUCCUCUAAUAAGGACUCCAUGAAGAUUUUAAAAUCAUCCAAUGUUGCAGGAUCACAUGCAUUGCUCUUACUCUUCUUCUUAUUAACUUUCUUGAAAGAAUCCCUCUUCGUCUCUUUACUAUAUAAAUUAUUCCUCUUGCUUGAUCCAAUCUGCAUUUUGUUAGCUUUCCCAAUUUUGAAUUGAUCCCCUGAACUACGAUCAGACUUACCUUCUUGUUGAGAUCUAGGAGUACCACUGGUUUCAUCAUUUUCAGGCGAAAUAAGAGAGGAAACCAGUUUGUGCUUCUUGAGAACUGGCUCACCACUGGAACUCGAUUUGGAAUUAUCACUUGAAGAAUCAACGUCACUGUCUCUCCUCCUGAACUCCCACCUCUGCUGAAAUUUCAGGUCUUCACUCAUGUUAGUACUUGGGGAUAUAAUCACAACUGUAUAACUAUGUGCUCAAUCCUCGGGAGAGUCCGACCAUAAACGACUAGACCCACUUAUCAUCAAAGUUUCAACUGCUUGUUUGGAGAAUGAAAUCAGUUUGAUGGAAGGAUUUCCACUGCAACUGCACCUUGAACUCGUUUGAAAGAUUGUACCAGUGAUUCUAGCAGCACCCCUCCUCACAAAUCAAAUUUUGUGAAGAGACACCAUGAUUAAACCGCUCCAUCAUUCUCUUUCAUACACCCAGCACAAGAGCAUCCUCUGUGGAUGAAGCCCAACCAUUGCUCUGCAUCCACUUGGAACAAUCUUCUUAGCCCCAGAUGGGAGCUUGAUCCUGCUGGUGCCAUUAUCAGGGUUGUGGCUGACGACAAUAGCUCACUUGCCGGAUGCCCUGGCGAAGACACCUCGAUCACCAACGUGAUCUUCAACGUUACAGACCUCGGCACCUUCGGGAGUAGAGCGCAGGGGCAGAACGUUAUCGGCAAUGAGGGUGGCUUUCUUACUGCAGCAAACGAACUGGCCCGUGUAUAUGCUCUCAGCCACCACGAUAGGUUCAUCAUGACUGCAACUCCUACUAAACCAUAUCCCUGUCUCAGCAUCAAUAACCAGCUAGGUACUGCAUGUAUCACCAACACCACUAUCGAGGUCCAGGCUAUCACAAGUUCUGUUGCUAGGCAGAGCAGCAGGAAGUUGGUUAUCAAAGACAUGGUAAAUUUUAUCACCACCUAGGCGCACGCCAUCGAGAUGCUCUUUGUAUGUCUGAUCGAAGACACAAGAAAUUUCCAUGAUCAUGUAUAACUUUCUUCCAUUCUUCUUCAGUUGCACCAGUACCAAAUCCAUAUCAGCCAAGGACCCUUCACGCACAAGUAGCCACAGAUCUGUCAGAGAUGCACUUGAUACAAUUUUGCGAGCAACUGUAUGAUGAUUCUGCUUUUGGCCUGGAGGUGGAACUAAACCUUCCACUAAUCUAUAUUUUUCUCAAUAAUAUAUAUCCUCUAACCUUGACAAAAUAAUAACUUAAAUCCCAGUGUUGACUCCUUGCUUCUCGCCACUUAAGCUAACAAUGAUUAUGCCUUGUCACCAGAUGACUUCAAGAGCUAGGUUGUCCAAAAUCCUGUUAAGAAAUUAGUCCACACCAACUGAUAACAAGCUGAUGUGGCCCUCGAAGACAUUGAUUGAACCUAGUCCAUGUUGUAGUCACUUUUUGAAUUUCAUGAUCAAGAAAAUGAAGAGGAAGCCAUUUAGAUGCAUGGUUGAAAAUGGUCAACUGUUAUGCCCCCAUCAUCAUCACCUCUAGUAUUAUGAACACAAACCAGUUGCAACCGCCAUUCACAGACUCCCAUCACAGUUCAUGGGCCUGAAAUGAAUCUCCAACUAAUGGUGUAAGCAACAAGCUGAAUGUUGUUAAAAAUAUGAGAAAUGGGUGGAGAGUUGUGCGUUAAGAAGCAGAGAAUGGAAUAAGGGAAUAUACCCCUUCCCUCAAAGGCACAGAGAUGGAAUCAAGUAAUUGAAGCCGAAGGAAAGCCUUUCGGGUAGCCAAGAAAGCUUGAUUUACAUAUUCUGCAUUACUUUCAGCAACAUUGGCAAUCACAUCCCUGUCUGAGAGGCCAACUGGUUGUCCUUUGUGGUGAGUUCAGUGUCAUUUUAAACUUCUCCAUUGUAUCAAGGGAUAGCCAGCACAAGAAAGAAAUGAUACAAUGAAGCAGACAUGAGGCAUCUUUAGAAAUCCUCUGUGGAUGACAUUUUAAAGGCUCUGUGAUAUUCUGAAGCAUUGCUACUCAACUAUGACCUCCAUCCCUGAUAUAAAACACUAAACCAACCUCAAUCUACUUAACAUGCAUCUCGGGUACUCCAUAGAGAUUAAGCAUCUGUAAUCAUAGCUUCCGCUCCUUGAAUUUGCGUUCUCAGAUGGAGAUGCACCAAUCAAAGCAAACCACAGACAAACACCAAAAACAGAGACGUAUAGAGAAGAAAAUUGAUAAAACAAAACAGGGAUAGGUGAAAUGAGAGUUUGUUAAGCAAAACCUGGUCCCAUAAAUUAUCAACAGGCUUACCAGUUAGUGGGAGGGGAAAUGGGUUUAAGGAGAAAUGAUAGGAGAGAUACAUUCAGACAUCACGCAAUAAAACUGGACAAGAUUCAUACUAUUUCUCUCAACUAAAACCCAUAAACAAUAGAUGGAUAUAUAGUCAUAGCAAAUCCAGUGGAUGCUCAGAGAUCAACAAAAGUAGCCAUAUGAUAUCCACACACAAAUAGCUAAAUAACACCCACUAAUGAACAAAAGAGAAUGAAUAGCAAGAGAAAAAAAUAGAGAUGGAUAAGAAACAUACCUGGAAAUACCCCUCUCCAGUAAAAUCAGCUGAACUGCUAGUCCAUUGCUCUCUCCCCCUUCCUCUGGUUCCCCUCAAGUUAAAACAAUACCCUUCUCAAAUAUCUCCGACCAAAAAACCUUCUCCAAAAACUUCCCUUUCUCCUCUGCCAACCCCCCUCCAAAAAGCAUCUCCCUCUUCUCUACAACUGGCAGAUACGCUCCUCCCAUAACAGAAACGUUCUUCUCUAAACGUCCCUUUGGGAUCUCUUAUCAAACCUCUAAUGACUCUCAAGACUAGGUCACCGAUAUGUAGUGGUAUGGGCUUGACCCGCUUUUUGAAAGCGCGGGCCAUCUUCCUCUAUUAUGCACGAACAUGGUCUGUUGCUCUCAAUCUCAUCUCAUAUAGGAGAUUGAGCUGAUCAAAUCGAGCCUGAGCCCAAUCCGCCUCGGGAAUCUGCUACUUUAGUGCUACUCUCAAUGAACUCAUCUCGAUCUCAACUGGUAGCACUGUCUCCAUACCGUAUACCAAUGAAUAAGGUGUGGCUCCUGUAGAGGUGCGAAAAGAAGUCCGAUAUGCCCACAAUGCGAAAGGGAGCUUCUCUGACCAAUCCCGAGAAGUCUCAACCAUCCUCCGCAAUAUCCUCUUAAUAUUCUUAUUCGCAGCCUCUACUGCCUCAUUCGUCUACGACCUAUACGCAAACGACCUAUGAUGUCGGAUGUCGUAUCUCUGUACUAAGGUAUCAACCUCUGCUCUGAAAUGUACCCCUCUAUCUGAAAUCAACUCAUGAGGGACUCCAUAGCGACAGAUAAUGUGUGAUCUGAUGAAACUAGCAACUCCAGCUGAUGUCAAUCUCUCAUAUGAGGCGGCCUCCACCCACUUGGUGAAGUAAUCGAUGGCGACCAGGAUGAACUCAUGACCACUGGAAGAUUUCGGUGAAAUCUUUUCGAUGAUGUUAAUACCCCAUAUAGAAAAUGGCCAUGGUGAAGUCAAUGCGUGCAACUCAGAGGACGGCACGUGAAUGAGAUCUCCAUGUAUUUGACUCUUGGGACAUCUCUGAACAAACUGACAACAAUCUGUCUCCAUGGUCAACCAAAAAUAGCCAAUCCUCAUGAUUUUACGGGCCAACAUAUGCCCUCCCAUAUGUGGUCCGCAGACUCCCGCAUGAACCUCUCACAUCACUCUAUCGACAGAAGCGUAGUCCAAGCAUAAUAACAGCAUCCCAUCAGGUGAUCGUCUGUAUAGUGUCUUGCCACAAAUCACGAAUCAUGCAGCCAACUGUCUCAAUGUUCUCUUAUCCUUGGCCGUGGCGGCCUUAAGAUAUAUGCCAAGUCUCAAAAAGUGAUAUAUGUCAUGAUACCAUGGCAAACCAUCGUCUAUCUCCGUAUCAUCGAUCAGAAAACAAUAUGUAGGAGCAAAUCUGGACUUAAUCAGUAAAUGACGAAUAGUGGCAUCAGCAGGAAUGUCAAUCAUGGAAGUUAGAGUAGCUAAGGCAUCAGAAAACUAGUUAUGCGCUCUAAGCAGAUGUGUGUAUCUCAAAUCAUCAAAUCUCCCAACCAGUAGCUCCAAAUAUGGCGGUAAGGCCUAAGUUUCACAUCUCUAGUCUUCCACUCGCCCUGAAUCUGUCUCAAAACCAGAUUGAAGUCGCCAAACACCUCUAUCUAUCUAAUCCCGAGCUCAAGGGCCGUCUCUAAUCCCAAGAUACAGACCUCAUACUCAACAAUGUUGUUUGUGGCCGGAUGUCGAUCCAAGAAUGCCAAACAAAUAGAUCGGGGAAUGUGAUCACCAUGAGGGGAUAUCAACAAGACGCCUAUCCCGUAUCCAGAAUGGUUGGCUGCACCAUCAAAGUACAUGUGUCAACCUGAUAAACUAGUCACAACAGCGACAUCCUCGCCUGGGAAGUCAUCAUCAAUGGCUCUACCAUUGGAAACUAGUAAUGAGGCUAAGUGAUCUACAACAAUGCUCCCUCUUAUGGACUUCUGAGUGACAUAAUGGAUGUCAAACUCGGUCAGAAGUACCAGCCAUCUCAUGAGACGACCGAUCAAAGCGGGUCUGUCAAAAAAAUAUCUCAGAAGAUCUAGAUGGGAUAUCAAGUGCACUGAAUACUCGGUCAUGUAAUGUCUUAGUCGGUGAGUGGCCCAAACCAAUGCCAAACAGUAGCGCUCAAUCAUGACAUUCCUUGCCUCAUAGUCUAGCAUCCUCUUACUCAAAUAAUAAAUGGCUUAGUCAUUGCCUGAAUCAUCAAGCUGAGCUAACAUGCACCACAAUGCUACAUCUGAAAUUGACAGAUAUAGGAGUAAGGGACAACCUGGUGUAGGAGGCGCCAAGACUGGAGGUGACAACAAGUACUUUCUGAUCCUCUCAAAUGCACGCUGACACUGAUCAUCCCAAACAGUAGGUUGACUCUUCCUCAAGAGUCGGAAAAUGGGCUCAUAGAUGUCUGUCAAUCUGAUGAUGAAUCUACUGAUAUACUGAAGUCUACCCAAGAAGCCCCUGACCUCUCUCUCUGUCCUCGAUGCAGGCAUGUCAAGGAUGGCUCUGAUCUUAUCCGAGUCUACCUCUAUGCCUCUCUCUCUGACCAUAUACCCCAAGAGUUUCCCAGAAGUCACUCCGAAAGUGCACUUCUUGGGAUUCAGUCUCAAUUUGAACCGUCGGAUCCUCUCAAAGAACCUCUCUAGAGUUGCUAGGUGAUUUGGUCUGUCUUGGGAUUUCACUAUCAUGUUGUCUACAUAAACCUUGACAUCCCGAUGCAUCAUGUCAUGGAAGAGGGUGGUCGUCGUUCUCUAAUGGGUGGUUCCUGCAUUCUUCAAUCCGAAUGGCAUGACUCUAUAGCAAUAAGUACCCUACUCGGUAAUGAAGGACGUCUUCUCCAUGUCCUUUGGAGCCAUCAAGAUCUUAUUGUACCAAGAAAAUCCGUCCAUAAAGGACAACAUCGAAUGACCUGUCAUACUAUCAACCAACAUAUCGAUGUGUGGGAGAGGAAAAUCAUCCUUAGGACUGGCCUUGUUGAGAUCUCGGAAAUCAACACAAACUCUCACCUUGUCGUCCUUUUUGGGAACAAGGACUACAUUGGCCAGCCACUCCGGAUACUCGACCACUGACAAAAAUCCUACACUGAGUUGCUUCUGGAUCUCCUCCUUCACUUGCAAGCUCCAACGAGGGUGCAAUCAUCUCAACUUCUACUUAACCGGUCUAGCAUGGGGCAGAAGUGGCAAACGAUGUUGGACGAUAGAUGGAUCAAGGCCUGGCAUGUCCUCAUAGGACCAUGCGAAAACGUCCAAGUAUGCUCUGAGCAACUGGAUGAGGUUGUCCCUCUCAUCAUCAGAUAAAUCUGAUCUGAUCCUCAACUCCCUAGGCUGAUAUAUUGUGCCGAAAUCAACAAUCUCCAUGUCCUCUAUAGCAGGUGAAACUCUCUGAUCAAAGGGAUCCGAAUCGGAAAUAGAAGAUGAGUCAUCAUCUGAGUCGUGUUGUGCAAUCUCAUCAUCAAUAUCAAAAAUCUGUGAUGUGGGUGAAGAUGGUGCAGAUAAAACAAUAUCGUAAAAGAGAGGCAAAUUUUAAAAAAUGCUCAAAUCCAUAGAUGAAAAGUCAGAAACAUAGUCAUGAUGGGAGACAAAUCCCGAUAAAACAUCAAAUGAAAGAGGUGAGUCUACAAAGUCGAACAUUCCCUCAACUAGGCCAAUAGGGCCAUCAAGAAAAUCAUCAACAGCUAUAAUGUCCUCAGUAAUCUCCGAAGUAGGGGCAGUCUGGAUCUCCUCAGCGAUCUCAAUGAAAGACACCCCGAAGAGAUCAAAUGGUGAAGUGAGCUCAGGCUGGACUAUCUCCUCAAUCUGGCUCAAGCUCAAUGCAAGCAUCUCAUCGACGUACUCGUCACAUGGCAUAGCUCCGUCUACUAUGUCGCUAAUCUCAACAAAUGUCUUGUGAUCAUCGAUCUCAUCCAAUAAGCAAAGCGUCAUAAGGCUCGUGCGAUCUGGAGAGGCAGGAGCGAUCAACGCAGAAGUCGAAGGAUCAAGGGCUCCGUUACUCAAUUGUAACUGCUGGACGAGGCGCUGAAGCUCGGCCUCCUUGGUGGUGUUGAAUCCUCUGAUGAUCCCAUCAGAUGGUGCAUGUGACUCCGAUGCCCUCACAAAGUAAUCUGCCAGGCUCAUGGUGUAUGGGCGAACAGGAUAAUAAAAGAGCGUAUGAGUCAGUCGAGCCCUCACCCUCUCCUUGCUCAAUCGCGCCAUAUAACGAUAAUCGGCCUCAGUGGGGAUGAACCUGAGUCCGAAUGGUACGUCGUGAUCAGGGAUGGCUAUGAACUCACUAGGCCCAUGCUGACACUACCCUAACCCUAUGCCGGGAAAAUAAGGCAUACUCUGCAUCAUAUCGAGCACCACCGUGCUACUAUGCUGGUCAAAGGACAUGGCUACGAAAUCUCGGUAGAAAUCUUCUAUCUCCACGGUUUGUACCUCAUCAAAGGUGAAUCCAGUCAGAAAAAGAUCGUCAUCAGUGUGACUAAUCUCAAGCACAGGCUUGGCAAAAAUGAACAUAUCUCCCACAGACUGCACCACGACGACCUGGCCAUCGUGAAUAAACUUCACCUUUUGAUGAAGGGAAGAAUGAAUGGCCCCAGCUCUGUGGAUUCACGGUCGGCCCAGAAACAGGUUAAAGGAUGUAGGAAUCCUCAAAACCUGAAACACGGUGACAAAAGUGGCCAGAUCAAUUAGUAGUUCAAUCUCUAGUGUGCCCAUGACCUCCCUUCGAGUACUGUCAUACGCGCGAACGGUCUAAGUGGAGGGACAGAAAUCAGAUGGUGCAUAGCCGAGGGCAGUGAUGGUGGCCAGAGGACAAACGUUCAGGGUCGAGCCAUUGUCCAGAAGGACAGAUGGGACUCGACGGCCUGAACAACCAACAGAUAUAUAGAGUAGACGCGUGUGGUCUGAGCCCUCUGGUGGCAAGUCAUCAUCGGAGAAUACAAUGCAUGUGGCUCUACCGACCGUCAUCAUAUGAAUCAAUCCCUCAUGGGAGGUGGUAGUCUUAACUCUAAUCUGGCUCAGGGCUCAAAUCAGAGCAUCAUGGUGAGUGGUCAAGGAUGCCAACAAACUCCAGAUGGAAAUACGAGCCUGAGUGCUCUAUAGCUGCCUCAAAAUCUCGGCGUCCUCUACUCUGACCUCAUCGGGAACAGAUGUACCCUCAACUGGCUUAGCUGCUGCGCGAGGUGGCUAUCGCAACACUCUACCUCCUCAAAGAAUAUACUAAACAUCCAAAGUUUGAGAAUCAUCAACAUGCGGAGCUUGAACCUCCUCAACAUUCGAGAUCAAGAUGAAUGGCGUCUGGACGCUGUAAUAUGGAAAAAUCAAUGGCUCAACAGUGGUAGUCUGUACUAAUGCCACCUGGGGAACUAAUCCGAAUGAAAUGGGCAUCUGAGGCCCCAAAGUCGCUCCGUCCAUCUCAUAAAUCCCAUUUGACAUGAUAGGCUCUGGCUCAAUGUCAUCACAGCUCAACAUAUGGAUAUAGUCAUCAUGAUCAAAGAACUCCAGGAAAUGUAUGCUAUCGACCGGUGGGGGGACCACAUGUGUAGUGUGGGCAAGUAAUGGGUUUGUGGUUACACUCGGCUGACCCAAGUGCACCAAACCCUGGUCGAUCAGAUCCUGGAUGGCAUGCCUCAAAGUGGUGCAGCGAUCGGUCUCGUGUCCAGGCCCUUGAUGGUAUGCACAGUGCAAAUCCAUCCUGAAUUAAGGUGGAAUCGGCUGAGGUGGCAGCCUGGGAGUGAGAACGGUCAAUAACCCGGCCUCUGUAAGCUUCCGAAGAGCCUAGCUCAAUGGCAUGCUUAAUUGCGAGAACUACCUCUGUGUCCUCAAAGCAGAUGGAGCAAAAGUCUGCUGAGCUUUGGGUUGAGGAUAAGGCGUUGUGGGUCUCGCAGUGAAUUGAGCAGCAUAGCAUGGCUGUCCUAUGGCCGUGUAGGAAAUUGGGGGUCUCUCAAUGUCCUGGGUGGCAUAAUAAGGCAAAGCCAAAGUCUGUGGCAUGUAGACUGAUCAUAAGUCGGGUGAGGCGCUCGUGGCCUAUACUGCUGAGGUGGAUAUGAAGAAUGAGCCUCAGGAAGCUAUGGGAUCGGCUGAUGGCGCCUGGGAGGUCUCUAACUGGAAGAACUAAUGGCGCUCACGUCAACUGAUCUUUGUCCUCCAAAGGGCUUCUUCCCCUUAACAUCACUAGGGGAAGAAUCUGUCCACAAUCCUCUAGAGAUGUCGUCCUCGACAUCGUAUAAAGUCAAAACCAAUGAACCAAAAUCUGUGAAUGGUACCCUAACCACGUGUCUGGCGAUCCUGGGCUGUAAACUCCUCAAGACCAUCUAUAUCUGAUCUCUCUCUGAAGGUCUAUCAAUGAUCUCGACAAUCUUCCCACGCCAGCGGGAAAUGAAUGAAGAAACUAACUCAUCUAUUAUCUACCUCAGAGCCUCGAGCUUUCUCCUCGAUACAUCCACGACAGUGUUAAAUGAAAACUGUCGUAAGAACUCCUGGGCCAAGUCGUCCCAUGUUCGGCGUCGUGAGGACUUCAAGGAUGCAAACCAACGUUGGGCCGUCCCACUCAGAGAUAGUGGAAAUAAAGUGAUCAUCUGAGACUCAUCCAAUCCAUGAGCCCUCAUCACUGUGCUAUAGAGUCUGAGGUGGAUGCGUGGACAACUAAUGAUCGUAUAUCUCUUGAUGUCUGGCAUCCUAAACUUAGCCGGCAAACUGGCUAUCGGCAUACCCUCGAAAUCAUCCCAAACAAUUGAUCUAUCUGACACUCUCAUCUGCCUCAUACGCUGUUUAAGACAGUCCAUACGUGCAUGAGCAUCAUCAACGACAGUGGUCUGGACAACAGCGGGUGGAACAAUCUCAGAAUGUCCAUGUAAUAUAUAGGGUGAGGCCUGAGGCACUGAAGGAACGGGUGGUGGUGGUGGAUGUGGAUGUGAGUCAUACGACGUCUCAUCCUGAACUGUUGGUGGUCUACUUUGCUGACCACUGAUCUCCUGCCUGAGGCUAGCCAAAGCCUCCUGGAUAGAAGCCAUGGUAGCCGUAAACUGAUCCAUUGUAACAACCUGCUGAUCCAUACUCGGUCUCUCUGAAUACCGGACUAAUCUCCCCUCUACUCUGACCCAAGAAGGCGUAUCCAGACUGUGAACGAAGAUCCGAUCCUGAUCGAUUCUUCUCCUACUCCUCUCCUCAAGUCUCUCAAAACCAGCAUCCAAAAGCACCUCCUUCGACCUCUCCUAUCUUCACUCCCCUCAAAAGCACCAGAAGUCUCUCAAAAAUCUCUUUUGCCCCUUGCCAAAAAGCCCCCUCCUCUCCAAAAUAUCUCCCCACAAAACGCCCCCUACGCUUGCCAGAAUAUCCUCUCUCUCAUCCGAUCCUCCUAACAGACUGCGGCCUCUCUAGAAUGUUCUUUCCACGUGUUCAACUCUCAUUUGCUCCUCGAUUCCACUACCUAAUUCUCUGUCCACCAACCACGAGGUGAUACGUGGCUCCUUGAGAGCCUUCCACCUGGCAAAAUGAGUUGCAGAAAAUGCAUGAAAGUGAGGCCCCAAAAUGAGGGUCUACAAAUAGGUUUUUAGAUGAGUGUGAAUUGUGUUUUGGAAUUCUAACUAAAAAAAAUUCAUUAGAAUUGAUGAUAGUUUAUUUUAGUCUUGUUCUACUAUAAGAGGUUGAAUUAUAAAAAUUUGUAGUACAUACAUUUCUAAUAAAAAUGUUUAUGAUUUAAGUAUUGUUAAUUUUAUUAUUAAAUGAGGAAUCUACAAAAAUUUAUGAAAUUUAAUUUUGUUGAGAAUUUGAUGAAUUAUGAAGCAGAAACAGUAGCUAAAUGUGGUAGAAUUUUGAUUCAAGUUUUGGAAUUUAUGAAUUUAUUUAGAUUAAUUUGUUACCCAAAUUAAGUUACUUUUAUGUUGUUGGGCUUCUUUUAAUAAAAAAAAAAAAUCAUUAAAAUUUAUAUCUAAAUUUUAUCAAGAAUCAAGAGGAAAAAUGGACAAAAACAAAGCAUAUUUCAAUCAUUUCAUUUUUUUUUCUUGAUGACAACUUUGUUAAUUUAUAAUAUAUUCAUUUUUCUUCCAAAUUACACAAAAUUGAAAUAGUUUAAUUCUUUCUUCAGAUAAAAGUUAUCUAAAGUCAUAAAAAAAAAUGAAAUUGAUUUUAUUUUAUGUGAGGAAUUAGGUCUAAAUAUCAUAACACAGUUAGAGAUCAAAAAAAUAUAAAGAGAAAAAAAAUGACUUUUUCUAUUAAUAUAAAAGUUAAAAUUAAUUCAUUUUUUCCUUAAGUAUAUAUAUAUAUAUAUAUAUAUAUAUAUAUAUAUAUAUAUAUAUAUAUAUAUAUUUUAAAAAAAAAAGUAAUAAGCUGAAAAAUAAAUAGUUCUAAAAUGUAUUCAGUCUUGAAGCAACUUACUUUAACAUUUGAGUAAAAAAACUAAAUAAAAAAUAAAAAUAGAAAAAAUCAAGCCCUAAAGCAUUGGAUGAGCCAAUGAUCGGAUACUUGAUUUUAACUAAGCAGUUACUUGUCAAUAAUUGUGUUCAUGUUCAUCUCUGCCAAGUACCUUAAAAUGAAAAGGAACAAGUUCAUAUAAAAUCCAAUUUGUCUUUCUCACCCAACACAAUUGCAACCAUCCACCACCAAUUCAAUAUCUCGAAAAACCUUCAAUGUCUCUAAUAGAACCAAAAUCAUGUUAUAUUUGGGAACAUUAAAAUCUUGAUGUAAUGCAACAUUUCAAAAGAAUUUUUCACUUUGAUCUAUGCUCAUAUCAACAUUUCUCUUUGAUAUAGGCAUUUUUCAAAAGAAUUCACCUAUCUUUUCUUGCUAAAGCCUUAAAUUUCUCUCUUCUCUCCAUAACAAACCUUGAGCAUGCAACUUACUAAAUAGACAUUACAUAGGAUUCAAAAUUAAUUUUCAACAAUUCUCAAGUAUAGUGCCUAUUGCAUAAGCAAAUAUACUUUUAAAGAUAUUGUUGAUAGCCUUCUCUAUGCUAAUAGCACUUUUAAUGCUUGGGUUGAUCUUUAUGAUUGAUUCCACCAAAGCAAUGCCCCACGAAUCUUCCAAAUCGAGAAGCACAUAGUUGUUCUUGAGCAAAGAUCUAUGGAUGUCAACACAUACUACACUAAGCUCAAGGUCCUCUAGGAUGAGCUCAAAAAUUAUCAACCCAUUCUUGUCUAUCACUAUGGAGGCACAAAGUCUUGGUUAGACACCAACAAUAGGAGUACAUCAUGCAAUUUCUUAUGGGUUUGAUUGAGUCAAAUGCUUAAACUUGAACACAGAUCUUAAUGAUGUCUUUGCACUAGUUGUCCAAGAAGAAUGCCAAUGUACUAUUAAUCAAGGCUCUUUUUUUCCUAUCGAUUCUCUUAUGCCCAACAUUUCAAAUUCCUCUGCUUUUGUUACAACAACAAAUUUUUCUCGAAAUUCAACUUUAAAACCCAAGUGUGAGUGACCCUAAUAUUCCCACUGUGGCUUGCAAGAACAUAUUGUAAAUAAAUGCUAUCAUCCUGGCUAUAAGUCAAAAUCAAAGAAACCUGAAGUAAAAAAUUCAAGCCACCUAGGCCAAUGCAACUAUUAAUGAGACUAUUAACUCUGGUUCACCCCUUGGAUCUCUUACUUUAGCUCAGUGUCAUCAAUUGUUUGCAUUCUUGAGCUCUCAACUUCAUAACAACUUUCUUGUUAUGCUAGAAUCUCAAUAGCUAGAACCCUUUGUUUCCCAGUUCAAUGGUAUACUAUCUUUUUCUUCUGUCUCAUAAUUUUCCAAUUUCUUUUUCCACCUGGAUUUUGGACAUAGAAGUCGCACAUCAUGUUUGUUGUUCAUUAAGCACAUUUACACAAUCUACUCCAGCACAAAAUUCUUUUGUAACUUUGCCUAAUGGUCAAUCUGUUGUUAUUAAUCGUAUUGGUUAUGUGUUUUUGUCUCCUGAUCUCAUCCUUAAUAAUGUCAUGUUUGUUUCUAAUUUCCAUUUCAAUCUCCUCUUUAUCUGUUCGCUCACUCAAAGUUAUAAAUCUUCUAUUAAUUUUAUGGUUGAUUCUUGUACUAUUCAAGGCCAUACACGGACCAAAAUGAUUGGGAUGAGUAGAAGACAUGGUAGCCUAUACUUCUUAAAUAUAGUCAAUUUUCAUUCCACUACACCACAAAUUUUCAGUCCUUGUAAUAAUGUUUCGUUGUCUCAAAAUGAAAUUUGGUUUUACCAUUUAGGUCAUCCUUCUUAUGUAACAUUACAAACAUUCAAAAAUGAAAUAGAAGUUAAACCAAAUUCUGGUGAUUCAAGUCAUUGUUUAGUUUUCCAUUUAGUCAAAAGAUGCAAAUUACAUUUUAUUUCUCACAAUUAUUUGUCUGUUUUGCCUUUUCAACUCAUACAUUGUGAUGUUUAAGGUCUCCUUCACACAUUUACCAUUGAAGGUUAUAGAUAUUUUUUUUACUAUUGUUAAUGAUUGUACUCAUUUUAUUUGGGUGUAUCUUUUGCGUGCUGAGCCUGAUGUUACUGAAGUUAUUCCUAUUUUUUUUUCUCAUUGAUUCAAACUCAAUUUGGAACACAAAUAAAAUUUGUUCACUCAGAUAAUCCUCCUGAAUUGGCAUUUUUUGACUUCUUUCAUGCAAAAUGAGUCAUCUCAUUUCAUUCUUGUGUUGAUUAGCCUCAACAAAAUUCAAUAGCAGAAAGAAAGCAUCAACAUAUCUUAAAUGUUGUAUGGUCUUUAUGUUUCCAAUCACAUAUUCCAUUGGUUUAUUGGGGGGAUUGCAUUCUUAUUAUUGUACACUUAAGAAAUAAAACUGCAUUCCCACUUUUGUCCAAUAAAACAACCUUUGAACUUCUUUGGAAAAAGAAGCUUGCAUAUUCACAUCUUUGUAAUUUUGGUUGCCUAUGUUAUGCAUCUACUUUAGAUCGUCAUAGGACAAAUUUCUCACCUCAUGUCAUUCCUUUUGUCUUUCUUAGGUACCCAUCUGGUUAUAAAGAAUACAAAUUAUUGAAUCUAGUCACUAAUUCUGUGUUUAUCUCCCAUAAUGUGGUAUUUCAUGAGUCUAUAUUUUCUUUCAAAACUAUUCAAACUUAUUCUCCUCUUCCAAAUAUUUUCUCUGAUACUGUUUUACUAUUUCCUUCUUUUUCUUCCAUUCUUGAAUCUACAUCUUUGCCAAUAUCAACAAUUCCUACUGUUUUCAUACCUUCUACGUCUCAUUGUCAUCCUAAUCGUGUUCGUAGGCCUCCUUUUUAUCUAGCAUAUUACUACUGCUAUUCUUGUUCCCACAGCACAUCUUCUACCUCACAUCCUCUCACACAUGUCCUUGAUUACACAAAAUUGUCAAAUUCAUAAAAAUAAAAAAAUGAAUAAAAGUUUGUGUUAUUUCCUAUAAUUUUGAACCCACCACAUACUUCAAGGCUGCUACUAUUCUAGAUUGGCAAGAUGCAAUGUCUGCUGAGUUAGGAGCUCUUGAACAAAAUGACACUUGGUCUUUAACUACUUUGCCACAAGGAAAACAUGCUAUUAGGUGCAAAUGGGUGUACAAAAAUAAGUAUAGAGUUGAUGGAACUAUUGAACAAUACAAAGCUCACCUUGUAGCUAAAGGCUGCACACAACAAGAGGGCAUAGACUAUCUAGGUACCUUCUCUCAUGUUUUCAAAUUGGUUACUGUUAAGGUUUUGCUUGCUUUGGCUACCAUUAAUGGUUGGAGCCUUCCUUAGAUGGAUGUCAAUAAUGUGUUCUUACAUGGUGAUCUUUUUAAGGAAGUUUAUAUGACUCUCCUAGUUAUCACCUGAAGGAAAAUCAUUAUCCUCACACUCUGUUUACAAAAUUCAAAAGUCUUUAUAUGGCUUGAAACAAGCAUACGACAAUGGUUUUCCAAACUCUCCAAUUUCUUACUUGUUGAAGGUUUUUAAACAUUCUAAUGCAAAUCACUCUCUUUUUGUCAAAGUUGUCAGUACUCACUUCAUUGCUCUGUUAGUUUAUAUGGAUGACAUUGUCAUUGUUAGUAAUAGUGAUGAGCGAGUUGAGAAAUUAAAAGUUCUAUUUAGGAAAGCUUAAAUACUUCUAAGGCCUUGAGGUGGUGAGGUCUAAUAAGGAAAUUUCCCUUAGUUAGCACCAUUAUGCCUUACAAUUACUAUCAGAUAUAGGCUAUGUUGGUUGUAAAUCAAGGAAAACACUUAUAAAUCCAAAUGUGAAGCUCACACAAGACAAAGGUGAUCUAUUAAAAGAUCUUUUAUUUUACAGAAGAAUGAUAGGCAAAUUGCUUUAUCUAACCGUAGCAAAUCCAGAUUUAUCAUUUUCAGUACAUAAAUUCAAUCAAUUUCUUGCAAAGCCCAGAGUUCUUCAUAUGUGGGCAAUACAACAUGUGCUUCAGUACUUGAAAGCAUGGUUUGAAAUAUUGGUAAACACGGAUAUAUCGAUACUUGGAUUUUAUGAAUAUGUUGGAAAUAUUGGUAAAAUAUCGGUAAAUAUUGGUAAAAUAUCGGUGGAUAUUUUGGCAAAAAUAUUGGUGAAACAAAAAUUAUUCAAAAUUCAUGGAAAUGUUUGGAAAACUCUAAAAAAAAUGAUAAAAUAAGCAAGAAUACAUAUGUUAAAGUUAUUGUAAGUGGAAUUGACAUAAAUAUGGUCAAUGAGAAAAAUAUGGAGGGAUAUAUCAAACUUAAUAAUUUAUUAUUUAUCUUAUCAAAUUAAUUUUAAUUUAUAAAAUAUUAGAACUUCAUUAUUUUUUUUAUUUUAGUAAUGUUUUGAAUACAUUUAUAUUUUUAAUAUUUGUAAAAUAAAAACAUUCAAAAUUAAAUAAAAUUAAAAGGAUAAACAUAAAAAAAGUGAACUGAUAGCAAUUUUUAAAAAUAAGAUUAAUGAGAUAAAUGAUGAUACAUUUAAUAUUAAAACUAUAAUUUAUUUAAUUCAAAUACAUUCAACAAUGUAAAAUAAAUUAUGAUGCAUAUAUAAUUUUUUUGAUAUUUAUAUUUUUUUUAUAUAAUUGUCAUAUAAAUGAUAUAAAAAAUAAAAUAAAAUAAAAGACUUGUUAAGAAAAUUAUAAUGAUGGUUUUAUACUUUUAUUAAAUAAUUAAAUAAAAUUUUAAAUAAAAUAAUUAGAAUUAAUUUAUUUAUUCUUUUAAUGAUGAAUUUUACCAUAUUUAUUGUGAACAUAUAUUUACAAAUGUGGACUUGGCCCAAUAGUAGUCAGGCUUCACCCAAGCCUUUUGGCCUAGGUUUGAAUCCCCUUGGAUGCAAUAGAAAAAAAUUUGAAGGAAUUUACCCGAAUAUCGACAUCUUUUCGAUGAAGUUGAUUGACUUUCGGUGUACAAUAUCAUGUCGACUCUCCCUGAUAUUUUGACGAUCAACUUUUAGUGUGGAAUAUUGUGUUAGCUCUCCCUGAUAAGCAAAAUAUCGACAAUAUUUCAUCAAAAUUUUGCAACAUUUUAGUGUGGAAUAUCAUGUCGACUCUCCCCAAUAUUUCAACAAUCGACUUUCAGUGUGGAAUAUCGUGUUAGCUCUCCCUGAUAAGCAAAAUAUCGACAAUAUUUCGCCAAAAUUUUGCAACAUUUCAAACCAUGCUUGAAAGUUAUGCAGGACAAGGUUUUUUUUUUUUUUUUUUCAUUAAUAGAGUUGAAAAGGUUUGUUGAUUCAAAUUGGGCAACUUGUGUGGUCUGUUAAUGAGUUUUGCUUUUUUUUAUUUAUUUAUUGUUGAUUCCUUAAUUUCCCAGAAAUAAAAAAGGCAGCAUACAGUUUCAAGAUCUUUUGUUGAAGUUGAGGACAAAUUUAUGGCAAAUGCAACAUGUGAAUUGAUGUGGUUACUUUCUUUAUUUAGAGAUUUGCAUGUAUCUCGUCCUAAGCCUGCCUUGCUAUUUUGCAACAAUCAAGCAACUCUUUAUAUUGUAGCUAAUCCAAUUUUUCACAAGCACACUAAGCACAUUAAGAUCGAUUAUCACUUGGUUAGAAAGAAACUGCAAAAUGGAAGCUUGAAGACACUACAUAUUUCAUCUAAACAUCAAGUGAGAGACUUGUUGACCAAACCUUUUUCUUCACCUCAAUUUCUUUUUCUUCUUAGUAAAAUCGAAAUUCACAAUAUUCAUUCUCCAUUUUGAGGGGGAGUAUUAGAAUAUUUGGGUAUCUUGCAGUAUGGUUACAAGUUAAGUAAAGAAUUGUUAGUUUGUUAAAUAAUUGUUAGCUUUUUUUUUUUUUUUUUUUUUGCAACUAGAUGUGUCUAUUCAAUAACUUCAUAUGGUUAUAGUUAAUUAAAGAAUCCUUUACGUAUUAACUGUUAAAAUAAUUUGUUUCCAACUUUCCUAUUAAAUUUUCUUCUGCUCAAGAUUUCAAAAAUUAUAGUUCAAGAAAGCUCUUUCGAUUUCUAUGUUGCACUGUAUCUUCUUAUAUGUUAGUACAAAUCAUACUCCUCUUUUUACCUCUUCAAUGAAUCCUUUUAGGAGUAAGACCACCAAGUGAGCACCCUUAUAUUGAUCCACAAGCUUUUUAUUACAUAUUUUUUGUUUGUGCACACCACCUCAAAUUUAAGUGGCCCAUAAAUUUUAUACUUUGGAUACCUUACCAUCCAAUCAUAAGCAUAAACUAAAUUUGAAAGGAUAAGAUUAGUUUAUUUUAGAGAAAUUGAGCUCCAAGUCCCCUAGCCAAACAUGAAGUUUUGAAGCAUGAAAUUUUUGUGAUGGGACAUAAUUGCAAUCCUUAUUAAAUUGAUCAAUUGUGUUAUGCCAAGAAUGCAAAUUAUGCAUGGCAAAGUGGUUAGAAAGUGUACAAAUGCACCAUCUUUUUACUUGUUUGUUUACUCAAAUUUCUCGGUCAAUUUUUUUUUUUCAUUCUUAUCCCUCUUGAUUGAGGCAAACAUGUUUUGGCUAGUGCUCUCAAAUUCCUUAAAUAUAUUCUUUUCAAUAUUGUAAACAUUUGGCUUGGUCAUUGUUAUAGUUAUCAAUUGUGUCAACUUUUACUUUCUCUCAUCCCCAAUUACAUAUGCACUUUGUAGCUUUAAUUUUUUUUUAGUGAUUAAUCUUAGUUUUUAUCUAAUUGUUUGCCUUAUAGUCUUUGACAUAACUAUAAGUGUAACAUGUACCUCUCACAAACCAAAAGACAUCACUUGUCUUCUUUAAUUUAAACAUUUUUGCAUCUGUGUAAGAUCUGAAACUAGAAUUUCACAACAUCGCGUAGUCAUUUUCUCUAGUUGUUUCUCAAAGCUCUCUUCAAGAUUUAGUUCAUGUUCAAUUACCAACUUUGAGUUUUCACUUUUUUUUUUUCCCAUGAGUCAUGAGGAAAUGAAUUUCAACUGUGUUUCAUCUAUCCAUCUCUCUUAAAUUGUUUUAUUCGAUAGUUACCAAUUGUAGAAUUGUUUUUAUAUAUUCUUUUCAUAGAUAUUGUUAAUAAAUUAUGCUAAAUGAGUAGCUUCCUGAUGUGGUGAGAGCUAAUUUUGUUAUUGCUAGGAUAAUAUCUUUUUAACUUUCUUAACUUUUUCCGAAUUAUAAACCACUCAUGCUUUGACCAAUCUCCAUGUGUUUUUCAUUUGUUUGGAUUUAUGGGCUUUUGAUUCUAUUUGGUGAAUAGAUAAUAAGGAAUUAAGGAUCUGAGAUUGACAUUACUUUAAGGAUGUUUGAAGAUGACAUAGUGAAGCAUAGAAUAUUUUUUUGGGUUGUAUCUCCUCAUUUCCCAUACUUAUGGUGGACAUUGAUGAGUUGGAUUAUUUGAAUGAAAUGAGCUUUGGAAAAAUACUAGUAAUUACAUGAAUUGUUGCAAUAUAUUUGAGUGAAAAUAUUAUGUUAGUGUCUCUCCAUGUCACUAAUUCAAACCUGUUACUUUCCAUUGUAAGUGGUAGAAAUAUAUUUUUUAUUUUCUAGAAAACAUUACUCUAACUUGUGAAAAAGGUUCUUAUGCCUCCAUAUUAAAUGUUAUAUGAUGGAAAAAAAACUUGAAUCUCUCUGUUUCCUCAGUCUGGAUCAGGUUAGGAAUAUGCAUAACUAUCCUAGGCUUUUUCUAAAUUCUAUGCACAACAAAAAAAUUAAUUUUUUUUAUACUUUAUAAGGAUCUAGAAAGUGCUAACGAAAACUAUACCUCAAAUUCGGAUGCUCCCGAGUCUUCCGCUCGAUGACUCAAACCUUGAUCUUGGCACACUUCUAAUGGGGAGGAAAUGAGGGUGGAGGCUAUAGUUUUCUCUCUCUCUGGAUGGUGGACGAUAAAAGCUAUGGAACCCCUAACCUCUAGGGGGUAUUUAUAGGGUUCCUAAGUGGGCUUAAGUGACUUGAGCCCAUACAGGCUUGGGUCACUUAAUCUAACCCAAAAUGAGUUCUAACUGAUUAAUUAACCCAAUAAGGCUUACUAAUUAAUCAAUUAGCCCAAUCAAGAGACCUUGUUCACUUACCCCUAUACAACCUUGCGUAAUUAUCAAAAUGCCCUUAUGCACAGAAGUGAACUUAGAGUCAAUUCAACCCUCAUAACCCAUGCCAACAAGGUAUAUGAGUUCAAAGUGGGGACCAUUGGGACCCAUAGAAAUACUGACUCCCUCAAAAUCAAAUUCUAAAGUUGAUUCAAUAUCACACUAUAGAGAAUCAACUAAACUCCAAUAUCUUAUGUAAAUAACAACGAGACACUAAGUGAUCGGGUCUGUGACUUGCUAUCCAUUGUGUUCAGUCUCCCCAUGAACUAAUGUCCGUAGUUUAAUAAGGUGAAAGCUAUUAGUCUUUCAAGACUACCUCUACCUUCUAUUUUGUGUUCAAUUGACAUAUCUUAGCUCUCAAAGAGCCUAUGUCAAGUUCCAUUUAAUGAACUACAUGACCAUAGUUUCCAUGAACACACCUCCUUAAGAUCACCCAAGGGGACACACUAUCUCAAUCCUAAGAGAUAUCAUAGUGCCUCUAUUGAAAAUACCUAUUACUACCAGCUUCUAUCAACAAUGACCCAAUCCAUACGGAAUAUAUGAUCAGCUUACGAUUUCACCUGUAGGUCAAAGUCAUUGCCAACUUUAGCACAAGCUUAAUAUUCUCUCAAGGUUGAGAGACAACACAAUGAAACAGCUUGGUGAGGUCAUGACUCAAUAAUAGCCUUAAGUCAUGACUCACCAUAAGUCUUGUCCAAUGUGUAACCAUACAUACUAGUGCACUCACCAUGGGAAACCCAUCCUGAUAACCAAGACCAGUGAUCCCUCCAAUUAGGAGGUGGUGCACUACAACCUUUAAUGGGUUGCCUAGACCCAUGAACCAAUUGUAAACAAGUCAUCUAUUUGCAAGGAACCCAUGACUUAGAUCUUCUGUGCAACUCCUAAUGCACCUAAGUCACGUACAAUACAAAAAAUGCAGACAAGAAUGCUCAUAAAGUAUAAUAUAUGGAAUAAGAAUAGAUAAAAGUGAAACUGGAACAUCAUUAAAUAAAUAAUGAAUUCCAAAUUUAUUACAUCAUGUCAUGAUUUUAAGUGCUUUAUCCUAACAUUAUAUAUUUGAGAUAAACAUGAUAUAAUGAGAUUUAUGUUUCUUUGUUAUAAUAUUUCAAUAAGUAAUUGUGUUUUAAUUUUAAUAAACUAUGCAUGCAUGAAACAAUUCAAGUAUCAUUAGCAUCAUUGGUAUCAUUGUGAGACAAAAGUUUCUCUUAUUACAUACUAAAGAGAUUUAAGUUAUCAAAAAGUGAAAACGGUUUUAUCUAGGCUAGUUUCAAGUUGACAACUUUUAAAUUGUUUAUCAUGUGAUAAAGAACUUUUCCCUACAAAUGAUACUUGAAUUGUAUAAUUAGACAGUGUAGGAAAACAUAAUAUCUAUGAAGUUAACUGUUUAUUCUUAAUUCAAUUUUUAGAAAUUUUGGUAGUCUUUCCUCUUAUUCUCUGGGUGCAUAUUUGGAUAAAGUUGCAUAGUAUGCCUUGUCCAUUUUACAUACUUAGAGAACUAUAAGGAAAUUCUACUAAAACUUCUUUAAAAUGAAAUUGACCACAUUGGUCAUUGACACAUAGAGAUUAUGUAUUUCUAUAUGGGAUAGGAACUACUACCGAAUUUAGGAUGUUGGAGAUGUUAGAAUGCAUAAAACAUGCAUCAAAAUUUGACAUACUCAAAUGAUUUUCUUUAUUUAGUAAAUUAGUAUAGAUAAUGUUUGAUGCAAAGGUCAUGGACAAACCCAAUAUAAUAAUAUUAAUAUGCACUAGUUUUAUUGAGGUUAUACAUCCCUUUUAAUGCAAGUAUUCAUGGUCAACAACAUUUAUAACUUAUUAGUCACUACUACAAAUAAGAUAUACCAUGACCUUGUUUUUUCCUUGGCACUUUUAAAAAUGUUAAUAAUUAGCGUGAUAUUUCAAAAGUGUAGAUCUAUGUUCAUAGAUCAAAAUGGUUAGAACAAUGCUUACUUUUUUUCUUUUAAAUUUGGCAUCUUAAAGAAAUGUUGAACUACACUUUCUUGAUUAUUAUUUGAACAAAAAAAAAAGGUUGUUAAACGAAUAGCAUAGAAAAUGUUGCUAUUUUCUUCAAUUUGAAGUUUGAUCACUAUUGAAAGUUUGUUCUUAAAAAAUGGAUCAUUUGUGGAUUUCAAAGGAUAGAGGACUAAAGGAGUAUGGGGAUGGGGUAGAACAUUUUUAUCACAUUUGCAAUAUAAAAUUCUGCAUAUAAAAACUCCAUUAAAUGUCCAUGCUUGUAGAGUGGUAAUAUGAUAUUUCAUACUCCUCAAAGAUUUCCUCAAAGAUUUCCUCAAAAUAUUAGAGAGCAUAUGUUUUUCUAUAGAAUUAAUCAGAAUUACCAUAUAUGUUAUUGGCAUGGGGAAGCAACUCCAAGUGAACCACCAACUAGAAGGGUAGAACAUUAUAAUAUGGUUCAAUUUAAUGAUGUAGAUAGUACAAUAGAAAUGGUUGAAGUUGUACAAGUUGAAUGUCAAAAUGACCUAAAAUUGCUUGAAAGAUUACUUCAAAUUGUUGAAAAACCUUUUAUAUCCUAGUUGUAGAAAAUUCACACAAUUGUUUGCAUUGGUUAAAUUAUACAACUUGAAAACACACUAUGAGUGGUCUGAUAAAAGCUUUUCAGAGCUUUUAAAAAUGCUUAGAUAUAUGUUGCCUCUAAAUAAUGAGUUACCCUUGUCUAUGUAUGAGACAAAAAUGGCAUUGAAUACAUUAGGAAUGGAAUAAGAAAAAAUACACGCAUGCCCCAUGAUUGUAUACUUUACAGGAAUAAGUUGAAAGAUGCAUUUCAUGUCCUAUCUAUGGAACUUCAAGGUGAAAGGUAGAUAAUAUAGGAACUAAAAAAAUGACAGGAACUCCUGGGAAAGUAAUGUGGUAUUUUCCUCCAAUUCCAAGAUUUAGAAGAAGGUUUCAAUCAUAAAAAAUCGUAAAAGACCUCAUAUGGCAUACCUAAGGAAGAGAUUUAGAUGACAAAAUGUGUUAUCCAGCUGACUCUCUAUCAUAGCUAAUUGAUCAUAAAUGGCCCAACUUUGUUUCAAAACCUAGAAACUUGAGACUUCCCAUUUUAGCAGAUGGUAUAAAAUCCUCACAAUUCAUUGAUUAGCAAAUAUAGUUGUUUGUCCUAAAGAGCUCGAAGCAGCAACUAUGGACAAUGUUUUUUUUAUCAUAAAGAGUAAGUUAUGGGCAACACUAUGGCUGUAAAUAGAGGUAAAACCUUUAACUUGUUUUUAGUUUGAUUUUUCUUUUCUUUCAUAAUGGAAAUAGAAAAUCAUCUAAACAAAUAGGACCUUAAUAAUUUUUUUUUUCUACAAUUUAUUUUUGAAUAAAAUAAUUUAAAAGAUUCCAUUCUUAUAUUUGUUAGACUUUUUUUUAAUGAAGAAAAAAAUAGUCUCCCUUUUAGCAUAUAUAUUAUAUAUGAUUAACAAUGGGUAUAAUAAAAUUUAUUUAAUAAAUAAUUGAUGUGACAUUCUAAAUUGAAAGUCAUAAAUUAGCUCAUUAGUUUGAUGUUGGCCCUAAAACUACAAGACUUGAUUACAUACUUAGAUUUUAUUCUUGAAAUUUAAGAGAUAAUUGAUGUGACAUCUUGAAUUGAAAGUCAUAAAUUAGCUUAUUAGUUUUAUGUUGGCACUAAAACUACAAAACCCAAUUACAUAAAUUUUGUUCUUGAGAAAUGUCAUUAUGGUUCAUAGUAAGGCUUAGUUUGGUGUGUUAGACCAUGCAUGCAUGAUAUCUCUUCACAUUCUCUUGUUUUUUGACAAACAUGCUACCAUACUUAAGGUGUUUGUCAAGGCUCAUCUUGGACUACUCAAAACUUUGGGGUCCUUUCUUUGAGUUCACAAGCUUCUUUCCCCUAGUGUCAACCCCAACUCCCAAAAUCCACUCCUUAGUAGUGCACUGACGAAAUCUACAAAUGCACUAUAAAGUGAGAAUGGCAUCAUGAAAAUGUAUUAAUGCAUCGUAGAUGUGGGAACUUAAAAAUAUAUAUAUAUAUAUAUAUAUAUAUCUAGAGUUUAGACUUGUUUCUAUUAAUUAGAAAUUACUAAGCAAUGAAUCUUGCUAGUGUGGAAAGUACCAAUAGAUUGACCAAGGAAGGUAUAUGUAAAAAAGAUUGACAUUGUCAAUUGGAAAAAUUCCUUUACAAACGUCAACCCUAUCUUCCUAACCAUCAUGGAUGUUGAGAAGUAGAUAUCGAUGACUAUGAUGAGGAUCACAAAGGAUUAUCAUACCAAGGAGUUAGACAUUUGUUGGGUUAUCAACAAUUUUAAUGAGGGUGGUAUUAACUAUUUGGUUGUUGAUAGUGUAUUGCGUAGUUCCACCAAGCCAAUCUGCUCCUGCAUUGAGAUCAAUCUCGAUGAAAAGGUAGCAUAUAUUUUUCAUUUCCUAAUUCUAUCAAUUGCUUCAUGGUGCCUUUGUCUAAUAAGCUUAACAGGUUCUUCUACAUUUUCACCAUUUAAUUCUCUAACGUUCAUCAUGAUAGGGUUGAAAUUUCAUCAUCAAAUCAAAACAUAUCCUCCUAUAAGAGGCCUUUGAAUUCUGAAAUAAUCAAUUCACUUUAUUCUCAUAUUGGCAAAGACAAGCUUACACUAUUGGAAAGACUACCCCUAACCUUUGCCCUCCCAAAUAGCAAAGAUGAGAGAGAACCUUUCACAAAAUCACAAGAAUUAUUCAAGUUUGGAAUUCAUAGGCAUUGUUAUUGAAUUUCAUUUGUAUAAAAUUGGUGUGUUGUGUUUAUUUUGUUGGUAUUAAAAUUGAAUUUUUUUUAAUUGCAAAUUGAUGAUUUUUUUUCUCUCUCACAUUUAUACCCAUUAGAGUUUCUUAUUAGGGUUUGUGUUUGAAAUUUGGAGAAAGUAUGGUGCAAUUGUUCAUCGGUGUGGUGUACCAUUUUGUUUGUUGUAUCUAAUAUUUGGGUAUUUGAUUUAAUUUUAUUGUUGUUGAAAUUGAAAGUUGAAAUCCAAGUUAAUUGUUUAACUAGCUAUUUGUAGUUGACUUGUUUUGCACCAAUCUUGAUUACCCAUUUCAUGGGAAUAAUCGAUUCCAAUUUUCCUUCAUGGUUACUAAAAAUAUAUUGUAGGUGAAGGACUAUUAUGGAGUAUAUUAAUUCACAAGAAAAAUGUUCCUUUAGUUAGUAAAAACUUCAUUCAUGUGGUCAUUUAUGAGCAUCAUAAUAAUCCAUAUUAAAAAUAUUUAAAAACAUUAAUGCACUAAAACAUUGAUUUCAUCAACAAAAAUACACUCAUUCUUUUGACUUAUAGCAUUCAAAGAUGUUUAAAAAUAUAUAUGUACAAUAAAACAUCAUCGAAUUUAUUAACAAUUAAACUUUUAACCCCAAAACAAUCCGUUACUUUAGUAGAUAAGACACUAUUGGAAUAACAUUAUUUUUAGCUCAAGUUAGAAGUUAAAAUGAUAAGGUUAAAAGAACAAAACCAACAAAAAAAAAAAGUUAUUUUUUGUCAAACUUGACACUAGUACAAUUUAAAUAAUGUAGCUCAAUGCCCUAUUGAAUUGAGUCAUAUAACUAGACUCCCUAAUUAUAUAUUAUGAUACACACACAACCUUUGGUCUAGUAUACAUGAUUAAAUUAAAUGCCAACCUAGUUUGCAAAGCUAAACUGGAAUCCCAAAUCUAGUUCAUUAUAAAUACUCUUCAACCAACUUGCUACAACAUUCAAAUAAGACAAUGACAAUGAUAGAAAACCAAAAAAAUACCUAAUAUAUCAUUGAAAACUCCUUCCUAAAGGAGGUAAAAAAAAUCAUGAAGUAACUUUCUUCUAUUAAUAAAAAUGGGAAUACAAUGAUCUAUAUAGUGUUUUAACUCGAAACUGAUGGUAUUACAAAUAUUAAAGAAGAAAUUUAAAACACACACACACACACACACAACAAGCAUGUUGUCAAGCUUAUAAGAGUUGGAGAAAUUUCUCCAUAUAAAUCUUCAAAACAUGAUGGAGAGUAACCUUGACAUUUAAGUCAAUAAUAUACAAGGAAAGACAACCCAAAAAGAUACAACUUUGAGAACAAACUCUCCUUUUUGCUUUUUUACAUAACCUUUUUUUUUUUUUUUUCCUUUUUGAAAACUUCUCUCCUUUCCUCUAAUUGUUACACCAUACAACAAUCCUAAAAAAACAGAGUUUAAAGGCUUGUUUGAUAACUGUUUUUAAAAAUAAUUUUGAAAAAUAGUUUUUGAAAAUUAUUCUCUAAUGUUUAAUUUGUAGAACAAAAGUUUGUUUGGAAACCCAAAAUAUUUUUAACAUGUUUUUAAUGUUGUUAAAUAUGUUUUAAAAAUAAUUUUUAUGUUUAGUAUUUUAUUUUUAAUCAUUUUAUAUGUUUAUAUAAUUAUUUUUUAAGGCAAACCUUAAAAAAUAAGUGAAAAUAACAUAAAACACUUAAAAGAUAUUAUCUGAAAACACCUUAUUUUAUUGUAACAGAAAAUAAAAAGCGGUUUUUGGUUGUCAAACAUGUUUUCUUAAUUUUUUAUUUUGAAGAAUAGAAAUUUGUUCUUGAAAAUAUCUAGUUAUCACAUUAGUUAUUGCCCAUUUUAUGAUUUUAAUUAUUGCUUAAAAACUAGUUUUUCAGCUAAAAAAGAAGGUCCACUACUUAUGGGUCAAACCUUCAACUUUCAAACCCGAACACAAAGUUAUAGUCAAGACUAAUAUUCACAUAUUAGUAUUAAUAUAGUUCAUUAAAUAUGAAUUUCUAUUGAAGCCAAAAUCGAGUUUUUAGGGGAAGUAACAUUCACUUUCAAUUAAGCAAUUUUUAACUCAUAAGUUAGUACUUGUAACAAAAUUUCUUAAUAGAGACUUUAAUUGAGUUUUAAGAAGAAUUUUUUGUUUGUUAAAAACCAAUUCAAACAAAAUCUAAAACUAAUAUUAUUAUCUAAAAGACAUAAUGAACAACAUAAACCAUAAACCAAAGUGGUAGUGACAACCAAUAUGUAGCGUCAAUGAAUAAUUGAAAAUAACCUCAUUUUCUAAUGACCUCGAACCUAGAAGCUCUAAAAUUCUUGCCUAAUUCCUUGUGAUGACUUUGGUUCAACCUUAAUGGCGAGGGCAAAAUUCUAAAUAAUUUUUGUCACAACUCAUAAAUUUAGAAGAAAAAAAUGAGAAUAAAUGGAAUCCCUAAUGAGAAAUUGUUAUUUUUCCCCUUUAUGACAAAAAUAGUAACCUACUAGUAUUAUUAAAUAACAUGGAAAUUAUUAUUUCAACUUUAAUACCAUGUAUGACAUAACUUUAACAACCUUAAUUUAUAAGAUUAUUUAAUUUAAAAGGAUAAAACAAUUACAUAUUCAUAAGAAUCGCUUCUAUUUUUUAAAAACAAUAAAUUCCAUUUUUUGGACAAAAAUACCCUCCAUUGUUUUUAUCAACAUUUCACAAUCAAACACUUAUUGGAAAAAAAAAAGUAUAAGGGUAGCUAUAUUAAAAUGAGGUUAUAAUUAUAAUACUCAAUAAGUGGAGAUUUUUUUUCCAAAUAUUGGGAUCAUCUUCUCCAUUUGACACAAAUAUUUAUAAUUUAUAUUAUAAUUACUCUUAUAGUAAGAGAGAAAGAGUAAUUUCACAUGAAAUGGACCCAUAAACAUAGAUUUAUUAUGAGGCAUGAUACUAUAAUAAUAAUAGGAAAUAAGACGAGACGUGAUACCAUAAUAAUAGAAAAUAAGAUAAGUAAUUCAAUACUUAAUGAAGGUCUGAAAUAAUUAUGUUUCUCAUUAAAUGAUAUUAAAGACGAAAAAAAACUUAUUAAUUUUUAUUUUAAGUAUUAAGAUUAUUUAAUAAAAUUAACUUAAAAUUUAUUUUAAAUUAUCAAAUUGAUAUAUUUAUUUUCAUAGAUUAUAACUAAGGUAAAUGAAAUCAAGUAAUAAUGGAUGUCAUGUAGUGAAAGAGAUCCUAGAGGCAACGGGACAAAUUGUGGUAAAAAAUGUCAAAUAAAAAUACGAACUUAAGAACAAAUUAAUUGUUUGUACUUAUUACUUAAAGUUGUUAUUUAUUUUAUAUUAUUAAAUUAUUUUACUAAAUAUGCUUAAUUUAUUUAAUGACUUAAAUUAAUUUAUUAGUCACUUUAGGCUAUUAAAUCGGGUUUACCAAUCAUAUCGAAUACAUUUGGCUAGUAGGCCAAGACUCAAGAAUAUUGCUAUCAUAUGUUUUAUGUAUUAAGGUGCCAAGAAUAAUUCACCACAAAAUAUAUGAUGAGUUGAUAAGUAUAGGAUACAAUCUAAAAUAUGCACUUGAUUUCAUCAUCUAAAUAAAUGCUCUCGGCAAAUGGAUCAUCCUAGCUGAUACCAGAGCACAAGCCGCCAUGGACAGGAGGCAACGGAGAAACCCUUCUGCUUCUUCUUCUGCCUUUUCAUCUCCAGCUUCAUCCUCAUCGCGUUUCCGCUCAGAGAAAUUCUCCUCGAAUCCCCCAAAAACUAGUAACUCCCUGGAGGAUGCUCACCAAUUGAAAAGCAAAUGUGGGAAGCCACAAAGACCAAAGCAAGAGGAGGAAGGAGAGCAAGAUCCGAACAAUCUUCUCUCCUUAGUUGGAACUUGCCCAUUCAUGUGCCCUGGUAAAAAUGCGUGCUUAUUUUUCCAUUUUUUUAAAAUUCUAUUUUCCUGUUAUUCUGUGUUUGGUUUCCGAGAAAUUGGAGGAAAACAGUAGAAAAGAGAAGUGAAUCUGGAGUUUCUGUGUCAUUUUUGUGGCUUUUACAUAAAUUUUACAAAUAAAAUUGAUAUUUCUCCCCCUUUAUUAGAUACCAAUCUGCAGAAGAUGUAGGAAUCCCAAAAAAAAAUUCGCUUUUGCCUUUACUUCCCCCAAAUCUUUCAUAAUGGAAAAUGGACUUACCACCUCUUUUAUCACUUUUCCUUUACCAUGUCAGGUUUACAUGUAAUCAAACACUGUAUUUGGAGUAGGGCACUUAUUCUAAUGUCAAAUGGUGUUGAAAACUUGAAUUACUGGAUCUUAAGACUCCAGAAGAAAUUUGAUUGUUUAUGAUUAUUGCUCCAUGAGAAGGGAAAGGGAUUUCUUUUGUUUUUGCUCACAUAUAUGGCCAAAUUGAUUUAUCUCCUUCUCAUACGAACAAAAUAAGGACAUUUCUUGUCUUGCUGCCUUUUAUGCCACCGGUUCCACAUGCUGAUGUGACAACCCUUUUGCUAUUCUGUACAAAUGGUAGGAAAAUUCUGGUAAGACUGGUGGCCAGCCUAUCAUGUUCAGGGAAUAAAUUCAUUGUAUAUCUGGAAUUCACUCUAUAUCAGCAUAGGGUGUUGAUACUGAUUAUAAAUGACAAAUUCAAUUUAUUAUCCUUACAUUAGGGAGUGCUAAAAGGAUGCAAAUUGUUCAUGUUAUACCCAAAGACAUACAAGUGAUGCUAGAGAUUUUCACAAUGUGGAUAAUCAUAGAGUAGAGAUGAACACUAUGGAGUCUUUUGGCAUGUGUUCAUUCCAUGUACGGGAACAUGCAUUGGAAGAUUAUGUUUCCUCCUCCCUUCCCCUCCCCAAAGUUAAUACUAUGUUGUCAUGGCAAGAACUUUGGUGACAUGCUUCUGAGUGGAAUAGCCUCCUAGAAGUCCAUUUAUGUGGCAGUUGGCAAGUUCUUCCGGUCAAUGAGAACUUUGUGACUGUCUGAUUGUUGUACUAAUCAUCAUCAGAUUUUUUUUUAAGUUCAAGUUGUAAAUAGCCUUUCACAGUUGAAGGUAGCGAUGAAGAGGCCUGUUGACAUAAUUAUUUCUUCUGCUUGAAUGGAUUAAAAUCAGAUACCACACCUUCAGCCUAGAAAACUAUGGACUUUCCUAUGUACCUGCAAUUGGCUGAAUACUGGUGUGGCACUGACUAAAGGCUCUCUGAUGCUGUUAUUAAUUUCCUGAGCAAAUUAGAGAAAACAGAGAGGUCAUAAUGUGAAUCAGUUACCUCUUGAGUAGGGAUGAAGGCUUUUUAUAACUUUUUACUUUCUGGUUAGGCCUUGGAAGCACUUCUGUGAACCAUGAUUUUGUACUGUAAAAUUAGAUGGGAUGGAUAGGUCACCUUAACUCUACUUUUGGAAGUGAUUGGGGAGCGCAUGACUGUAUGAAUAUUGAUGUGUUCUCCCCAUACAGAGCCCAACUUCUUUUUGAACUAGGAAGCAUGAAGGGUGGGUGGAUGUGGGCUGAGGAAGGAAGAUUUGACUUGUGUGCCGCAGGCCUGCGGUACCAAUUUGUUCCAGAACUUGAUAAGGCCCAUAAACUGGUAGGCAAGUUUCAUUAUUUGGUCACCACUGAAUUUUGGCAGUAUGGCCACAAGGAAGGUAGGAAGGAGAGGGAGAAGAGAAAACCCCAAUUGCCAAUUGCAAGCUUCCGGUUGGCACAGUGCUCAUUGCUGACAUUUUCAUUUGAUUUUGACCUUGCAACAGAUACAGCUUAACAUGAUGGACCAGUUUUUCACAAUCUUGUGAUUCAUUACCCAACUUCUAGUAACAGUUUCUCAGCAGAUGACUCACCUAUGACAGGCUGAUGAUGUCUGCACACAACUUGAAAGGUAUUCAUGCCAAGGUGUGAAAGGUAAUAUUGUGACACCAUUUUGCCUAUUCCAGAAAAUGUAACAAAUGUAUGGCUGGUUCUUGACCUAAAAAUGCUGGCAUUGGUCACCAAGUGCUAGGGUGAUUCUUGACAAAAAAUGUUCGUAUUGUUCAGAACAAUGAUUUACAACUUCAGAUUGGCCAUCCAGUUAACGAUGAUAAUCACUUGUUUUACAAAGUUCAGUGUCAUAAAAGCAAAAUAAUUUUGUCAACAAAUAUGCGGAUAACUUUAUCAUAAUUACUACUUAUGGAAGUUAAGGAUAAGUUGGGUAAUGUGAGAAAGUUUUGGUCAGAGGAUAUGAGGAUAAAUUUGUUGCAAUUGCUAAGCUUCACCUCCUAGGACUACUAGGAGAAACGUAUGAGCAAUAGAACAAAUUUACAGUCCAUCCCCAUUAGCUGCAUGGAGAGGUUGGGCUUAUUGCUGCUAUGGUGGAGGUCACCUUCUUGUAGACUUUGAAAUCUGCGAAUGAAGAGGCAGAUUUCUUAGAGGAAUUGGUAGGACUCCAAGCCCCCCAAAUGACAGGGGGGUGGGGAGGAUGGGGGUGGUGGGGGGCCAUUUCUAAUUUCAUGUCUUCUCAAUGUGGAUUUGAGGUUUAACGAGAUUUUUGGGAAAUCAUUAAGGUUAAAAGUAAUUGAAAGAGUGUGUCUGUGGAGAGCAAGAGGGGGAAAUGUUUGGUUCCCAACUGGGGUUGCUUCAUCUGACCGUUAAUCUCACAGCAAACACCGACGGAGCGUUGUUGUUGGAGGCUUCCAGGUUCUCUGAUCAAUUCUCUUGUUCUUUGUUUUCUUUGGGGAAGCGGGAAACCUCUCUUUCUUCUAUUCCUUCUGGGCGGGAUGGGGAAGGUGUUGCCAUUGCCAGGGUUUCCGAUCAGGGCAGUGGUUUAGAAGCCGUAGGGGGAGCUGUUAUGGGCCCGUUAAGGAUGAUAUUGGCGGAUGGGAGGGAGGCCGAGGUCUCAAAUUUGGCGGGUAGGGAGUUUGGGACUUUCGAGGAGGCGUCAGAGGGGGUUUCGAAAAGGGUCUCCCAAGAGGAUGAAGAAGAGAGGGACAAAGAGGGGGAACUGUGUUGGCAUUCUAGUAGCUUGGCUAAGUUCAGCCGCUAUCUUGGAAUGCCGAUGGAGGGCUUCGAAGGGGAAAUUUUGUUUUUGCUUAAAAGAAUGAAAGAGAAGAAACUUCAAAAAGGAAAGUUGAAUGGCAGAAAAAGGAAAAAAUUGGAGUCAUCAAAAUUCGAAAUAGAAUUGAGAAAGUUGGAAUGGACAGUGAAUUAUCUUGGAGGAGGAGGAGGAGAGGGGGGGGAAGUACGAGCAGGUCUAAAUGAAGCUCCGACUGCUCACUUGGAAUGUAAGAGUGACCAAUAAUUGUGAUAAGAGGAAGGUGAUCAAAGCGUUGAUAAAGAAGAAUAGGGUGGAUCUGGUUUGCCUAUAGGAAACCAAGAUUUAGGAAAUGUCAAUGGGCAUUAUCCGUAGCUAAGGAGUGGGAAGAUUCCUUGAAUGGGGAGCUGUAGAUUCAAGGGCACAGCUGGAGGUAUAGUGGUGUUUUGGGAUAACAGGGUGUUGGAUUUGGUUGACCUUCAAAAAGGAUUGUUCUCUAUUUCUUGCACUUUUAAGAGUUGCGAGGACGGUUUCAUAUGGACGUUUACAAGGGUUUAUGGCCCAACAUUGAGGAGGAAUAGGGAGAGUUUUUGGGAGGAGUUGGGGGCCAUUAAGGGGCUUUGGAAUGGGCCGUGGUGUGUUGUAGGGGAUUUUAAUGCCAUUCUAAGUCCGGAAGAGCGCAACAGAGGAGGGAGCUUGAAUUCAAACAUGAGAAGGUUCUCAGAAGUUAUAGAAGAUCCAGAGUUAAAGGAUCUGCCUAUGGUUGGGGGUCCUUUUACUUGGAUUGGAGGGGUGAAUAACCAGUCUUUUUCAAGGCUGGAUCGUUUUUUGGUUAAUGAGGGGUGGGACAGUCAUUUUGGUGAUGCGAGGCAGUUUGUUCUACCAAGACCUGUGUCCGAUCACUUUCCGGUUCUUCUGGACGGAGGGGGCCUGAGAAGAGGCCCUUCCCCAUUUAGAUUUGAGAAUAUGUGGCUGAAACUGGAAGGUGUUAAGGACCUUUUGAAGCAUUGGUGGGAGGAAGGUAGCUUCAGUGGAUCCCCAAGUUUUAUCUUGGCCGAAAAACUAAAAUUUAUGAAGGCUAAGCUGAAGAAGUGGAACAGAAACACAUUUGGUAGGGUUGAAUAUAGAAAGAAUUUGGCUUUGGAGCAGGUGGAGUUUUGGGAUACCAAGGAGAAAAUUAGCAGACUGUUGUUGGAAGAGCUGGAAGCUAGAAAAGAAGCGAGGGAAGAUUAUAAAAAAUGGGUCUUACUUGAAGAAAUCACGUGGAGGCAAAAAUCUAGGGAAGUGUGGCUGAAAGAAGGGGAUAGAAAUACCGGUUUUUUCCACAAGAUGGCCAAUGCUCACAGGAGGAGGAAUAAUGUGGACAGAAUUAAGAUUAAUGGAGCCUAGCUUACAUAGGAGAAUGGAAUUAGGGAAGGGAUUGCCAAUGCUUUUAGGUUGUUGUUGUCCAAUCCGGGGGAAUGGCGCCCUUCUAUUUUCGAGCUGCAGUUUGAGACUUUGGAGCCUUUGGACGCUAGUGCCUUGGAGAUUCAUUUUUCGGAAGAGGAGGUCUUCGAUGCACUAUUGGGCUGUAAUGGGGAUAAAGCCCCGGGGCCAGAUGGAUUCUCUAUGACCUUUUGGCAAUUUGCUUGGGAUUUCGUGAAGGCUGAUGUGAUGUGUUUCUUCAAGGAGUUCAAUGAAAAUGGCAAAUUUGUUAAAAGCCUAAAUGCAACUUUUAUGGUCCUAAUCCCAAAAAAAGCAGGGGUUGAAGCCUUAGGGGAUUUUAGGCCUAUAAGCUUGGUGGGAAGCUUGUACAAGUGGCUGGCCAAGGUCUUAGCUAAUAGGCUAAAAAAGGUGGUUGGAAAGGUGGUCUCCAAGGCUCAAGGGGCGUUUGUGGAAGGUAGACAAAUCCUAGAUGCAGUGUUGAUAGCUAAUGAAGCCAUUGAUUUGGUUCUCAAGAAUAAUGAGAAUGGCAUUCUGUGCAAACUGGAUAUAGAGAAGGCGUAUGAUAACAUGGACUGGACUUUUAUUCUCACAGUUAUGCAGAAAAUGGGUUUUGGGGAAAAAUGGAUCAGGUGGAUUAAGUGGUGUAUAUCCACUGCAGGUUUCUCCGUGUUGGUCAAUGAAACCCCUACGGGUUUCUUCCAAAGCUCCAAGGGUUUGAGACAGGGUGAUCCCCUUUCCCCUUAUCUCUUUGUGAUAGUUAUGGAGGUCUUUAGUGCUUUUCUUAAAAGGGCUGUAGAGGGAGGUUUCUUAUCGGGUUGUAGGGUGAAGGGUAGGAGUGAAGAAGGGGUCCUAAUUUCCCACUUGUUGUUUGCUGAUGAUACACUGGUGUUCUGUAAACCUUCACAAGAUCAAUUGACUUAUCUCAGUUGGUUACUUAUGUGGUUUGAGGCCGUUUCGGGAUUGAGAAUAAAUUUGAAAAAAAGUGAACUCAUUCUAGUAGGGAGGGUAGAGAAUAUGGAUGAUCUUGCUUGGGAAUUUGGUUGUAGACUGGGUAGCCUUCCAACCACCUAUUUGGGGAUGCCCUUGGGUGCUCUUUUUAAGUCAGUUACAGUUUGGGAUGGUGUGGAAGAGCGCUUCUGAAGAAGGUUAGCCAUGUGGAAGAGACAAUAUUUAUCCAAGGGAGGAGGGCGACUCUUAUUCGAAGCAUGUUAUCGAAUUUACCCAUCUAUCUCAUGUCAUUGUUGUGCUUACCAAGCUCAAUUAGACGGAGAUUAGAGAAAAUCCAAAGGGACUUCCUUUGGGGUGCAAUUUGGAGCGAAAGCCUCAUUUAGUAAGAUGGGAGUUGGUGUGUUUAAGUAAGAAGAAAGGAGGUUUGGGGGUCAAAUGCCUUUCCAUUCUCAACAAGGCUCUUCUUGCUAAAUGGAAUUGGCGUUUUGCAAAUGAGAGAGAAGCUUUGUGGAAUCAAGUGAUUAGGGGGAAGUAUGGAGAAGAUAGAGGGGGUUGGUGCUCUCGGGAAGUGAGAGAGGCUCAUGGUAUGGGGUUGUGGAAAGGAAUAAGGAUGGAUUGAGAGUUGGUGAGCGAUAGGAUGGUUUUCAUUGUUAGUAAUGGGAGGAGGGUGAGAUUUUGAAGGGAUAGAUGGUGCGGGGAUUCUCCUUUGUGUAUGUCUUUUUCUUCUCUUUUUGAUUUGACUGUUGAAAAGAAAGCGUGGGUGGCAGAUUUUGGGACCCUUUGGCUAAGGGGGGUUUGGGGGGGGGGGGGGGGGUGGGAACCCCGUUUUUUAAAACUUUUCAAGAUUUGGGGGGAGAGGGAGGGGAAAAAUUUUUUGCGAAGGUUUCUGGUUAAAAAAUUUUUUGGGNNNNNNNNNNNNNNNNNNNNNNNNNNNNNNNNNNNNNNNNNNNNNNNNNNNNNNNNNNNNNNNNNNNNNNNNNNNNNNNNNNNNNNNNNNNNNNNNNNNNAAAAAAAGGGUGGGGGGGCAAUUUUUGGGCCCUUUUGGUUAAGGGGGUUUGGGGGGGGGGGGGGGGGUUGGAACCCCUGUUUUUAAGAGCUUUCAAUGAUUGGGAGGUAGAGGAGGCGGAAAGAUUUUUGCAGAGGCUUCAUGGUAAGAGAGUUAUUGAGGAUGUGGAGGAUAUGGUGUCUUGGACUGAAACUAAGAGUGGUAAAUUCUCGGUCAAGUCUCUUUAUGUUGCCCUUGAAGCGGGUUGUUCAUCUCUGUUUCCUUUAAGCUAUAUUUGGAAUGUGAAUGUGCAGCCCAAGAUUAGUUUCUUUACAUGGGAGGCUACGUGGGGCAAAGCCUUAACCUUGGAUAUGGUCCAGAAAAGAGGACGGGCAUUGGCAAAUAGAUGCUUUAUGUGUCUUGAGAAAGAGGAGACCAUAAACCAUCUGCUCCUUCAUUGUUCAAGAACAAGGGUGUUAUGGGAUCUACUUUUUACUUUAUUUGGGGUGUCUUGGGUAUUGCCUUCUUCAGUUAGAGAGACCCUUCUAAGCUGGAAUGGUUUUUUCGUGGGCAAAAAAUGCAAAAAGGCGUGGAGAGUUGCUCCUCUUUACAUUUUCUGGACGGUUUGGAAGGCGAGGAAUAGAUUGGCUUUCAAGGAUGAUAUGUUGUCAAUUUAGCAACUGAAACACUCUUUUAUCCUUUCUUUUUGGUCCGAGAUUAAGUUGUUUAUAGAUGAUUGCCCUCUAACUAUAGCUAAUUUUAUUGAUUGGUUGGGCUCUAAGUAGGAUUGGGUUGUUGGGCUAUCUUUGUUUUUUAGCCUUGUUGGAGGCGGGUGUAUAGGUAUUGUAUACCUUGAGUCACUUUUUUAGCGUUUCUUUUAUAUAUGAAAUCUUAUUUACUUAUCAAAAAAAAAAAAAAUGUAAUCGAAGACUUUCACAUUAAUGAGGUAAUGAAUAACCACUGAUACUUCUUCACCCCAAAGUUCCUUCACAAAAAUUUGGUAAGUGAAGAACCAUUUCUGAGUUGUGAAGCACCAAUUCCACCUUCAUUAUCUUGAUCUUUAGAAAGAGGGAUCCAACUUGAUUUGGGAUUUUAUACCUGUCAACCCAGUCACUAAUUUUUAGGAGAAUACUUCCAAUUUACCCUUGGGUUGCUUUAGAAAGUUUCUUAAUAGUGCCAUCUCUCUAGCUUAAGGGGCUUUUGUUAAUGGAAGGCAAAUACUAGAUGUGGUUAUCAUUAGUAAUGAAAUCCUAGACAAAUACUAGAUGUGGUUGUCAUUAGUAAUGAAAUCCUAGAUGAAAAAUUCUGUUCUAAGGACGAAGGGAUGGUUUUUAAAAUAGGUUUUGAGGAAGUUUAUGAUCACAUAGAUUGGGGUUUCAUGUAUGAUACAUACUUUGAAUAGGGAAGGCCUUGAACCUGGAUGGCACAAAGGGACUGGAUAUUUUGAGGUUGUUUUUCAAACUGCAGGCUCUUUAAUGGUGUUAUUGAAGCUGAGUGUUUAGCACUCGAGGAAGAUUCGGAUAUGGUUGUUUGCCUGGAUGUAAUGAACCUCCAUAUUGAAGGGGAUUCCUUUGUUAUUGUCUCAAAACCUUCUUUGAAGGCAAAGGUCCUUAGUGGAUUGCUCAUCAGAUGGGGUGGCUUCAUAAUCAUGCUAGAGACAUUGCUUGUUCUUCUCUAUUGAGGCCCAGAUCAGCUAGCCAGGUGCAUGGCUAUAUUUUUCUUAUAGGGAUGCUAAUAUCUGAAAAUUUUUAUUGAGAACACUUACUGCUCUUUGAUUGGUUUGAGGCAUGGAGUGGCUUUUCUGUUCUCUUCUUGCCAUACAUGCAUAUCAUCCCUCUUUUUUAUCUUGUUUAACUCAAUAAAUUCUCAUUUGUUAUAAGGAAAAAAAGAGAUAUUAUGUUACAUGAUGGAAGGACUUUAUUCUGUUAUGGAAUAGGCAAAACCUAGAUCUAUUGGCUAGAGCUAUACAGUAGGUUGUUGGGCUGUUCAGCAUUGUCUUUUUUUUGGAUAGGUUUGGCCAAUGCCCCUUGAUGUUACUUUUUGGUAAUGUAAUUUUCUUUGAUUUUUCUUGAAAAUUCCUCAUUUUUCAAGCUUGCUUGUAUAUCUUUCCUUCUUCCAUUAAUGAUUGUUUGAUUCCUUACUAAAAUAAAUAACAAAUUAUGAUGCAAAAGGAUUACGUUUAUGGAAAAUUUUGAGAUUUUCACCAUAUUAGAGUCUCUGAAGUUGGUACUUGUCUUGACACAGAUAAUAGGAAUCAUUUUCCCCCCAAACUACAUAAGACAUGUCUGCUACUUGGUAAUGUUCCAUUGGCAGUUAUAAACUCUCCUGUCAAAAGUGAAUCUGUUGUAGCAUUCCAAAUGGUGUAGUGUCGUACAUAGAUUGGUAAUUGAGGACUUUAUUAUGGAUUUUGUCCUGUUGUGGUUGUGCCAACAAGUUCUAUCCUGUUCUUUGUCUUGCUGAUUUGGGUGGUUGUGCAUCAUGUUCCUACAGCUGUAUAAUUAUGCUUCAGGAGCAUAGUUAUUCUGGUUUUACCAUCCAGAUGAUGGUAUUAAAGUAUUUGUAUUCUAGAUUGCGCAACUCCUUAUAUGGGAUAUUUUUGCACCAAAUGCUUAGUGAUCAAGAGAACUCUCAUAUUAAACACAGUCAUCUUCUAUUAAACUAAAUUCCUUAAGUAUGCAGUCUCACAACUACAUCAUACCAUUCUUUUCCUUUUUUAUUCCUUUCUUGCUAUUACAGGUUGGUUGCCACUAAUAUAGUAGAAAGCAAAUUACACGACCCUGCUUCCAUAAGACCUUUCUUAUUCCAUAGGUUGAAAUAGAAAAAACACUCGAUGGGACUAAUGUUUCUCUUUGCAACCAAGCAAAUUAAAAUGUUUUGAAACCCAUGCUGCCAUGAUCUUAGCUAAUUUGCAUUUUAUAUCUCUACCCCUUUCUAUUUACCAUAAUGAUGCAUGCAUCUAGUCAAAUUGUGUAUUUCUUAUGCUUAUAUUUAUUUCCUGAUGAGUUUAUUCUGACUCUUUGAUCAGGAUUUCUGCAAUCACAUUGCUUGCUAUUGAAUUUUCAAUGGCUUAAUAUGAAUUAUUAAUAAAGAUGUUGUUUAAUUAUUUCAGCAGCUUAUACUUGGUAAUUUCUUUUAACAACUCUUAUCUCUGAUGUUCAUUUGUAAUAUAUAGCUGGAGAAAGGGCCCAACGUGAACGCCUUCGGGACUUGGCUGUGUUUGAGAGGUUACAUGGAAAUCCUGGGAAAACAUCUCCAAGCCUUGCUGUCAAAAAGGUAAACCCUACAUCUCAUUCCUCUAUACCGCAUCUUAGCUUCUCAUCUUGCAUCGGACAAUGAUACUCUUAUUGAAUCAUCUUUACCAUAUCAGCCAUCAACAUGUGCACUUAUUGAGCGCUAAUUCAGGCACUGAUACUUGUGCUUUUGUUUUGUUUUGUUUUAUCUUGUCUUGUUUUGUUUUGGAGGUGAUUGUGUUGGAUGACCUAUAUCUGUGUUAGACACCAAAGCCUAUCUUAAUGCUACUGUAAAGUAAGACUAUGCUAAUAAGCUAUUGAUCUGUUACAGGGUUUAUGCCAAACUGAUUUUUUAGUUUCUCUAGUAGAAAACUUGUUUUUUCCCCUGUUAUAUCGGUGCUAUUGUUGGAUUUGUGUUUGUUGUUGAUCAAGCAUUUGCUGAAACCUUUUUUUUUUUCCUUUGCUUCUUGAUGUGCAAAGCAUUAUUGUUUGAAUUUUAAUGAUCCCAUUUGAUUCACUAUUCAAUAUUUUUAUUUGAUAUUACAUCUAUCUCAUUUGUUUUCUUUUCUUAGUUUGUUUGUUUGUUUUUUUUUUUUUUUUUUUUUUGAAUUUGUGACAUUUGAAUUUGAUGGAGCCACCAUUAAUUUAUUUUUCCUUAUUAUUGUGGGGUGUGCUUUAUUUUGUUCAAUUGUUGUUGCACUAUUAUUGUCAUGUAACUUUUCUUUUUUGUUUUGUUUCUAUUGUUCCUAUGAGCAUUAAAUGCUUCUAAAAUGUAUGGAACAGGCUAAACCUUUCUAUAGUUUUUUUAAAAAAAAAACUCAUUUAUUAUCUAUUUUCUUGUGCUCAAAAAAUUAUAUUUUUUUAGUAAAAUUGAAAAUUUAGGGAGCGCUUAGGCCUCAGCGGCUCAACCCCUUGAGGGUUUAGGCCUGUCAUAGCAAGAUGUAAACCCCCUUGCCUCUUAUGCUUUUACCUUAUGAAACUAUACCAAGAAACAAACACCACAACUCCCUGCUGCCAUCAAAGGAUACUUCAAAGUUUGCUUCAAAUCAAUCUUAAGGCCAAUUAUCAUAGGCUUGUCAUCAUGUCACUAAAAUUGGUAUUGUAACCAAAGUCCUAUUGCGAAAUCUUCAAGUUGCAGCUCCUCCUUUUCUGUUGGCUCUUGUAUUGUUAGGUGGCCGCAACCUGUUGCUUUUCUUAUGCUUUAUGAACUACUCCAGUUAAAAUAAUGCUUCAAGUAGAUGCUUUCUGGAUCUUGAUUCUAGCAAGAGGCUUAUAUUGCAAAUUUUUUUGUGGAGUCCUAGAUAGGUUAACUAGGAAGACAAUAGCUUGCUUAAGAGGAUUGCCACCUCUCCUUUUGGGUUUGUAAAAAUUUUGGUUCUCCCUUGACCUUGGGAGUCCUAUGGUUUCAAUUUUGGAUGUGCUCUAGGUUGUAGCCUGUGUUAUGCUUUCUAAAUGGUAAUCUUCUUCUUGUUUUAGCUGGGAUGCUUUUGUUUAUUUUGCUCGUUUGUUUUCUUUGUUUCUUUAUUGUGGCUGUAGGAUCACCAAUCAACUUUUUAUUCUCUGCAAAAACUGUUUAUGUUUCAUAACGAAAAAGGAAAAAACAAAGGCAAGUUAGCCUAGAAUAGGUUUUAUCUUGUUUCUUCUUUUACCAUUAGUGUGGAUUCAAACUCAGGAAGAGGCCUUCAAACAAGUGGCAUUUGUGUUUUUUAAACAUAUAUCUUUAUUCAAUCAUUGUUAAGUGUUUGUUGUCUUGUCUGUUCUUUUGGUUGUUUUUGUCUUUGUCAAAGUGUAUAAUUAUAAUAUCCCACAUUGUAUAGAGGAAAAAGUUUCUAACGCUAUAUAUGUAUGAACUUUUUUUAAUCUUGUUGAUUCGUUUUUAAGCCGCGAGGGUCGUUUAGGCUCAAAGCAAAUAAUAUCCACACAACUGGGAGUAGGUUGUUACAAAUGGUAUCAAAGUCAAUCCUCGACCUUGGUAGGAGAGUUUGCUUGGCCUAAAAUGGGUGUCCGUUUAUUUGACCUUACAAUCCUAUGGGACACAAUAAGGACGUUGUGUCUGCAUGAGAGGGUGAUUGUAAUAUCCUACAUUACAUAGGGGAAAAAGUUCCUAACGUUAUAUAUCAUAGUUUUAAAAGGCUCAAGGCGCACCAAGGCGCAAAGUAGUCCUGGAGCCUGAGGCGCAAGGCGCAUCUAAGGCGCGGGCUUUAGUGAAGUGAGGCGCACCCUAAUUUACAUAUAUAUUUUUAUAUAAUAUAAUCAAAUUUAACAAUCAUUUAUUUGUCCUAAACACAUAAAUCAUCAAAUAUCAUCCAAAACUUCAAUUUAAUAAACAAAAAACAUAAAAAUAAAGAACUCCAAGCAUAAAAACAAAUCCAAAUCCAUAUUGCUAAUUGCCUAAUACAUAUCCAAAUCCAAAGUUUCCAAACCUAAAGGUCCAAAACAUGAAAUUUGUCCACAAUUCAAAAACAUCAUUAAAAAACACUUAAAUCACAAAUUUGUCCACAACAAGCAAUCAUCACUCCUCCUCUAAAUCAACAAAAUCAUCAUCAUCAUCAUUUCCAUCACCACAUUUGUAGCCUUCCCCAUCUUCUUCAUCUGCUGAAUUAACCAUGUCUCCAUCUUCAUCUUCAUCUAUUAGUGAAUAAGAAGGCAAAGUUCUAGAACUUGAAGCUAUCCCCCUUGUUGGUGGUAUUAUGCUUGAGCUUGCUCUAGCUCUAGCUCUAGUAUCAAACCUGGCCUCCUCAUCUCCAGCAGCUCUAGCAACAUCACCCCAUGUCAAAUUGUCAUCAUCAAAUACAAAAUCAUCUUGUGCACCUCCAUGAGAAUCCUCAUCUUCCAUUCUCCCUAUCAACCAUUCAUUGCUAUCAUCUAUAUCUUUCAAGGAAAUUGGGUCAAUGGUGUUACGUUCAUUGUAUCUUCUCUUCAAGGCUCGAUUAUACUUGAUGUACACCAAAUCAUUCAAGCGUUGAUGAUCUAACCUAUUUCUCCUCUUGCUAUGAAUCUGCAAAAAUUCAUAAGCUCAUAAAUAUAUUUUAAAAUUUUAACUUUUAAGUUACAUUCAAGACUCUAUUAGACUAUUACUUGUAAUUAUUUUGGAUUUGGUCACUCACAUUCUCAAAGAUGCUCCAAUUCCGUUCACAACCCGAUGCACUGCAUGUUAAGUUGAGGACUUUCAUUGCAAACUUUUGCAAAUUUGGAGCUGAAGCUCCAUAUGCAGCCCACCAUUCAGCUGUAGUAUAGAUAUUAACAAUUUAGUGAAACAAUUCACCUAUUUUAGCAAAAAUACAAUCUAAUCAUUUAAAUAAACAAAACUAAAUAACUAACCUGGUGCUCUAGUCUUUCUUGUCCUAACAGCUAACUCAUUCCCGAAUAGUCCUUGGGCAUUUGUGAACAAACUCACUUCGGCCACAACUUUUUCUUGCUUAGCAGGGUCUCUUGUUAGCCUUAAGAUGCAUUUAUACAAAUCACUCAUAAUCUCGGCAUCAUGCUCUAUUUCUGGCUUAUCAUAGAAGAAUUCCGGGUUCAAAAAGUACCCUGCUGCAUGCAAAGGCCGAUGAAGCUGAAUCUCCCACCUCUUAUCAAUGAUGUUGAAGAUUUCUUUGUACUUCUCUUCAUUUCCAUUAAAACUUCUCACAAUUGCAUCCUUAGCUCUAUUCAUGGCCUCAUAGAUGUAUCCCAUAGGAGCUUUUUUUUCACCAUCAACCAAACGAAGCACACGAACUAGGGGACCCGAAACCUUUAAGCAAAACACAAUAGUGUUCCAAAAUGAAGGCAUUAGAACUAUGUUGGCUAUAGUUUUCCCCUUCUACUCUUUUGCCCAUUUACUAUCUAACCAAUCUGAGCUUGUAAACAUCUUCCUCAAAUUGUUUUUUUGUUCAUGCAAUCGCGAUAAUGUGAUGAAAGCAGUUGCAAACCGAGUCUUAGCAGGCCUAAGCAAUUCCCUUUGUCCAGUAAACCGCCUCAUCAUGUUGAGUAGCCCUGAGCGAUUAUAAAUAUACCGAUUUAGUGAUAUAGCCCUCUCCAAUGUCCUCUUGAUGUUUGGUAGCUUUCCAAUAUCUUCCAACAUCAAGUCAAGGCAAUGUGCAGCACAUGGUGUCCACUACAAAUGUGGACGCUUUAAUUCUAACAACCUCCCUAUAUGAAAUUGUAGAUAAUAAAUUUACAUAAGUUCUCAAGAUAAAUAAUUCAAAUUUUAAAAGUAAAUAAAAAUUCAAGAAAUAGUAUUUAUUACUUGCUAUCACAUAACUUGAGUGAUUAUCUGUUAUAACUUGAAUAACAUUCUCUUCACCAACUUGCUCUACCCAUUUGUCAAGUAAUUCAAACAUCUUUUCUCCCGUCUUAAUCAUUGAAGAAGCAUCAAUGGAUUGCAUGAACAUGGUUCCCUUUGAACAAUUAACCAAAAAGUUCACCAAAGUUCUCUCUUUCCUAUCGGUCCAUCCAUCCGACAUAAUUGAACAUCCAUUUUUCCCCCAUUCCACCAUAUGAUCUUUCAUCAAAUCUUUUGUGAGAGCCAAUUCUUUCUUAAGGUUAGUAACUCUUACCUCAUGAAAAGUUGGUCCCUUCAUACCCACACCAUAUUGGCCAAUAGUCUCAAUCAUUGGUUGGAAACUCGGAUAUGUGACUGCAUUAAAUGGAAUAGCAGCCUCAUACAUCCAUCUUGUGAUAAGCGUGCAAGCUCUUUCUCUUGCUUCCUUUUUGUAGGCAUCAUUGAUGGUAGUUUGAUUCAUCUUUCCACUCCUUUGAUUUUGAACAACCAUCUCUGCAUUAGGAGUGAAAAAAUGAUCCAUAGGACCUUUUUGUCUUGGUUUUUUUGAAGAAAACGUCCUACCACUACUUCCUCCUCGGUUACUACCUCCACUAGAAAUGUUGGUGACAUUCGUUCUACUAUUAAUCUCCUCACCAAUAUCUUCAUCUUCCAAACCAAACAAAUCUUCAUUAACAUAUUCGCUCCCCAUAUUCAUUUGCUCUUUUUGAUUUUUCUUGGAACUCAUAUACUCUUCCAUUUCUUCUCUAACAUGUUCCGGACAUUUUCUAAACUUUUUAGCAUUUCUAUAUCCACCAACAAGAUGUUGUUUGUGUCUAUAGAUGCCUCCUUUGGUUACUUUCUCACAAAAAAUGCAUAUGAUGGUGUUCAAAUCUUUUUCAUUAACCAAACGACCAUAUUUCCACCCCGGAUCUCUUCUUCCACUUGCACUAGAGUCCACUUGAGUUUCACUCUCAUUAUCCAUCUUGCAAACAAAUUAUCUAUACUCCACAAUAAAAUAAUUAUAAUUAAAUUAAGAAAAAAAAUUGAAAAAAAAAUGCAUAUCACAUUAUCAAAUAUCACAUUAACAACAAAUAUGCAUGAGUGCUUUUUAUUUAUUUAUUUUUAUUUUGUAAAAUUUUCAUGUCAAAAACUCAAAAUAUAAUAUUUAUUUUUAAAAAAAAAAAAUUACCAAUGAGAGUUAUGAGGUAAGAAUGGAAAAAAAUGCAGAAAAGUGAAGAAAAAAGAAAAAUACCGAGGUUCGGAAGGUACGUGACUAUUUCCCCUAUUUUUCUUCUUCUUUUUCUUCUUCUUCUUCACUUCUCCAGCACAGAAGAGGCUAAGGCAAAAAAUGGCAGUGGUCUCGGGUUGAGAAAGACCAGAAAAGGGGGCUGGAUGGAAGGAACAAGUCAAAACGGCGUCGUUUUGGUCCCUGUUCACUUAAAUGAACAGGCUCCAAAACGACGUCGUUUUGGGCCCAAAAAAAAAAAAAAAAAAAAAGCUAGGGCUGCGGGGCGUCUCUGCAACCCGACUGGAGGAGGAAGAAGAAGAAGAAGAAGAACAAGGAGAAGGAGAAGGAGGAGUGCGUACCUGGUCGGACCGUCGGAGGCGACUCGGGCGAUCGCCUCGCGCCUUGCUGGAGGCGAGCGCCUUGCGCGCCUAAGCGGCGCCUUCGUGAAGGGGCGUCGCCUCUCUUCAGGCGAGGCGCCGAGGGUGGCGUCGGGCCGCCCCGAGCCUAGGCGCGCCUUUCAGAACUAUGUUAUAUAUAUAUAUAUAUAUAUAUAUAUAUAUAUAUAUAUAUAUAUAUAUAUAUAUAUAUACUCCUCUUAACCUUGUACACGUAUUUUAAAGUCAUGAAGACCACUUGAGCAUAGGAUGGAUAAUAUCUAUACGGUUGGAUGCAGGUUGUUACAAUAAUUACUUUUGAUUUUCCUUUCAUAUGUUUAAUUGCAUAACAUUAUUAUAGCAAAAUAUUAAUCUAUCAUAAUGCAACGUCUUGUAAAGCUUAUGUUGGGUGUCAUGAUUUGAUCUCUUGUCAUUUUUAUUAUUCUGAUUCAACAUCAUCUUAGCUUAUAAUCAUUUAUACACUUGAUGCAUGAGAAAUGAAGAUGCUAUAAAUUGUAGGAUCUUUUUCUCCAAUUUGUUCCUUGAUAUUUUAUAAUGCCAUGAAAUGUCUAUAUUUUGAUGCAGAAAGCCGUUCACACUCCAUCUCUCUCACUAGUUUUGCAGAACCAUUGCCACUAAGCACAUGCAGGCGUCAGAUGUGCGGCCACUUCCAGUGUUGGAAGAGACUUUGAACUACCUAUUAAACCUGUUGGAUGCCACAGAACAUCCUUUUGAAGUGGUUCAUGAUUUCGUCUUUGAUAGGACAAGAUCAAUAAGACAAGAUCUUAGCAUGCAGAAUAUCAUUAAUGAUCAAACAAUUCAUAUGUUUGAAGAAAUGGUAUGAAUUUCUUGAAACAUAAUCUCAAUUACCUUUUUUUCUGAGCAUUCAUCUCCUCAACAUACAAUAAGUUAGCCAACCCAUUGCUAAACACUCUCCUAGUUGGAGAAAAUAAUCAAAGUAUACAAGAGAUAAAAUGUUGAAUAAUUGAGUCAUUAUCCUCUCUUUUUGCUUUAUUGAAUAAGAUAAUUUAUUCGAUGGAGUCCAAAUGAGGUGAAACUGUGAUCACACAACUUGAAGCCUACUUUACAAUGGAUAAAUGAAUGGUCUGAUUUUGAAUCUUUCUUGGCACAUUAGUUAUUAUCCAAUCCAUUCUAAUUAAAUUAUCCACUAUUAAGUGUCUAUUUCCAGUCACCCUCUAAGUUAUGAAAGACCCAUAGAACCAAAGCAACUCACACCACCUGUGAUAGGAAUUGGUGCUCUCUUCCAUAAUGUCAAGUUUUCCAGUACACUUGCUGACUUUGUAGAAUAUGCCUACAAAAAGGGCUGCCACCUCCUAAUUCCCAAUCAUAGAAGUUUCUUAACCAUAUUUCAAAAGUUGUAUUUCCUGUUCCCUCUCUUAAAGUUUUUUAAACCUAUAUAUCUUUAUCCUAGUAAUUCGGAAAAAUGAGGAAAUUAUUUAACAAGAACUCCAUCAAUUUGUUCCUCAAAAUUUUAUAUAGUUUCUCUCUCUCACUUUUGAUUCAAAUUCUUGAAGCAAAGGAACAAAUUCAUGGCCAGUAACAUUUUUAGCCAAGCAAUAGAAUGCACGACAAGCAUGUAUAUGAAUGAAUUGUGUUUUUUAAUGAUAAUAGAUCAGAUAUUUUAAUCUCAUCCUAAAACCUUUGAGUUAACUAAAAGCCGCAUCUUAUGUUCUGACUUGUGGUUUGUUUCAUAAUAUAGGUGAAAUUUCAUAUUAUAUCCCACCACAAGCUUCACAGUUGUAGCAGCAAGCCAAGUUUUUCUUCAGUUCAUUACCUCAAUAUGGAGCAGCUGAAAAAGUGUCUAAUAUCUCUAUAUGCUCUAUACAAAGAAAAUCGAAAUUCAAAUUCUAUUUACAAGAAUGAACCUGAGUUCUACUCAUUUCACGUUCUUCUUCAUCUUGGCUCUAACAACCAACCAUUGGUGGAUACUUGCUUCCGUUGUUUGUUUGAGUUCAUCUUUUUCAGUAUCUCUUGCUGCCUUGUACUGGUUUCUGAAUAUGUUACUAUUUCUGUUUUGAAGGGAGAGUCACUCUCUUUGUGGUUGGGUCGUGUACCUUCUCUCAUUUUAAAGUCAAAGGAAAUGUGUUUUGCUCGGAGACUUUUAAGGUGACCGUAAAGCUAUUAUAGAUUCGACUUGCAUUUAAAUUGUUUAUAUUCAUUUUACAUUUAACUCAAUGUAGAGUGGUUCUGUUUUCCAAUCGAUUUUUUUCUCUUCUUUUAGUACCCAAUGUUAAAAAUUUUGUUUUCAUGAACUGAAAGAUCUGUCUUUUCUUGUAACAGAUUAUUUCGGAUGGGCAAUUAUAAGCGUUUCCUUUGUACUACAGCAACUGAGGCAUCUUAUUUACAGUACUACAUAAUUGAACCUUACAUCAAUGAGGUUGCUUAAAUAUGUUGAUUUUGCUAGAUUUUUCAGUUUGAAAAAUAUAUGCUUCUUUGUUCAUUUAUUGUUUUCCAAUUUCAUUUAUGAGAAUAUAUCUAAAAUCUAGACUCGAGUACUUGUGCUUUUGGGUUUUAUUUUUCUUUCAUUUUUGUUAGUAGUUGUACUUCAUUAUUCUUAAAUUUCUCACAGUUGUUUCUUUAUGUGGUUUAUUGCUCCUCACUUUCUUCAUUCAUCUGAAGUGUUCAAAUUCAAUUUGCUUGUUUCAUAAACCAGGUCUUAUUUAGAAGUUCUUCUCAAUUGCCUUUUUUAGUGCUUUUAAAGGACAUGCCUGAUUUAUAUAUAUUUUUGUUGGUUUUCUUUUGACCGUAAAAGGUUCGAGCAUUGGCAUUGUCAUGUGUAAAUUAUUGUGGCUACAAACUUCAUCCGUAUCCAAUUGCACACUUGUCCAAACUCUUGAUGAUGAAGGUAUGAUUGCAUUUACUAGCAUUAAAUUGCUAAAAUUUGUCAUCCAAAGUUCCAAUAUCUUUUGAACCUUGAAGGCUUCAUUUGCAUUUUUGUAGGAAUUAGAUGUGGAAUCAUUUUGCAAUGCUUGUGGUCUUGAGACCAGCACUGAUGAACGGGGAAAUAAGUUCUUAUCAACCAAGCAAACAAACUUCCAUUAUCCCAAGGAAGUCUUUCCAAGCUAUUGCCUUCUGGGUUUGGAACACUUUUAGAGGUAACAAUCAAUUGGAACUAGUUACUCUUUCAAACUUCUUAUUGUACAAAUAUAACCUGCAUGUGCAACCAUUUCUGAUCCCAUAAUUUCAAGAAUUUAUGACACCUUCUAGUGGUUAGUUUUUCUGGGAAUAGAGUAAAGCAAUCUAUUCACUCCCAGAAACUAUCGUCAAAGGAACAGUAGAUAACCCCGCAAGACCAAAUUUAUGUGUGUGCAUGGAGAUGCAUGUUUUCUGCAUCCCAAUCAUGCAGUGUUGUGCCAAAUGGAAUAAUAGCAGCUGAUGAUAAGUGGUAUUUCUAAAAUCUUCUAAGAGUAUUCCAUCUAUUGUAAUAUUGUUUUCUCAAAAUUGUCUUUGAGUCUUAUAUGUAAAUAUUAGACUUGACCUCUUGUAAGCUAUCAACUGAUGUUGUAACUUAACUUGAAAGGGAAAUUCUAUAAAUUUAGCCUUGGUUUGGCUGUUGGAAAGCAAAGAAAAAUUAGGUUAAUAGUGAGUUGAUUUCUUCCCUUCCCAUGGAUGUAAGCACAUUCUUGAAUCAUGUUAAUUACUUUUUGGUUUAUUUUGUUGUUUUGUUGUUUUGUUGUUUAUUGUUCAAUUGUCUCCGCAUAACAAGUGGUAUCAGAGUUGUUUCCAACACAACAGAUGAUUCCUGUGCUAACACAAAGUUUGAGGCUAAACGUAAGAUGGUAAAAGUUUCUAGAAUAUUUCCCUAUGACAACUGCCAAUAAAGGAUGUACUUAACAGAAAGUUCAUAAGGUGUUACAUGGCAAGUUGAACAAAACCAAUAGCUAGAGAUAUCUGAAAUAUUUGGGGCCACUGAUCCAACAAUAGCAGAGAAUAACACAAGAAGAGACCCUCUAAUCACCAUUUUUUCUUUGAUUCUUCUCUACAAAGCAUCAUCUUCUUUAUACAAAAAGACAACCCAUUGCUGAGCCCACAUUAUUCUCUACAUAUCCCAAAAAAGCCCUCUAAAUUUUAGGGCAUGGUGCUCUUUUUAGGGGUAUUUUGGUACUAAAUUUGUGGUAGUCUCUCAAAUACCUAAACUACCCUCCAGAUUUUAAGGCAUGGCCCACUCUUUGAGGUGGUAUUUUGGGUACUAAUUUUUGUUAGGAGAGGUUUUGGUGUGGAAACUGGAGGGCUUUACACACGUUGCAUGUAUUUUCUUUUGCAUGCAUUACACAUAGAUUGGAGUUUAUGCAGUUACUCACUUUUUGUUCGUCCAACAAUACUAUAGUGCCACGUCACCAUAUGAUGGGCUCUUUAGUCUUUUCAAACCCAAAAAAAAACACUAAAAAAAAAAAAAACUAAUACUAAAAGGAUUGCUAACUAGCUAUGUGAAGAUGAACCUCUAUAGCUAGCUUCUUAGAGGGACCAUAAUCGCUUAGGCCAGGGAAGUUUGAGGUGAUAAUAUGUCUGUGAUGCCCUUAGAUGUUUUAGGCACAUGUGCGUUACAUUAAUGUAUUCAAUGAGUCUAUAACCUUGAUUGACAGGUCCGAGUAAUCUUUGAAAUUUCAUUGUGGUGGGAAGGUUCCAUGUGAACAACACUUGCACAUGGGUUAGUUAAUCUUAAGAGACGGGGGAAGCUCAUCUAACAGCACACAAUGUGCGAGCUUUGAAAGGCAAUCGGGUUAACAUUUCUGAAUUGGGACAUGACAGCGGACAACAACAUUAGGUAGUCCAAAGAUGUCGUCAUAUUAAUUGUUAUCAAUAUUUUUAUUUAUUCAAUAGAGAUUGAGGAUUAAAAAAAUACCACAAAAAUUAGAAAAAACAAAAUUAAUUACAUGGCUUACAUUUCAAAUAUUUAAUAAAAUAUUGUAUGAAAGUUGAAUAUCAUACACUAUUAAAUGGUUGGAUUCUCUUCUUUAAUUUUUUUAAUUGUCUCAUCCUAUUAAAUUACUCAUCUAAUAUUAAUUUAUUUUAAAGGUGAAAUUAAUUAUAUUGUAAAAAACUUUUAACUGACCAGAGUUUGUGCACAACAUCUAAUAUAUACUUAAAUAUAAUCCUCCAACUAAGAAAUGAAAUCAAAACUUAAAAAUCAUUUAUAUAUAUAGAUAUAUGUUAUCAAGUUUAGGUAGUGAAGCAAUUAAUGUGGAUAUAAAAUUAAUGCCAAAACUUUUGAUUGUUCCUUCACAUUCUCCACAACCAAACAAAGGAUAUAAGAAAAAUAAAGAAAGAAAUUUAGGGUAGUUUGAUUUUUGUUCUCAUCUUGUUGUGAAGUUAAUAGAGGAAUGCUUGGGUUGGUGCUCAAUAGUUAAGUGACAGCAGGGUAUAAUGAUUCUUCCAAUCGUGUAAAUAUUAUUUGUUUUAAUUUCAAUGGAUCAUCGUCACUUUAAAUUGCAUCCACAUGGUUAAGAGCAACUCAUAUGUAUAUAAUAUCAUGAAUUUCUUCUUAUUCGAUACGGAAUAUCAAAUUAGGUAUCUUUCAAUUUUAGGUAUUGUGUAAGUGUUUCAACUCAAAUGACUUGGCUUAAUGUAUACUCAAAGCCUUGACAAAGGAGCGUAUAUGUAAUAAAGUGAAAAUUAAACCUUGUCGCCCUUCUAUCUCUAGUACUCCAUUAUCCCUUAAACAUGUGCAAAAAAAGAUAUACACCUUUGAUACAUUAAUUAAAAUAAACGAUAGAAAAAGAGAUUUUAUAUAUCCAUGUACAUAAUUUGAUUAGAUUUGUUAUAUAUGAGAGAGAGAGAAAAAAAAAAAAACUGUUUAGAUUAAGGAUCUCAUUAAUUAAUACCUAGAAAAUAUAAAAGAAUAAAAAAAGAUUAGAAGGUGUGAAUCAGAAGAUAAGACUACAUUUUUUAAUUAGAUUCAUCGAAAGAUGGCAUAUUGUAUGAACAUUUUUACUCUACAUAUAAAAACUUAUAUUAUGGUUGAGAUGUAUUAAUUUGUCAUAUUUUUGGACAUUUAAAGUAAUGAGUAAUUACACUAAAUUAAAUUAUUGACCUUAUUAAUCAAUACCUCAAAAGUAUAAAAUAGUAAUAAAUGAAUAAGACAAACUUCAUCGAAAUAUUUUUAUGGGCACAUUACGUAAAUAUUCUUAUUUAAUAAAAGUUUAUAUGUCAUUAAAUGAAUAGAGAAUUUUAACAUUAAUUGCAGUGCUAAGUAGAGGAGAUCUCAUAUUUAAGCUGUUGAUUAAGGCUUAUUACUUAAUAAUUUAAGUUGACUUUAAGUUAGAUUAUAUUUAAGUUAUUUACGUAAAAUUUAUUAUUUAUUAUUUAAUAUUUACUUUAAGUAUUAAAGUUAUUUGAUAAAGUUAAUUUAAAAAUCAUUUUAAAUUAUCAAAUUGUCAUAUUUACCUUCAUUAAUUUGAUAACUAGAUGCAGAUAAAUGAAACAAAAAAAAAAUUGAGAUUAAGAAUAAGUUAAUUAAUUUGAUUUAACACUUAAAAGUAACUUUAAGAUAUAAUAUUAAGUUAUUUUAUCAAAUAUAUUUAAUCUAUUUAAUAAUUAAAUUAAGUUAUUAAGUUAAUGAAUGAUUACCAAACACCUUAUAAGACCCAAAAAAUCGAAUGAGUUUUAAUAGUUUCCAGGAUGGGCAUGACUAGGUGGUGGUUCAAUGCUGAUUAAUCAUAAUUCAAUCAAGGCAAAAUAUGUAACAAAUACAUGUCAAACUGCACCAUCCAAAUGGGCGCCAAGAACGUUACAUUUGACAAAUGCCAUUAAACCUCGACAGCUACCAAUUACUUGAAGCUCAUUAACUUCAUCUUAAUUUGAUCCAAAUUGCAGAAACAUGUGAAACUCCAUGAAUCUAUGGUGCUAUGGUGGCCUACAUUCAUAUAACUGGGGACACUUUGGUUUACACUACAAUGACCCCAAACAGGGUUUGUAGAGACUUUAUCAAGAUCACUAGCUUCAAAAGACUAAGGAAAGAAAGAUGUUCUCAAAACUUGGAGUCAAAUUGCAGAUAAAGACCUAAAACUCCCACUUAACGUGUUUGAGGAAUUGUUGUUUCAUGGGGAUAAGCUGUUUGGUUUGUACAUGUCUCCUUGGUGAUACUUAGAGUUCGGCGAAGUAUACGUAUCCUUUGUGAUCUGGUUUGUAUAUGGGCAGAUGAAUGUUGAUGCCAGGUUCAUAUAUGUUUCUGAUAUAUAUCACCCUGGAAGGAUCUAGAUCAAGGGGAUGAGUUUCAAAAGCUUGAGUAGGUUUAAGAUGUUCCGAGAAUUGGUGAGCAUGAUAUAUAUCAAUAUGAUAUUGCAGAAGACAACAGAGCUUCUGAAAUUAAUAUGUCAGGUUCAAUAGUGGGAAAUCUUAUCAGCUGUCACUUACUGUAAUCGUAUGCUCUCAAUAUUCAUUUGUUGAAGAAGAAAAAAAAAAUUGCUUUCACACUAUUCAAUUACAAGAGAAUGUUCAAUUAUAGAAGAAAAUAAUAUUCGCUAGUCUCUUUCAACUUAAUCAACAUGCAGAGAAAAGCAGUGAAUAAUAACUUACAUACAUUGUCUCUCUACCCCUACUUGUUACUCAUCAGCCAAGCUUAUGGUAAUAUAAGCUUGGGUUCAUCUCUCUAUGCCACUGAUGAAAACUCCACAUGGGCUUUGCCUUUCUGGUGAUUUUGCAUUUGGAUUCCGACCCUCUCCAAGUGAAGAGGACCUAUUCCUUCUUGCUAUCUGGACUGCAAAUGGAAGUUAACUGGUGCCAAGAGGAUCAAAAGUUUGGGCUUACCACCAAUGGACAGCUUGUUCUCUAGAGGCUAAGAUAUAUGGAAGACAAAGACUGGUAAUGUGAGCAGCGAACCAGUGCAUGGUGCCAUGCUUGGAGAUGGAAAUUGUAUACCAGUAUAUGGGAGAGCUUCAAGCACCCAACUAAUACCAUAUUGCCAAUCCAGGGAUUGGUGUUGGAGCCUACUGUGCAGUUGCUAUUUUUGAGGACCUGAGGUUUGCAAAUGGAACUGGAAGCUGUUGGAGGAAAAGACUACCUCUUUCAAAUGGGAGGUUGGAUCAAACUGCUGUUUCCAGAAGUGCUCUAAUCAAGAUAUUGAAGUCCAGUGAACUAACUUCAGGCAGAUGCAAGCAAAAUAAAGCAAUUCUAAUACUCUCAGUCCUCUUAGGCCCCUCUGCGUUCUUCUUCUUCGUUUCUCUAGCUGCAAUUUCACUAGUUUUCUACUGCUUGAACCUCAAAAAUCUGCAGCUUUAUCACAGAAUCCUGAGUACAAGCGAUGGUAGAAGCCUUUGGCACUGUCUAUAAAGGGAUAUUACCAUCAGGUUCUGGAAAUUCUGUUGCUGAAAAGUUGGAGAAGGUGGUGGGAGAAGAUGAGAAAGAAUUCAAAGCAGAAGUGAAUGUGAUGGGCCAAACUCACCAUAAGAAUCAAGGACACUUGCUGCGUUACUGUUGUGAGGGUGAACACUGACUACUGGUGUUUUUUUUUUAUGCACAAUGGCUCUUUAUCAAGCUUCCUUUCUGGAGGCGCCCGAAAGCCCUCAGAACACAACUCUUGGAUGAUUCUUUUACAGCCAAAGUUGCAAACUUGGACUGGGAAAGCUUCUGAUAAGCAACCAGACUAGAACACUCACAGGCAUCAGAGGGACUAUGGGGUAUAUUCAGACAACUCGGGCAGCCUAUGUCUCUUAUAAUAACACGUUAUGAAGCAUCAGCUCAAUGCUGGGGUUCAAUCUGCAAAGCAAGGGAUUCAUCAAUGUUUCCUUCAAACUAAAUAAUAAGGAACAGAAAUGGAUCAUUCUGCAUUUUCAGUGGUGUUUGUUAUAGCAUUUAUACAAGAACUCUAGGGGUUUCUAUGUAUAACUUCAUUCCCAUUUUGUAUAAUCCAAAUCUCUUCAAUCGAUUAAAUGUAUAAAUGAAUCCUAUUCAUUGUUUGGAGUAACAACAAAAUUCUGGAAGACUGGGAAAGUUUCAACACUGGAGAGAAAACAAAAUGACAAGACCAUAAAUUCUGGAAGAGGGCUUUGCUUUCUAACCAUUACCAUAAUUUUAGAGCUCAACCCGGAUGAGUAAAUUAUAUUUCAGAAUGUUCAGGAGAUAAUUCUAAAGUGAUGAACCUUCUACUCACAGUUUCUUGUUCUUCUUGAACAGAGCAAUGAACAUCAAUAGUUCAGCACCCAGGAAUCUCCCCUCUCCAAUUCCUCCACUGGGAAAAGUCACCUUUCCAGUUAAGAAAAUCUUCAGGAUUAAUUUGAGCAAAACAUCAGAGUAUACAUCAAGAAAGCCUUGAUCAAAAUCAAAAUACAUCAAGAGCUGCCAUUUUCUUCUAUUUCCUCUUCCUUGAAUGGAAUGCCUUUUGGACUGAGGUGAUCAAUGGUAACAGUCUAACACACUCCUUAAGCUUUGAUUGAGGUCAACGGGGAUUGGCACAUUUAAUGACUUUGAAAUCAUAGCUGUGUGAAGGGAGGCAAACAUGAAUCUCAGGAUAAUCAACAAGUCAACAACUAUCAAUCAGUAAGGAAAAGGAAAAGGAAAUACCUUUGGAUAUUUACAAAUAAAAAAUUUGAGAGAGUCCAGCUGCUCUGUACAGAAAGGCUUGAGCUUAUUCCAUGGCCAGGCUUUAGAUGGUUCUGAAUUACGGAUGAGAGGAUUGAGUUUUCUUUCAUUCUGCAAUAAGAUUAAAAACAUCAAUGAAACACUAAAAGUUUAUAUAUAGAAGCCCUUUAAAGAUGAGAAUUGGUAAGAGAGCUCACCCAUGGUCUAGUAAAACAACAUCUGUUAGAUAAGUAACCACCAUUCGAUUGUCCAGCUAAUGCAUUUAGACAGUCCAAAAUAGCUAAAGACAGUCCAAAAACUCAUUUGACUAAUAAUUUUCUAAAAGCAGUAACAUAAAACCUGGAUGAAGAAUCCACCCCUCUACCUGACACCACUUCAAUACCAAAUAAAAUGUUACGAUGACCAUUUAUAGUCUUAAGAGACAGUGGGUGUUGUUUGGGCUCAAGACCAUCAAAAUUGGCACAGAAACAAGUACAACAACUAUCUAAUAAAGAGAUUUAUGCAUGUAACAAAUGCAAAUGAAAUAUGAUACAAGAAGUUCAUAGAUUAAACAAAAAUAGAUGGCAAAAUAGAAGGAUAAGGUCACAGACAGGACAAUAUUAAAAGAAAUUAUUAUUUUUCCGACCUGAAAAUCGAGGCAUUUAGAACAGUACAAGUUUGUAAGUAGUCCAUGGAAACCAGGGAACUUAUGCAGAUGUUGUAUUCUAUUGCAUAAGGCAAACACUCAAUACUUACAAGCAUAAUCAUGCCCAGAAAGCCAUGAAUCCCUUUUUGUUUUGCUUUUUUACCUAUUCUCAUCUCUUAUUGCCAGAAGUGCCCAGGAUGAUACAACCUCACCAAAUAAGUUAGAAACCAGCCCAUUCAGCAGGUUGAGUAGCCAGCUUGCCCUCAAUCUUCUUUGAGUCAACAAACAGUUGGGCAUUAUUGCCUCCAAUGGAGGGUCUGGAAAUAUUAGAGCCGGCAGCAGGGGUGGCUGUAAAACUCUCUGUUCCAAAACCCCAAGUUUCAGGGCCAGAAGUUCCUUCUUUGGCUGGUUUGUUGUGAUGGCCAUUUCGGGUCCUACCAGACUUGCUAUUGUUGUCUGGGCACCUGCCUCAGAGAAAGCCUGCCAAAGAUUAGAGUCUGGGCCAGGGGAAACGGAUUUUCUUUGCUGGAGUUCCCAGUCUGUUGCUUCAAUCUUUUCUCUGUGCUGUUACGAGAAGAAAACCUAUCAGACACAUGAAUGGGUACAAAAAGGUAAACUUCAGGUUUUGGUUGUAUUGAAAAGCACAGGAAACUUCACAAGAGGCAAAUUAUACCCCAGACUUAUUGAAGAAAAAUGAAGUACAAUUGACUUACCCAAAUGUCUACUUCCUCAUUUAUAGAUUUCCUCCUAAACAAAUCCCCACAUCUAGGACAGGAAAAGGAAGAAGCUGGGAGUCAACAUUUUUUCAACCAAAUGUCAGCACUAACUUAUCAAAAAACAUAGUUUUCCAUUCAACCUCGGGAGCUGUACUUUCUGAUAUUGUCUUCUUAAAGUGCUUAUGAUUGGUGGAGGUGCUUCCAAAAUCACACAACUUCCAUGAUGCAUUAGGGCCCAAUAGAAGAUUCUCAGCAUUUAUAUAAGAACUUCAGGGCUUAUACGUAUGAUCAUGUUACAGUAUAAAUCAUAGUGAACUGGUGGAAUUUGAUUAUUAGCCAACCUCAUCAAAAACUGUUUCACAGUUGAGGGGAUUGUUAACCUUGCCAUGGGCCAAGCAGCAAUUUCUGGAGAAGCUGGGUGACAAAGAGUACCAUCAUUUGGACUAGUUUCAAUGGAAAUUCCUCUGUUUUUAUACAUGAUAUCUUCAGCUUCAGCUUUUCCUUUUGCUUUUGACAUGGCUGAAACUGAUCCUGAAAUAAAAAAUCCCACGCAAGUAGAUAUUUAACAGAAGAGGAUCCGAAUCUCUUCAAUUGAUUAAUGUAUAAAUGAAAUAAUCAAAAUUUUUAGAUAAUUAUAGGGAGAUGAACCUUGUACCUCUGAGUUUCUUAGUCUUCUUGAACAGAGCAAUGAGCAUCAAGUGUUGAGCACCCAGGAAUCUCCCUUCCUAUACAGGGAAAAUCUGAACAAUCUAUCUUUCUUCAUAUUCCACUUCCUUGCAAAAGUCAAAACAUGAAGAAAAUAUCAUCAAAAUUGAGACAAAAAUAAGUGCAUCAACUGUCUCAAGAAGAGAUUUAUGCCUAUUGCUUACCUUUUGCAGAAGUCCACUUGGUUAGAGCACAUUUUACAUGGACGCCCAAUCACUGCAAGCUGCUGAACCAAAGGAGAGUUCAAACAUCUAAAAAAUUUGACUAACUCAAGUAUCAUAAAAUACUUCACAUGAAUUCUAAAUGAUCUCAUAUCUAAAAAACAUUGGCAUAAAAUUAUUGUUGUUUACCUUACAUAUUUCUUCCAUGGUCAUAAUCGAAACUUUGUUUAUCAUAACAAAUCUUCUAUGCUCAUCCUGAUUACUAACAAUGAAAAUUGAAAUGAAAAGAAAAAAAAAACACAAAAAAUGAUGAUUAGUUUGGUUUGAUAAAUUUAGCACACACAAUUCCCUUUUUCUUGCCCGAAAAAGGAAAGAGUAAAAAAAAAAAAAAAAAAUUAAUAAUUUUUCAAAACUAGCAAUUAUAAAUCUAGUUUGGUUCUCAUAAAAUUUAUGGGAAAGCAGGGAAAAAAAAGUGUAAACUUUUUCUCUUGUUUGAUUGUUUAUGGGAAAAUUGAGGGAAAAACAAAUAUUUAUGAGGAAUCUAUUUAACACUUUUGAGGAACCAAAAAUGUUUUAGAUGUUGUCAAAUCGAUAAUUUAAAUGUAUUUAAUUCCAAUUAAAUGAGUUUAAUCAAACACAUGAAAUCGUGAAUAAAAUUAUUUAAAAGCAUUGAAAUUCAAGUCAUUAAAGUUGUCCAUAAAAUUUGGUAUAUUGAAGCAAGAAAAAAACAAAGCAAUUUGAAUGACUUGCUAAUAAAGCAGCUAACUAGAAUAUGCCCUAGAGUUGUUCUGUGCCUUGUAUAUAAGAAAUAAACAAAGAACACAAUAAAAAUAAAAAUAAAAACCAGAAAAUAAAAUACAAACAAACGAAAUAUCCAUGGUUCUUCGUUAUUUUUUUCUUAAUUUUUCAAUGGUUAUUUUUGCAAACCACCAAAUCAAAACAGAGCAUGAAAAUGUGUUCAAUAUUUAUUUCAGGCUUGAAGCUUCAAGAAAAAGAAAAUCUUAAAUCAAAUAAACAAGACUAGCGAAUGAAUUGGAACUUGAAAGAAAAGUUCAUGCGCAAAAGAAUUACCUGACUCUAUAUUGGCGGAGUGGCACUUUGAUUAAUAUAGCACACCAUUGAUCACUAUUUUUGGAACGUGAGCUAUAUAACGCCAUUCUUCCCCUUUCUCAAAUUGACACCGUUUUUCCAGUAAAGGACACCCAUCGAUGACCAGAAAAGAGAGAGAGUCUGGAAGUCUUUCUUUUGUCAAGUAUUUGAGCUUACGACAGUUCAUGAUCACCAAUGUUUUAAGAGAGGUGAGGUGUUGAAGACCCACUUUUGUCAAGGAUUGGAGCAUUCGGCAGUAUACGAUCUCCAAAUUUUCAAGAGAGGUGAGGUGUUGAAGACCCCCUUCUGUCAAGGAUUGGAGCAUUGGGCAGUGUUUGAUCUCCAAAUUUUCAAGAGAGGUGAGGUGUUGAAGAACCGAUCCUAUCAAGGAUUGGAGCCUUGGGCAGUAUAGGAUCCUCAAUAUUUGAAGAGAGGUGAGGUGUUGAAGAUCCGUUUCUGUCAAUGAUUGGAGCCUCAAGCAUCCAUAAAUUCCUAAUUCUUUUAGAGAGAUAAGGUGUUGAAGAACCGAUCCUGUCGGGAACUGGAGCUCUGGGCAGUUUCUGAUCUCUAAUUUUAGAAGAGAGGUGAGUUGUUGAAGACCCCUGCUGUCAAGAGACUUGAGAUCGGGAAAUGAUUCAAUUUGAAGAGAAGUCAGAGAAGAGGGCAGCAAACACUCCUUGGGAAAUAAUUCAAUGUCUUCACAUCCACCUUGGAUUCUUAAACGAGUAAGAGAGGUCAGCCUUUGCAAACCCCACUCCACCUGGGGCGUGAGUUGGUUGCACUUCUUAAUUUCAAGUAUACGUAGGUUGGAAGGCAAACCCUCUCUCUGAAACAACAAUUCUGGACAAUCACAUAAAUACAACUCCUGUACAGAUGACUGUGUGUGUGCCAACGACCUAAGGUUGAAGCACCUAUCAAUCAAACAAGACUCUAAGUUGAGAGCGUGCAAUUCGAUAGAUUCAAGAUCAGAGCAACCAAUUAGACGCAGGGAACAUAAAGAUGUGGGAUCACCCUCUGAAACCAAAAUGGAGAGCUUCUCAAGCCCCUUAAGACCAUCGAUUGUGAAAUCAGUCAACUUGGGGAAGAUGCCUAAUGAGAAGGAUAACGUGAGAGAAUCAUCGAUAACACCACCUUUGAUUUCUAGACUUUCAAGGACUGGGAGAUGGCAUCUGAACAACUCAGGUACGAGAAUCUCUAAUUUCGAGCACUCAGAGAUGAAUAGUGAUUUCAGUGUAGUGGGUAAACCAACUUUGUGCAGGGAUCUAGAAAAACUGCAAUCAUAGAUUUUCAGAUCAUGUAUGUUGGUUUGCGAGAUUUCCUCCUCUAGCAGAGACUCCGCAUUAUCACAUUCUCUAAUUGAGAGCUGGUGUGGUGCCAUUGGAAGUUGACUCCACUGAGACACAUCUAAAAUUUCAAUUUCUGAAGUUUGAAGAGCUGUGAAGUCACAACCUGCCAUUUGCAACUGCAGUUUACCGAAAUCCACCAUCCUCAACUGACGAAUUACAGGAACUGUGAGUGAAGCCAUAAGCAGUUGCGGACAUUCAUGAAUUUGAAGUUCCACCAAUGAAAGAAGCUGUUCUGGUAAUUUCCCAGUGAGUUUGGGACACCUUCGUAUAAAAAGCUUUUGGAGACGAGGGAAUUCUCCACAACAUAACCAUUUCUCCCAGUUCUGCAUAUCCUCAAAUGAUAGUGUUUCUAGGAAUUGAAAGGAAGCAUUCCCAUAGAACUCAUCACCCACACACUCUACUCCAUUCAUCCUUGAGAUUUGCAGAUAUUUAAGCUGGGUUAGCUGUCCA